rnacentral:lncRNA from 1 species
UAAUAAUUGUAUAUCAAAAUAGAUUUUUGAAUGUUAACUGUUUUAUCCAGCUUAAGAUGUUCCAAUCUUGCUUUCAACUCUUGUUAAAGUAUAAAUUUCUCUUCUAGAUUAUCAUAAGUAUUCGAAAGGUUUUCCGAAUGUUUUUCAAAGAUUUGCCAAAGGUUUUUCAAGCUUGGUUACCAAAGAGACAUCAAGUCGUAAUUUCUUGUUAAAGGUUUUCCAAAGGUUUUCUUCAUUUAAACUGUUUUAUCAAACUGUUUUCCAAAGGUUUUACCAAAGUUUUCUUCUAUGCUUUUGUUUCGUUAAAUUCAUGCCUAUAUUUGUAUAAUUAUAUAAAUAAUGUUUAAAGGACUUAGGAAGGCUAGUUCACCCUAUUUCCUUUUCCUCGUUGGGAUGUGGUCUGGUGGGUAUCGGUUAUCCGUCCGAAGGUCAUUUAAACAUUAAUUAUAUAUCAUGUAUACAUGUAUGGACAUAAAACCUCUCUCUCACUCAGCAAACUCAUCGCCUUGAGUAGUACAAGCAUCCUUCUAUUAUUCAUGUUUCUAGAACCCUAGUAACUAAUAUAGGAAUAGUUAGGAGACUCUAUCUCUAUCUCUAUCUCUAUCUCUCUCUCGCUCUCUCUUUUACUUUAGAACGUGACACACUAUUUCCCUCUACGGCGCUUCAUUGCGCCAACGCCGUGUAACCAGAGUCUCCGGGAAGGAGAGCGAACAUCAUGUGUAUAGAUCUAUACGGGAAUGACACUCCCACACCAAGACUACUAGCUACAGUCCGCGCCAGUAAGGCCCAUGGGUGACAUAGUGCCACUACCUCUACGCGUGACCUGGAGGGUCAUCAGAUGCUCUAUCGUCGAUCAACAUGGUUACGUAUGCGUUCACAUUCACCCCUUUUUUGUUUUUGACUUUGCUAGCUGUACAGUUCAUUCGAUACUGUCUGGAGUAUGUACUUCCUUUUGUUAGACUGAUCCAGGCGUAUCCUUCAUUUGAUACUCUCCUGGAGUCUAUGAUUUCUUUUGCCUUAGUCAACAGUAUUACUACUGAGUCAUAUAUUAUUUUUCCCCUAGUAUUUUUACUAGUGAUAUUCUCAUAUUUUCUUUAAAGUCAAUAUCGUAUUUUGGUAAUGAUAGUAUUUAGGGGAAAAUUUCUCUUUAAAACAUAACUCUUUUAAGUCUUGGUAGAAGACUGCUUUUAUUUAGAAAAUAUAGGAGUUUUUGGAAAGGACGCUAAUACACCGUAGAUUCUAAACUACUACCUUUCAUAAAGUUAUUUUGAUUAAAAAUGUGUAUUUAUACAAAUGACACUAAAUACUUAUGGACUCACCAGCAUUAUAAAUUGCUGAUACUCGCUUUCAAAAAAACUUGUAUUCUCAGGUCAGCGAUAGACAUGUACAUCCCAGGAGCUUUUGUGAAGACAGCCUAGUACCGAGCUGCAUCUAUGUUAUGUUCUGUAAUUAUUUUGAUAUUACUAUAACAUGUAACUGAUGUAAAAUUAUUACUAAUAAUACAAUGGUUGUUGUACUUGGAUUACUAUACUACAUAUGUUGUGAUACUUGACAUGACGUCAUCCACCCCAGAACGUUUCCGCCAUUCCGGUUUUGGGGUGUGACAUAUUCUUUGGGCUCAAUUGGUACAAAGCACCCAUUAAACAAAGAGACACAGUCAAAUCUCUUGUCCUCGAUUCCGGACAAUCAUUGUUCAGAGGCCAAUCUAGAAGCAUAACAUUCCAGUGAUGCAAGACUCUUUCAUGUCUGCUAUCUCCAUCUUUCAUACCACCAACAUUAUCCUUGCUAGUAAUUCAAAGUUUUCAUUUGUUGGCUCAAUUCCUGAAGCCAUGUUUCGAGAUGUUCCUGUAGCUAGUAAAAUCCUUGAAGCUUACAUGAAACUUCCUGUUUCAGGCUUUUGUCCUUUGACGCCAGAGAUGCAGUCGAUAAUUGAUGAAGCCGGUAAACCAAAGAAAGGAGGGCAGAAAGGACGCAUGAAAGGGGAAAAGAAACAAAGUGCUAAAGAGGGUCUUUCUGAACUGGCAAAAUCCUCAAAGAAAUGAAAGUCACAAGCUGAGUCGUUUGCACUAGCUCCUUCUCCAGCAAUGAAGCGAAAUGUUAAGAAGAAAGCUCAUAAGCCCAUAUCUCCUACUCCUAGUGAAAGAUAACAUUUGCAGUCUGACACUCAAUCAGAAGUUCACAUUGGAGUGGAUGAGCAUAUCCAAACUAAAGUCACUGCAACAACUUCCCAACCAGAGGUUUCGCAGCCUAUUUCGACUACUCUUGAGGUAACUAUAGAGAUUCCUGUCUCAGUUCUGAUUUCCACUGAUUUUGUUGAAACUGUUUCUGUUCCUUCUCCAACUACCACCAUUUCAACACCCAUCUCUAUCGCUCCAUGGCCACCUGUCUCCUUAGGUGUUUCCCAAUCUCCACCUGUUUUCACCGAUUCUACAACCACACCAUCAACAACUGUUGAGCCUCUUGUUUUUGUUAGCACAUCUGAUGCAGGGUCAGGGGCUUCAGGUUUCGCAAUUGGUGAUUCCACACCCCUUAUUUCCCCUAUUCGCCACAAUGACCCAGGCAUGAUUUUUGGGGAUGAUGAAGACUUCUCAAGAUUCUUCUACAGUCCAUUCAACAUCAGGACUGAAAGUGAUGACGAAGCCCCUGUCACGAGAGGGCAACUCAAGGGGAUAAAUGAAAAAUUGGACUCACCACUUAACGCUACAAAGACCUCAUCCAUUGAUGAUUAUUCUCAAGCGACGUUCAUGUCCAUUCUUGAGACCCUUACUAAAGAGUACUCUACCAACCUUCAAAAGAUGAACAAGGCAGUAGAUGACUCUAUCACAGUCUGCAACAAAACGAGUGAAAAAGUCGAUAAAAUAAUAUAUGAUGCUCAAGUUUUCAUGGAGCAAUUCCAAAGCUCCUUUGAGUCCAACACUGCGUAGGCUAACGAAGUCGAGUCUGGCCCGGGCUCAAUACUUAAAGCUGAGAAGCCAAAACUUCAAGAGGUUCACAGUGGUCUUAAAUCUAACCAUGACAUGCUCCAGUCAUCCAUAUCCUCAAAACUCUUUAAGCCUCAGGAAGAACUGGAUAUGGAGAGCAAAAUAAUGGAUGCUCUUGCCUUCAAGACUGAAAAGAUGAAAGUCAUGACAGUCAAGCUUGAAAAUGAUGAGAAGAAAGUCAAUGAUUUGUUAUCUGAGAAAGAUGCCAUGAAAAGCUACAUUGCAGAAGUCACUGGCAUGCUUUCGGAUAUCGUUGAGACUCGCGACUCAAUGAUCACGAUUACAGUAAAGAAGCAUCUUGAUGAGAAACCAAGGCAUGUAUUCGCCAUGCUUUAUCGACUGGAAGGUUUUCCAAAAUCUAGAUCCAUUCCAAAACAAGGGGGAGAAGGUGUGUCACAAUCCAAGAAGGAAGACCGCAAACCUUCAGUCAAGCGCACUGUCAAAAGAGAAUCUAAGCCUAAAGGCAAAGAAAAAAAUUUCAGUGAAGAAACCAUUGUCGACAACAACGUAGAUGAAUAGCCUGAUGAAAACAAGCUCAAAAGAAGAAAGGCACGAUAGGCUGAAAUGGAUGAACAUCAAAGGAUAAUCUAAGAGGCUGAAGCAAAAGAGAAAACAGAAUACGAAGCUUACGUUACUUUGGAAAGCCGAAAGAUUUUAUUUCCAAAGUAGACUCUGAAGGGAAUUCAGAACGAAGUCGUGGAUAUUCCUAGUCAAUAUUGGCUAGAAUCAGUUGUGUCAUUCGAGCUUCAGAAUACACAAGAUUCACAGCUGGAUCUACCAAUAACUCUGAAAGCCUUCAAGCUUCGCUCCUUUGUGAAAGUAACGAAUGUUCCUUCCAUUGAUAAUGGUGCUGAUCAAUUGCUCUUCUCGUUCUAUCUCAAGCACAUGAAGACACAGUAUGAAACGUGGAGUGCUAGCAAGAUUACUGCACUGGAGGUUACAGGUCCAAUAGAAACCGAAAGCUUCCCUAAUGCGAAGUUCAAGGUUGUGAGAGGUUCUGCUAGUCAGGUUCACGAAUUCACUCUCGCAGACCUACCAUGCCUCAAUCCCUAUGACUGGAUCAUGCUUUACAACUUGCUACUGAGAGACGGACAUAAGCACGAGACUGUUAUUGCUCACCAUAAAUUGAUGAUAGUUUCGUAUGUUCAAGAGGUUGGUAAAAUGGAUGUGGAAAUUGCUACUGUAUUGCAAAGGAAUCCAUUUGUUCUCCACAAAGAAGCUCCAGAAGGGUUUGAAAAGUUGAAGCUUGGGAAAAUAUACGUGGAACGAUGGUAUGUGGUCUUUUAGGCACGAGAACGGAAUGAAGCAGACUUUCACAAGGCAUGUUUCUUUCUUCCUGAUAAACAUUUGUACACAAUUUCUUGCCUAGAGUAUAUUUUGGACAUGGUCAAUAAAUUCAAGGGCAACAACAAGGGAGACAAGAAGUGCUUUUCAGAUAUGAUUCAAUGGUAUAUCCAGGUUCGCAAGUCUUUGAUGAGUAUCAUUCCGAAAGUCUUUGAAGUGCAUAAGCGAACUCAACCAUGAUGGACUCUCGCCUAAAUUGACGCAAAGGGGGAGAUUGUUAGGAAUAUUAUGUUGCAUCAUUGUGCUUAUUUAAUAGUCCAUUUAUUUAAAUGGGCUUGGGCUUGUGCACCCGUCAUUUAUUAGGGUUAGAGUAUUUAAGGUGCAUGCAUGCACCAUGUUUCAUAACUUUGGCAAUAUUCUUGUAACCCUAAUCACGUCUCUAUAGUAGCAAUUGUUAAUCGAGUUAUUCUGAGGCUGUGGCUUAUAUUUAUUAAGCACAUUUUGAAUCAUUGUCAUGUUCUUGUUCUUAAUAUGUUUUGAAUCUAAUCGAUCUUUCAAGGAUUAAUAUCCUAACAAAAGUCCUAUUCUUUCUUUUAGCUACACCAUUUUGUUGUGGUGUAUAAGGAGCUGUGGUUUGAUGUAUUAUUCCCGUUGAUUCAAAAUAAACUGCCUCAUAAUACUCAACACCUCUACUAGUACAGAAAACUUUUAUUAAUUCAUUUUUAUAAAGCUCAACUUGUUGUUUAUAAAUUUUAAAUUUAUCAAGUGCUUCAUCCUUAGAAUGUAGCAAAUAUACAUAACAAUAUCUAGAUGAAUCAUCAAUAAAAGUAACAAUAUCUUUUUGUUUCCAAGGGAAGGUGUUGCAUGGAAAACACAUAAAUCACUAUGUAUAAGUUCCAACACCUUGCUGUCCCUAACAACAUCUUUGAAAGGUUGUCUAGUGAUUUUAGUUAGCAUGCAUAUUUUAGUUUUUUCAUUAUUUUGCAUAUCAAAAGCAGGAAUAAAAUUAUUUCAGACAUGUCAUUUGAUCUCUUUAAUGAAUGUGUCUUAGUCUAACAUGCCAUAAUUCAGAUUAAUUAAAAUUAUUGCUAGUACAAGUAGAAGUCAUGCAAAGAGAAUUAUCAGUAAAAGGAUAAUUAAUAUCAAGUCUAAUCAUUCCAUUUCACACAUAUCCAAAUCCGAUAAAAGAACCAUGUCUUGACAAGAUAUACUUAUCACUUUCUAAUACUUGUUUGUAACCACAAUUAUUUAAAACAAUUUUUGACACAAGAUUCUUUCGAUUCCCCGAUACAUAUAAAACAUUGUUUAGACACAAACAAUUUCCAGAAGUAAUGUAAAGUAAAACAUAUCCUAAACCCUUGAUUGCAUCAGUUGAAACAUUUCCCAUUUUCACCACGAGAUCCAUCUUUAAUUGGUUGACAUUCCUUGAACCAAUGGAGAUCCAUACAUAUAUGACUUGUUGCUCCCGAAUCAACCUACCCUGAAACAUCAUCAUCCUACACAUAAAAUGCAUCAGAAAUCACAGAAAUAUAAUUCUAAACAUAUUUAGAAUUCUGCAUGGAAACAUAAAUCUAACCUUGUUGCUUUUCUGGAUACUUGGAUCCACUUGGUCCAACACCAUCCUUGUUCACUUUGCAAAGAUGACAAUCUUUCUUGAAGUGUCCCAGUUUGAUACAAUUCCAAAAAACCAACUUAGCCUUCUUGUUUGAAGACUUGUCAUCCUUUCCUUUAAACUUCAUUUUUUCCAUUAGACUUCUUGGUAUUCUUUGAACUUUAUCCUUCCACCAUGCUCAUAGAAGAGGAACCAACUUGGUUCUUUCCUUUAGGACUGUUAUCAAGUUCUUGAGUCCUUAAGGACUCUUCGAUCCGUAAAUGGCUUCCAAGUUAAGUCAAUGUUAAUUCCUCUUUGUUAUGUUUCAGAUUAUGUUUAAAAUCUUUCCAGGAAGGGGGAAGUUUGUCAAUGAUCAUAGCCACAAAAAUGGCUUCAUCCAUUUUUAGAUUGUGUUGAGCAGACUAUCCCAGGAUCCUUAACAUUUCAUGGAAUUAUUCCAUAAUAAACCUGGAGUCAAUCAUCUUCUCACUCAUAAAGUUAUUGACAAGAAACUUCUUGCUAGAAGCAUCUUCAACCAUGUAUUUGGAUUCAAGAGAAUCCCACAGUUCUUUAGCAGAUUCAAAAUUUAGAUAAAUAUCACAAAGAGAGUCAGACAUACCACUGAGAAUAUGACCACGACAUAUGUAAUCAUCAUUUUCCCACUUUGAUCUCCUUCUUGUUGCCUCCAAUGGUUCAUCUUCAACAGAUUCUAGUAAGACUCGCAUGGUGUACUCUGAACAUACAACACUUUUAGAGUGGUAAGGAGAAAGUGCAUCUUCUUUUGCCAUCUACGAAAAUCUUGCACUUCAAACUUGUUCAACUUGUCAAACUUGCUUGUCAUAUGUUUCACAGAAUCGCCACUUGCCAUGAUCACAAAAUACUUCGAUUUUUAUUAGAAAAAAAUGGGUUUAAUGGCACUUAGAAAUCUGAGAAUCGUGAUUAUCACUUUUAAAUCGAAGUAAUUGGGUGGUACUCCCAAAUCCUUAAUUUGAUAAGACUCAGAGAGACAAGAAUAGAGAUUGUUUGAUGAUAUUUUCAUAUGUACCAGAAAUGUGACCAAAACCAACUUUAAGAUCUCUGUCUGAAAACAGCCAUAUGAUAGUUUUAAAUUGUCAUAAAUCCAAAAAAACUGACUUAAAAACGGAUAUUUGGAUAAAUGUCAAACCAAUGGUCAAUUAUCUGAAAAACGAAUUUUCUGAUGCAUUUUUAAUAUAGCACGACCCCAUCCAGGGGCUCUGCUCCUUGGAACCCACCAGGGGCUGCCGCCCCUUGGACCCAGCUCCCAGGGGCGCAGCCCCCAGACCCCCGUUCGUUCAGGAGCUUCGCCCCUAAAUGACAAUGUAUUUUGAAACUUGGUCAAAACUUAAACAUGUGUGUAGUUCACACCCUUCCUUACUAGUUUAAUAUUUAUCAAGAUCAGUUUUUGUCAACAAAGUAAUCAUAUUACAAUUAAAUAACAUUGAUGAUAACAAAAUCACCAACACGUUUUACUUUUAUUUUAAGAAAAAAAUAUAUUUAUAUAUUAUCCUUUUCAAACAAUUAUCAUUUUAUAUAGCGUUUAAGAAAAAUUAUAGGCUUUUUCUAAUACAUUUUCUAAAUUGUCCUUAAAACUAUUUUUAUUUGUUUAAUUUUUAAACAACUGUCCUCUUAUGUAAUUUUACAAAAGUCAAAAGCUUGUAGCUAUUUUUGUCAAAUAUUCACACUUUAAUAAUCAAAUUAAAAGUCAAACUAAAGUUGGUUGUUAAGGGUUUAACUUUUAUAUUUAGCAGAAAUAUAUUUAUAUACUUGUGUUUUUCAAACAACUAUCAUUUUAUGUCAUUUUAUGUACCGUUUAAGAAAUAACUAUAGGUUUUUUUGACCUAUUUUUAGAAUUCCCCUUAAAAAUAUAUUUAUAUAUUUAAUUUUUAAACAACUGUCCUCUUAUGUAAUUUUACAUAUAUCAAAAACUUAUAAUAACUUUUGUCAAACAUUCAUACUAACAAAUGAAAACUACAACUUUCAUCUAACAACUACCUACUAUAACUUAUGAGUGUACAAUCAAUUUUGUUAAAUACACACUCAAUGGUACACUUUCAUGAUCAAAUUAAAAGUCAAAAUGAAGUUGGUUGUUCUUUUUUUUUUUGAAAAGAGUUAGUUGUUCUUUUCCACUAACGUUGCUAAAAAAAAUAACUACCAAUUUCACAUAUUGAAAUCGAAAAAAAAAAAACGUUAGAAUAUUUUUAUAUUAAACAACAACCAACUUGGUUCAUGUAUACCGACAUAAACAAAUUCUUUUUUGAAGAUCCAAACAUUUUCUUUAUGAUUAUCGAACCUUGGUAACCAAAUUAAAAUCAAGUUGGUUAUCAUUUUUUCCAUUAAGCCUACCAAAGAAAUAUAACCAUGGAAAUCUUUUUAAAAGUUCAAAGAUGUUCUUCACAAUAUUCAAGCUUUAGCAACUCAUAAAUAAAAUUAAAAUCAAGUCGGUUGUCAUUUUUUUGCCAUUAACUCUAUUGAGAAAAAACCACAAUCAACUUUGGUUUACCAAAAUCUAAAAAUCAUCAAGAAAAAGUUUUCAUUUUGCAUAGAAUAAAAAUGGAUUGGUUCAUAUAUAUUAACCGAAGAAAAUUGUAAAAAGAGUUUAAGUCUUUCUUCAUGAAGUAUAUGAAUCAUACUGGUCGAUUUAGAAAUUCAAUCGAAAUCGGUGGUGACUGAUGAUAUUAAUGGUAUCCAGCUAUAAAUGGAGAGGAAAAAAGCUUUACUUCAAUUACUAGACAUGGAACCUUCAUUGUUACUUGCUUUCUUAGUCUUAGACAACCAUGCAUGCCUCUUUUUUCCACAAAAACACCAAAUGCCAUUUGACAAUAGUUUUUGUCCACUUAAAAAGGAAAAAAAAAAGAGUAGAAAUAAAUGAAUGGACUUUAUCCUGUUCUCAUUCAUUCCUAUCCUAUAAUUCUAGCGUUUUUAUAAGCUUUGGAUAUUAGUUGUUUUUUUAAUGUAUAAAUAAUGUAUCAUAUAAAGUUAAUCAAUAUCAUGUCUUAAAUCAUCAUAAUUAGUCGUCGAUAAUUAUGAUCUGACAUAUUAUCAUCACAAAUGAUUGAAUUAAACAUCCACAAUGAUCAAUUUAUAUUAUGACUUAUCGGUGAAAACGACAUGUGAAAAAUGUAUUUUUAAGAGUGUACAACUUCCUAAUAAUUGAUGAUCUCACAUCUCUUCUACGCAGAUGAUGCGUUAUUUAUUAGUGACCGGUCUAAAAUGAACAUUAGGAAUUUAACUCAGAUCCUGCGGUGCUUCUAUGCUUCUUCUGGCCUUAAGUUUAACUUACACAAUUCCAAAGUCUUCGGUAUUAGAGCUUCCUUGCAAGAAACAACAAGAUGGGUGCAUAUUCUUGGUUGUGAGCCUUAUUCCAUUCCUUUUAAUUAUUUAUGUGUCCCGGUAGGUGCAAAUAUGAAUCUUAAGAAAAUUUGGAAACCUAUCAUCGAGAGGAUCCAAGCAAAACUCACAGUUUGGAAGGCCAAAAAACCUAUCUUUUAGAGGUCGUCUAAUAGUGAUUAAAUCGGUGUUAGGAAAUCUCCCUGCUUAUUAUCUUUCUUUUGUGUUGCCCCUGCAGGUGUGAUCUCUCAGUUGGAAAAGCUCAGACGGAGAUUUUUAUGGGGUGCUUCGGAAGACAAUAGGAAGAUAAGAUGGGUGUCUUGGAGCAAGAUCACCUAAGCUAUUGAAGAUGGAGGUCUUAGUGUUGGCUUGAUAGAGGAUCUAAACAUAACUCUCAUUUGCAAGUGGCACUGAAUAUUGAAGAUGAAGAAAGAGUCAUAAUGGAACAAAGUUGUCACAUGCAUCCACAACUUGGAUUCAAGAUCCACAUACAAACUAUCUAACAAUUUUAUUACGGGUGUGCGGAACAACAUCACCAGAAUCAAGGUUGAGUUGAUCAAGCGAGACAUUCCGAUGAAUGCUAUUAUUAAAAGAACUAUUAACUCUAGAGAUGACACGUUAUUUUUCAAUGAUGAGUGGAUUGGGUGUGGACCAUUCAAACUCACAUUUCCUAACCUCUAUAGUUUGGAAUUGCAAAAGAGAUGCAAGAUUUCUGAUUAGAUAUAUGAUAGUGGGUUUUCUUGGUCUUGCUCUAGUCAGCCUAAUCCACAACAAAUUAGCCAACUAAUGCAUAUCCUUGAAUCAAUUCGACUAAACUGAAACAAAGACUUGUGGACAUGUGGGUUAUCUACAAACGAGUACUUCUCUUUCGAAGCGUGUAGAUGUAGAUUGAACCUGCCUCGAAGUGGAUUGGAUGGUAGCUCCUUCGUGUGGCUUAAAGAAGUGCCUAUAAAGGCCUCUUGCUUUGUUUCGCAUGCAGUUCAAAACUGUAUCCCCACUGCUUUGGCUCUCAGAAAUCGAGGAAUCAACAUAGUUUCUGUUACUUGUGGGGAAUGCAAUUUAGUCGACGAGUUUGUUGGUCAUCUGUUGUGCUCGUGCUCCUUUGCCAAAGAUACUUGGGAAUGAAAUUUUUGAUAGUGUGGUAUAUCAAUGCAUCUUUUUGCUUAGACAAGUGAAGUGCUAGAGUUUGCGACGACAUGGGGAAAUUUCCCAUAAAAGAAAAAGGUCUUGGUGGGUAUUUGGUAUGGGACGAGUUGAGUCUAUGGUAAGUAAGGAACAAUAGAACUUUCAAUCAAUUUCGGAUUACACCAACAAAGAUUAUGGACAUAGUUAAGUCAACAAUUUUCAUUUUGUUCAAACACAUAAGUAUUAAAGAAGCAUAUAAUUGGAUAGAUUGGUUUGUUAAUCCACUCAUGUAGCAAACUUAGUUGGAGUGUUCUAUCUUUCUAUCUUUGUAUGUUAUGGUGAUUUAUUAUGAUUUGUUUGGUUUUCUUUUCCUUUUCCCUGCCUAGUUGUCUGCUAGUUCGGGUUCUUUUUCUUCUUUUCUCUUCUUAAUAAAAUCUGCUAGUUCCAAAAAAACUUAAUUUUUUUUUCAUUAAUUCUUAUUUCUAAUUAAAUGACAUCUUCAAUAACAAGGUUUUCUCAAAAGUGUUUCUAUUACUUUAAUAUAAGGUUGUAACGUCCCAAAAUACCGAGUAAAAUUUUCGCUUUUCAUUAAGUAAAAACCAUUCAUUAAUUAUUCCAAAAGACAACCAGAGUAAAAGUACUCUCAAAACAUCAAAGUAAAAUCAUAAAUAAUCAUUGCAGAAUAAUCUCCAGAGGAUGCGGUGCGAUCAAGCCAGGGCCCUUCCUUUUGAAACCAGACGUACCUGAAAAUAUUUUGAACAUAAACCGUAAGUACAAAGCUUAGUGAGUUCCCGAAAAUACCACUUACAACAUAUAAGUAUAUAACGAAACGUAACUAUGUCAUAUCCGUAUCCACCACCAGAUCUGUAUCAACCCUGAGUCCAUAAUGACUCUAUAUAACAUCAUGUAGUUGUGUCGGGUUUGUAUCAAAGGAUAGCCCAUAAUUACUCUAUAUAACAAAACAUAGUUGUUUCGGGUCCGUAUCAAGCCCACAUACAUAAAACAUACAGUCAUCUCAGCAAGAGUCACAAAGACAAUCACGCACAUACAGACAUAUCAUCAAGUGUCACAAAGGCAACUAUCAUCCUACAAACAUAAUCCAGCGGGAUGACAUUGGUGCCUUCAACCCGCGAGUACAGUGAAGAGACUCACGUGAACAACAGUGAAGAGACUCACGUGAACAACUCAACAAAAGCCCAAUAGCUAUGUAACACCCAUAAAAAUCAAGCCAAUUUAAAAAAUUUUCAAAUAUCCAAAAGUCAUUAGUUAUUACAAAAUGUUUUUAAAAUAGUUUAAUAUCAGAGUAUCCCAGAAACCAUAAGUCCAAAACACGAGUCAUCUGAAGCACCUGAACACAAUAAACUGAAACUAUAAGCAAAAAGCUUAGUGACUUCCCCUAAAAUACCCAUAUACACAACAAUGCACAUAUAAUCACAAACAACAUACUAUGGGUCCAAUCAACCAUCGGGUUGGAAUACCCCAUGCCCUCAACCAUCGGGUUGGAAUGCGAACAUAGUAUGCAUCCAAUCAUCCAUCGGGAUGGAAUACCCCUGGCCUGUUGACUGACGCACGAAGCAGCCCAGUCUCACCGUAUACAAUGACAGAUGUUUCGGGUCCAAUCAUCCAUCCGGAUGGAAUACCCCAGGAUGGAAUGCCAAUAUAUAUAUAUAUAUAUAUAUAUAUAUAUAUAACGGGUCCACUCAUCUUCAGGAUGGAAUACCCGUGGCCCACAACCAUCGGGUUGGAAUGCCCCACUUUUUUGGCUCUCGCACCAAGCAGAUUAGCCUCAGCCACUAAUAAAAAAUGUGCUCAUAUAUCAGCUAAUCACAUAAUAGUCUAUAGACAGACAAACCGAUCUAACAUAUCAUAACAACGUAGUAACAUCCUAUUUACUAGGAUACUGAUCUACUGGAUCAUAGCAACAUUUAAUAUCCUAUCUACCAGUAUACUGAUCUAACGGAUCAUAACAACAUAUAACAUCCUAUCUACCAGGAUACUGAUCUAAUGGAUCAUACAAUACUCGAGCAUAUAACAUAGCAGGCUAGCAAUACAAAAGGGUUGGCCAUGGUGCCUUAGACCCUUAGGUAUAGAGAGAAAAACUCACCUCACACUAUUGAUGUCCCGCGAAUAAAACUACAGCAGCUGGUUGAUAGAUUCCUGAGCUGUCAACAACAAACAACAUCCAAUUAGUAAUUUUGUUCCAAGCCCAAGGUCCAACUCACACUCUAAAGGCCCAAAAGUCAAGUAAUGGACAACAGCCCAAAAUAUGGCUCAAUUUUCCAAAUUGGGCCUAGACCUCUACAUGGUCUUAUGCUAAGGCCAUCCAAUUAUUCUAUUCCAAACUCUUGGUAUUUCCAUGGCCCAAUAUCAUGUAAUUGUCAAGGCCCAGUUAUGACCCACCUAUGGCCCAAUUUUCCAAAUUGGUCCCAAGUCUUUCACAUGGGCAUUAUCCUAAAGCUCAUCAAAUUAUUUUGGUCCAUUUACUUGUUCUUCGAUAGACCAUAAAUAGUCCAAUCACCAAAUCCCAAUAGGAAGGCCCAAGUGAAAUUAGGGUUUUCACAUGAAAUGACGAUUAAGGUUAAGUGUUUCUUACAUAACCCAUUAAGUCCAAUAUUGCCUUAGGUUAAUUUGCACCUGAUUAUUAAUUAUUAUUUUAAGUUUAAUAAAUAAUUCUUGUGCCGUCCUGACCAAUCCCAAAAUUAGGGUUUCAAGGCAUUAGGGUUUUCCAAACCCUAAUUAGGGUUUCCAACCCAAAUACUAGCCCAUUAAUCAAAUGGGCUUUUAGGUCAAUUAGCGUUUCAUGGGGACUAUUAGGGUUUCAUUAGGCGUAUUAGCGUUUCAUUGGGCCCAAUUUUUCAAAGCAUCCCGAAUCGAGUCAAAACGUAAACGAGGCACACCGCUACCCAACAUGGUGGUUGGUUGCGGCACGAGGCGGCAACCAGCACCUCACGGUGGUGGUUAUGAGUUUUUCUAUUGAUUAUUCCGACACUACUAUAAUUUACAACACAAUGCAAAACACACACACAUAUACACUAUUAAAAACACACACACAUACUAUUAAAAACACACAACCACCUUGUAGUAGCCGACGGUGGUAAAAGGUGACAGCUACCACCUCACGGUGGUGGUGGUGGUUCACUUCUGCUUCCUGAUCACGCAACACACAUCCAUUUAUUGCUCGGGAAAUGAGCACAAUCACCCACCUUGCAGCGACAAACAGCGGCGACGAAUUAGAGUGGCGGCAACGAAAGCAAUCAGCGGUAUCACUCGUCAUCGAUAGCGGCCACCAUGGCCGGCUGCCAUGGUGGUUCUUCACGAUUCCCACUGGACAGAAAACCACACUCGCAAACGCACCCUCAUCACAACCACGAACCACCAUGGUCUCCACGGUUGUCGGCCUUUGAUCCCUUCGAUUGAACACGACAGGAGGCGGCAUUUUCGUCUUCAUCGGCGGUGAAACAACACGACGGCUCCUCGGUGAUCUUAUGGCUUCAACAACGGUGGCAGAAGUCGUAGACGAAGACUGAUCCAACGGGGAAGGGAGGCUGUGCCUUCUCCGGAGUACGAAUCGACAACAGCGGGGCUAAAUAGUGGUGAUCGAUCUUGACAAGGUGGAUGUAGAAAGAUAAGGAGAAGAGCGGCGGUUUCUGGUGGUCGCUGUUGUCGGCGGUUGAUGAUGGGUGGUCUAGCUUCAGCAUGGUGGCAACACUGGUGGUCUUGCUGAUCAAAAAACGGGAGUGAAGGGGGGUAGUGGCAGCCGGAGGUUAGGGGGGUGGCAGCUACAUUAGGGUUAGGUUUAGGCUUGCAUGUGUGAUGGAUUUAUAUGCAGUCGUCCCAUAUAAAAUUUUGGCCCUAUUGACAACUUCGGCUCCUCCAAGCCCAUUCCUUUCAACUUAACUACAAUAUUUUACCAUUUUAGCCCCAACCAUCCAGAAACUCUUCACAUUAAGUCCAUAAUUUACUAUUAAGUCCCUGCCCCCAAGACUCUAUUCAGUUAAAGUCCGAAUGAUACUAAACACCCCCUAACUACUAAAAAUCUUUACAAAAUAAGUCCUGAAAUUACACUUUAACCCCCGAAACUCUAAAUCAUGUCAUUUGGCUUCCCGAAACCAACACCCCGCUAAUUAUUAUUUGAUUUUGAGCUCUAAUAAUAUAAAAUAGUAAUAAAAAUUACUUCUCAUGGUUAUGUGUUUAUUAUUUAAUUAUUAUUUUAAAUGGAAUGUUACAACUCUCCCCCAUUUAAAUUGGAUUUCGUCCUCGAAAUUUUUGUUAUCAUUCCUUAUACGCCAGGCAACUUGUACUACAUGGUCACAAUCCCGAGCAUAACCCCGACCUUUCCAAAACAACCAUAACCAAACCUCAUACGGUUCUUAAACCUUAAGAUAAAUGGAUUCUUUGCAAUAUGAUCACAUUUACUCACUCUGAAAUCUGUUGUCUCGAGAUGGUCUGACUUCCUGACAGACCGCUCAUAACAAAUCGUUGUCGGACUCAUUGCACUUAUCUACCAAAUGGCUACUCAACUUCUAAUAGCCUGAGGUUCCACCUAGAACACAGAGACACAAACCAAAUUUCCUUGCAAUACACUUAUACUUGACAAAAAACUCAUCCGAAACAUCAGAUUCCUGCCCGGUUGCUGAAUUAACAAGUGAUCUUACAGUCUCUCCACGGGACUUCCGAAUAAAACUUCGACUAGUAAUAACUGCCCUAGCUAUAUUACCACUUAUCGCUCCAUCAAUCCUUCUGAUCCAUCCAAUCAUAACAGCCUGACAACCUGAAUCCAUCGAUUCUAAUGCGAAAAUUGAAUGCUACCAAAAUAACUGCAGUAUUACAUCGUGCCCGGUCCCCAACAACCUACCAUUUCCAGAUUCCAAUCAUGUUGUGGUCUACCUACAAACUUAUGAACUGGUCCACCCUAGUCUAAUUAUCUGAAAGAAUCCGUGAAUGAUACGGUUACUCCGUCAGUCUUACAACACAUUUGCUCUAACACAACCGCAACCCGAUACCUUACCCUCAAUCUAUCAAUCCAAAAACCCUCAGAGUCAAGCACACACUUGACCGACAGCCGAACUGAACUCAAUUCAUGACUAGAACCCCAAACUUUUUCACCAAAUUCUGCUAUCAAGCACCGAGAAGACGCGAUACACAUAUUGGGGAGUUUUACCGAACUCCCAACUCACACAACCCUCAAACCAAACAGUCACUUGGGCUGCCUUUCUUCCUGACAAGGAUACGAAACAUAUCCCAGUUUCGAAACCGCUUAUGCUUCUACAUUUUGGGAUGAUUCUCCCCCACUUAGCUUCGACUAAGUCUUCACAAUACAUCAAAGUUGGAGAAUUCUCAAUCCUUGUCACCUUCCAACGAUCGAUUCGAUUACAACCAUCUCUUCCCAACUAGUGCUCCGUUACUAGGAAAUCCUAAAUACUCACACACUUCUAAGAACUAGAUGAACACUUCCUGAAUACUUGGGAAACCAACAGUCCCUAAUGAUGGAAUGAUCCCACACUCAAUUCUUGAAGGCCAGAAGAUAGGUGCUCCAACUAAUACCUCAACAACGAGCUACUUCCCUUGGUUUUUUCAUUCGCCAAUCAAUAAUUGUUACUCAAACCACUAAAUCCUGACAAUGCUGAAUAACCAUCCUAUGGGACCCUGUCCACAAAAAUUUCACACAAUACCUUUCUUCCCAAAGAGAUCCAAACAAAUCUCCAGCUCUCAGGCUCUAGAAAUCAUUUCAUUCAAGGUUUGUACCCUGACUCACUCACCAGCUCCAUCAUACACAACUAUACUGCAGUAGCUGAAGCAACCUCUGCCCUAAACCAGACUACAACUACUCCCAAGACAUAGUCUACAAUCCCAAAAGUGCAAUAGAUCACACAAUCAAUCCUUAUUUCCCGAUAUAAGAGAUCCAAGGCGAACCGGACCUCACAAAAUACUUAUGCCACAUCGAACCACCCGUGCUCACCAGCGCCGAACUAUUUUGGCCAAUCCUGACGAACAAUUGACCCCGAGCUGGAAUACAACCUGAUCCUGGGGUCACAAGCCUGCUCACUCCUUCGAGUUUGAAAAAUGAAAGGGCACAAUCCUUGCACUAGAAAAUGACAUUCCACUCCAUCAAUUAACCAUUCAAAUUCCUGCUGCAACACUCCAGCUGCACAUAAUCAUCACUCCCUUCCGGAGUCCCCGUGUCUCGGAUUUCGGCCUUGAGCAAAACCCCCGAAGCCUCAAAUCCAGAAACGCCUAUGCUAGCCUCUCCCGCUCAUCCCACGGAAUGUAACGAGUAUAGAACAUCUCCCUGAUUACAAUAAUUGCACCCCCUGCUCAUCAAAAUAUGUUCCAGUAACAAGUCACUGUACUGGAAAGCUCGACCAGCUCUUCCCCUACCGCUGUUACAGCUGUUGCAGCUGCGGCAACAACCGUCUCAGCGAGGGCUACAUAGCGCUCAUCAAAAGACUCAACCAUGGCGGUCUUAAUAGACCCAAAUAUCUCUAACAAUUGUCCCCAAACAAUCUUGAUCACCUACUCCCGGAUGAUCUCACUAAGACGACCCUAUAACAAUACUGGCUUAUCAUGGCUGCCAGCUCCCGAUCCUGACCUGGAUCUGGUCUCAUGACGUCUCGUAACCACCAUUCUGUUAAUACACCAGAAAGAUCUCUGAUAAUCCAUAUAAUGACAGGGAACCAACUCCCAACCCAACCCUAGGGUUUGUAACUUUCUUGCUAUGCAUAUGGGUCUUGUGCUCUAAGUAGUACGGGCCCAUACUACCUUCCACACCUACCCAUACUUGUCUCAAGUAUCACCACAACACCCUAAAAUUAUACAAAACAUAGUGAGCAAUCAAUCCUCACUCCUAGAGGAAUGCUAAAUAUCCCAUAAUUGGCCUCCCGACGUCUCACAACCCACCCAUGAAACUUCCACCAACCCUGCAACACUCGUGUAUGCUAACCAUACAUAACGCUGGACCCUAUAAACUUCCGAAUACUUGAUCGUACCCUAAGCCCUUCACCAAAAAAUAACAAGAAAUAAACCCAAACCAAACAUUCUCAGGCUAUAAGAUCUUAAUUAUGUACAACCGUGAUGCAUACAUAAGCAGCAACAAUAAUGAUGUCAAUUUAAUACAAGAAAACUCUAGUCAAUCAGGCAUCAUGUAAUCAGACAAUUUUAUCACACAAUUCCUGAAGAUCCCUACCCUAGUACUAACAUGUUGUUCGAACAUAUCACAAUAUCAGAUAAUUGCAUGGCAUUUUGGGGUCUACUUACUGGCUCCGGAUGAUCAUACACUUGCAUCUUCCCCCAUUAUUUUGAAAACCAUUUGAAAACCAUUUUGAAAAUCUUUUCCUUGAUUUGAGACUGGAUUCAGACGAAUGUUCCUCCAAUUCACUCAAACUAAGGGUCUAAUACCAACUUGUAACACCCAUAAAAAUCAAGCCAAUUUAAAACUUUUUCAAACAUCCAAAAGCCAUUAGCUAUAACAAAAUGUUUUCAAAAUAGUUUAAUAUCAGAGUAUCCUAGAAACCAUAAGUCCAAAACACAAGGAUGUGUCACGCCUUCGCCUUGCCGAGUCAUCUGAAGCACCUGAAAAAAUAAACUGAAACCGUAAGCACAAAGCUUAGUGAGUUCCCCCAAAAUACCCAUACAUACAACAAUAUACAUAUAAUCACAAAAAUCAUACUAUGGUUCCAAUCAACCAUCGGGUUAGAAUACCCUAGGCCCUCAACCAUCAGGUUGGAAUUACAACAUACUAUGGGUCCAAUCAUCCAUUAGGAUGGAAUACCUCUGGCCUGUUGACUGACACACGAAGCAGCCCAGUCUCAUCGUAUAAAAUGACAAAUGUGUCGGGUCCAAUCAACCAUCGAGUUGGAAUACCCCUGGCCCAAUCAACCUCCGGGUCCAGUCAUUGAUCUACAUGGAAUACCCCAGGUUGGAAUGCCAUUAUAUAUAUAUAUAUAUAUAUAUANNNNNNNNNNNNNNNAUAAUAAUAUAUAUAUAUAUAUGUAUAUAUAUAUAUAUAUAUAUAUAUAUAUAUAUAUAUAACGGGUCCAGUCAUCCUCAGGAUGGAAUACCCUCGACCCACAACCAUCGGGCUGGAAUGCCCACAUACUACUAGUCCAAUCAUCCUCGGGAUGGAAUACUCACAGCCCACAACCAUCGGGUUGGAAUUCCCUGGUCUGUUGGCUCUCGAACCAAGCAGAUAAGCCUCAACCACUAAUCAAGCAUGUGCACAUAUAUCAGCUAAUCACAUAACAGUUUAUAGACGAAUUAAGCGAUCUACCAAAUCAUAACAACAUAGUAACAUCCUAUCUAUCAGGAUACUGAUCUAACGGAUCAUAGCAAUAUGAAACAUCCUAUCUACCAGGAUACUGAUCUAAAGGAUCUUAACAAUAGAUAGCAUCAUAUCUUCCAGGAUACUGAUAUAAUAGAUCAUACAAUACUCGAGCAUAUAACAUAUCAUGAUAGCAAUCCAAAAGGGUCGGCCUUGGUGCCCUAGACCCUUAGCUAUAGUGAGGAAAACUCACCUCACACUACCGAAGUCCCAUGAAUAAAACUCCAGCUGCUAGUUGACGGAUUCCUGAGUUGUCAACAUCAAACAACACCCAAUUAAUAAUUGUUUUCCAAGGCCAAGGUCCAAAUCACACUCUAAAGGGCCAAAAGUCAAGUGAUGGGCCACAACCCAAAAUAUGGCCCAAGUUUCUAAAUUGGGCCCAAACCUCUGCAUGGUCUUACCCUAAGUCCCAUCCAAUUAUUCUAGUCCAAACUCUUUGUAUUUCCAUGGCUCAAUAUCACGUAAUCAUUCAGGCCCAGUUAUGGCCCACCUAUGGCCCAAUUUUCCAAAUUGAUCCCAAGUCUUUCACAUGGGCCUUAUCCUAAAGCUCAUCCAAUUAUUUUGGUCCAUUUACUUGUUCUUGGAUAGCCCAUCAAUAGUCUAAUCACCAAAGCCCAAUAGGAAGGCCCAACUCAAGGCCCAAGUGAAAUUAGGGUUUUCACAUGAAAUAACGAUUAGGGUUAAGUGUUUCUUACUUAACCCAUUAAGGACUUGAUCCAUUAAGUCCAAUAUUUCCUUAGGUUAAUUUGCACCUGAUUAUUAAUUAUUAUUUUAAGUUUAAUAAAUAACUCUCGUGUGGUCCCGACCAAUCCCAAAAUGAGGGUUUCAAGGCAUUAGGGUUUUCAAACCCUAAUUAGGGUUUCCAACCCAAAACUAGCCCAUUAAUCAAAUGGGCUUUUAGGUCAAUUAGGGCUUCAAUUGGCUAAUUAGGGUUUCAUUGGGACCAUUAGGGUUUCAUUGGGACCACUUUGUCCAAGUAUCCCUAAUCGAGUCAAAACACAAACGAGGCACACCGCCACCCAAAACGGCGGUUGGUGGCAGCAGGAGGCGGCAGUCACCACCUCACAAUGGUGGUUAUAAGUUUUUUAUUAUUAUUUUGGCCGAUUACAAUACAUUACAACACAAUCCAAAUAACACACACACACACAUACANUCACCAAAGCCCAAUAGGAAGGCCCAACUCAAGGCCCAAGUGAAAUUAGGGUUUUCACAUGAAAUAACGAUUAGGGUUAAGUGUUUCUUACUUAACCCAUUAAGGACUUGAUCCAUUAAGUCCAAUAUUUCCUUAGGUUAAUUUGCACCUGAUUAUUAAUUAUUAUUUUAAGUUUAAUAAAUAACUCUCGUGUGGUCCCGACCAAUCCCAAAAUGAGGGUUUCAAGGCAUUAGGGUUUUCAAACCCUAAUUAGGGUUUCCAACCCAAAACUAGCCCAUUAAUCAAAUGGGCUUUUAGGUCAAUUAGGGCUUCAAUUGGCUAAUUAGGGUUUCAUUGGGACCAUUAGGGUUUCAUUGGGACCACUUUGUCCAAGUAUCCCUAAUCGAGUCAAAACACAAACGAGGCACACCGCCACCCAAAACGGCGGUUGGUGGCGACAAGAAGUGGUAGCCAUCACCUCACGGUGAUGGUUAUGAGUUUUUCUAUUGAUUAUUCUGACACUAUUACAUUUUACAACACAAUCCAAAAACACACACACACUAAUAAAAACACACACACACUAAUAAAAACACAUACACACAACCACCUUAUGGUGGCCGACGAAGGUAGAGAGUGACAUCCACCACCUCACGGUGGUGGUGGUGGUUCAGUUCCGCUUCUUGAUCACGCAACAUACAUCCAUCUGUUGCUCGGGAAAUGAGCACAAUCACCCACCUUACGACGGAAAACAUCGGCGACGACUUGGAGUGGCAGCAACGGCUAGAAUCGACGGUAUCAGUCGUCAACGGUAGCGGCCACCAUGGCCACCUGCCUUGGUGGUUCUUCAUUACUCCUACUCAAGAGAAAACCGCACUCGCACACGCAACCUCAUCAUAACCACGAACCACCAUGGUCUCCACGGUUGUCGGCCUUUGAUCCUUUCGACUGAACACAACAGGUGGUGACAGUUCCGUCUUCAUUGGCGGUGAGACGAAAUGACGGAUCCUCGGUGAUCUUAUGGCUUUACCAACGAUGGCAUAAGUCGUAGAAGAAGAUCGCUGCAGCGGGGAAGGGAGGUUGCACCUCCGCCAGAGUACGACUCGACAACAGCGACACUAAAUGGUGGCGACCGAUCUUGACAAGGUGGAUGGAGAAAGAGAAGGAGAAGAGUGGCAGUUUCUGGUGGUCAUUGUCGUCGGCAGAUGACGAUGGGCGUUCCAACUUCAGCAUGGUAGCAACGCCGAUGGUCUUACUGAUUAAAAAACGGGAGUGAAGGGGGGGUUAGUGGUGACUGAAGGUUAGGAGGGUGGCGGCUACAUUAGGGUUAGGUUAACGGUUCCAUGUGUGAUGGAUUUAUACGCAAACGUUCCAUCUAAAACUAUGGCCCUAUUGAUAAUUUUGGCCCCUCCAAGACCAUUCAUUUCAACUUAACUACAACAAUUUACCCUUUUAGCCCCAACCAUCCAAACCGCUUCACAUUAAGUCCAGAAUUUACCACUAAGUCCCUGCCCCCAAGAAUUUAUUCAGCACCCCGCUAAUUAUUAUUUGAUUUUGUACUAUAAUAAUAUAAAAUAGUAAUAAAAUUACUUCUCAGGUUUACAUGUUUAUUAUUCAAUUAUUCUAUUUUAAACGGAAUGUUACAAGCUACCUCAACAUCAGAACAGCCAACCCAAACUUCCUAAAACCAAACCGAGACCAAUCCUUUGUCAAAUACUCGAUUUUACCCAAGUUUCACCAAAAGUCAAACUGGUCAACAAGUCAACGAUGAAAGUCAAUGUCAAAAUUGCCAAUCAGCAACCCUCCAUGUAGUGGGAAAAAAUGCCAAAAUAAUUGCUAAUCCCCCAAUCGCCACGACGUCCUAGCCUAAGGCCACACCGUGGGGACUGGUUUGGACAACUUAACGAGUUUAAUCCAUUUUCUUCUGAUUUCAAGAGCUCCAAAGCUCAUAUCGAAUCCUUUCCAAGGUCUUAAUGGAUAAAGUUUCUAAAUUUAUCCAUUAGGAAGGUCCAAACCACCAAGAUCUAGAUUUUAAGUCUCAAAGGGACCUUAAAUGCAUCUUUCUCAACUUAAUCCAUUAGGUCUAACUCUCCAAAUUUCAAAUAUGAAUCAAAAAGAUGUCUAGAUGGAUAAGCUUUCCAACAUUAUCCAUAAUAAUUCGACAAUCUUCUAAGAUCUAAACUUUAAUACACCAAAAUGACCUAAAGGACCAAGAUAACUUACAUAGCUAAAAGGGAAGGCAAAAGAUCAUAAAUUUCCUAGUUUAUGGGGUCCAAGAAACAUUCCAAACUUAUAAAAAGAUGUUGGAGUGCAAUCAACUCCUAGAUCACUCAUAAAAUGGACCAAAAGUGCCAAAAACUCCCAAAGAAAAUAUCUAAUGAACUACACAGCAAGAUUGGGAGUUUAUACUCACAAUGAUCCAAAAAUGUAGUACCUUUGAUGGAUCAAAAAUUAAAGCAUUCUUCCUUGCAACUAAACUAACCUUCUAAACCCUAUUCCUUGAAUCAAAAGGCCUUUACUUGAUCCAUUUAUUGCCCGCAUUCCUGAAAUAAGAAACUUAUCAAAACGGGAUGUUAUAACUCUCCUCCAAUUAAAUUGUAUUUCAUCCUCGAAAUCAACUUUGGUUAGAAUAUCGAAAAACAACACCAACGUAUUCCAUAUGUUCCCGUUAACCACUUAGAAAUCGAAGCAUCUAUACAGAAAACUCAAGAGAUCACUCGGAAACCCACAGUUGCUAGCAAAUAACCCAAUAUUCUUGAAAAUACUCAACCGCAACCACUUUCUAGUGAGAACCACUCAAACCAGGAACUCUCAAGUCUGAAACUACAACUAAUGUCAUAAAUAAGCUCCUAAAACUAGGACCCAUCAGUCUAAGUUUCAGAAACCAUACCCUAAGACUGAUGAUCAUCCAUUUGUCGUACCUGUAUCUAGUCCCUGACUAGGAACACCACCAAACCAUGUAGAAUAUAAACUCAAAACAUACCGAUCACGAAUUUCAACCAAUCCCAUAUGGGACACACACUUGAGUUCAUAACAAUUCAUUAACAACCUGUUUAUCUCACAAGUGUAAUGACAGUCCAUCCAAGAGUCUCACGUCACAUCCAAAUCCCUCUUCUGAUCAUCUAUACAACCACUUGACAAUUCAUUCGACACAUUAUCAAACAAUCCUCAUGACCCAAAGUUUAAGAUCCUAAACCCAUAUAUGGUAAUCACACUUCCUAAUAAUAGAUCAUAAGAAGCAGAGACCAACAAAUGACAUCAUUCAACAAGACACUUCUGAUGCACAACUAAUAUCCCAACAAACUUUUAUUGUCCACAUGAUCCAAACCAGUUGGUUACUAAGUCUCCCGACUCCCAAAAAUGCACUGACAUCCAACCAUGCCACUAAGACUAACGUUCUGAGACCUAAGAGUCUCAAUCAAUUGACUACCGGGUCCCACCUAGAUGAAUCAUACAACCACUGGUUCAUGAUAAAUCGUGCCACCUUCUAACCACUAAAACCAUAAGGUCACGUACUAUGUCGAUCUUGCCGUCAUUCCAUCACUGUCCUAAAGACUCAUGGCCACCACCUCAGGGGCCUAAAGAUACACAAUCACUAACCAACCGACUUGUAGGAACCCAAUCAACAUCCAUCAAAACACUAACCAAACACAACAUGAGUCAUACCCUUUUAUCUCGCACACUUCUUGUUACAACACAAGUUGCUACCAACGCAAGACCAGUCGACAACAUAGUCACACACAAUCGGAGAAUGAGAUGGGCGGUUGCACUCUUGUUCCAAUUCAAGAGCUAUAAAAUCAAAUAAUAACCAUGCUAAUAACCCAAGCCAAUUUUUAUCAUGCUAACAUAAUCAGUCCGCAUACACCCCUCACAAUAAUAUCUAAUCAACUUACCACAAUGCACACCCUUAAUAGAAUCCAUAACCAACCCCGAAUAUAUUGCAUUCUUUUCCUCACAACCUUAACCAAAGGGUGAGGCACCAAUAAAUCUAACUAAAUGAGAAAUCUCAAUCAUUAAUAGAAACAUCCUUAUAAAUGACUAAAACAAGAUCCUACCCCUCGGCUAAAAUUUAACAUAUUCCACCAUUACACAACUAGCUCGAUAAUACUUCCAAAGUUAUCAGAAAUGAUGCUAAAGCCAUGGUCAGAUCAAUCCAGAUACCAACCUUGCCGAUACGGCAUGCCAAAAGUCGAUUAUGAGAAGAUCAAAAGCCACACCUAAAAAACUAAACAACACUGCUCCGACAUCCGAACACUUAGUAACCAAGGACAUCUGCAAAAGCCGAGUAUGCUAUGAAUAAUACUCCCAUAAUCAACAUUUGAGGGUACCCAUACCCAUAAUCAAAAUUUAUAUUGUUCACAUUUUGACAAUACGUUGACGCAUCCAUUGACAUCCACUUACACAACUCGAAACUUUCGAAGAAACUCAGCUAUUUAUGAUGAUCAAAAUACCUAACGAUCGAAAAUGCAUUGAAAAUUAAUUCACUGAUCCAAUACACUACCGGACAAAGACCAUGUGGAUCAACACAUACCAAAAUAUGAAGUUCAUUAAACGAUCAACAACUGCCUAGCCUAGACUAUAGAUAUCAAUCUAUACAAUGGGCUAACAAAUCCCUCCACAACUGAUGCUCAACCAUAGUGACCGAAACGCCUCUUGAUCUAUUCACUAGAAACCCGAAGGAAUCAUUGGCUACAACGAGAUCCUUAUGCAACAACUUCCUGCCGUGAAGACAACUUAUGCAUUCAUAAGCACAUACAUCUGAUGGCAACUUGCUUUGUACCCCCGACUUGACCAAAACUCUAGCCAAAGCUUCGCAUACCCAAAUCACAAAUUCCUACGACCCGUUCUUUUGAAUUCAUAAACUCGAAGAGAUCGAUGAUCCUCUAAGAAGAAAACCCACUUCUUCCCCAAUUAGGGUUCGAACUACCACCAACUGACAUUGCAAACAAACCAAGUCUCAAACCGGCUCAACCAAAUACAUAACAUCCCAAACCUAUAGAAUGUAUAACCCAUCGCAAGAUAAUCUUCUAGAUAAAGACCAAGAAAACUAAAAGAGAUUCUAAAUAUCAUAUGGAGACCUCUGAAACUCAAGUAUUCAGUGUCGUUAGGGAAACGUCUAAUUCAAUUAUAAAUUAUCUGCCAUUAAUUAAUCGAUCAUUUUUGUUUAAUUUUAUCUUGAAGAAAGUUAAUUUAUUUGUUACUUUAAUCAUUUUUGAACAUUUUGCACAUGACAACACAAACAUAACAGUUUCGCGUCACGAUAUUGCUAUAAUUCCUUUUAACGUUUUUCUAGUCUUUUCCAUUUAUAGAUGGAUAAUUUAGCAGAUCUUACGUUAAAGGAAAAUGCCAACCCCACAUGGGAAGGAAUAGGUGCAUGUCUUGUGCGACCAACAAUUCGAACAAACACCCACUUCGAACUUAAGGAACAAAUUUUAAAUAUUUUAAACGAAACUCCUUUCUUCAGUAAAGAGUUAGAAAAGACCCACAAUCAUAUUGAAUAGGUGCACGGGAUUACAAAUUACUUUCAUAUUCCUAAAGUAACUAAAGAUGCAGUAAUUCUUCAAAUCUUUCUGAUCACAUUCAAAGGCAAAGCAAAGGAAUGGAUCAAGUCCAUACUUAUAAUUUUGGUCAUGAAAUGGGAGGAACUGAAUAAAUCCUUCAUACACCAUUAUAUCCCACCAUCAAAGGUUGCAAGAUUAAAAACUAAUAUCGAUAAUGUUCAACAACAAGAUGGAAAGACGUUAUUUAAGGCAUGGGAUUGCUAUAAAGAUUUAUUUUGUAAUUUUCCACAACAUGAGUUGAAUGCACGCCAAAGAGUGAUAAAAUUUUACGGUGGAAUUAGUAUCUAUACAAGAUAGUUGGUAGAUUCCUAAGGACCUUUUAGGGGAAGUAUCUCAUGAAACGAAGAAAAGUAAUAGAAGAUCUUGCAAAGGAAUUGCAACAUUGGCAUAAUUCAAGAGACAAAAAUUCAAGAAGAAAGAACAACAAUUUACAAGGGUUAGUUUCUUUAAGCGUAAAGCUUGAAAAUAUGGAUAGGUACAUUCAAAGGAUAAGUCAAAAAAGCCAUGUUUUCCAAGUCAGGAUUAAUUAUGGUGACGUAGCACACAUGAAGAAUGAAUGCGAAAAAGAUUAUGAUGAAGGUAUAAAAGAUCAAAUCUUUUAUCCAGAAAACAAUCAGUACAAGAACAAGUGGAAUUCAUAUGAAGAAUGAAACAAAGAGAGACACAUACCAAAAGAUCAAGAAGAAAAAUCAGGGUUUGAAGCAAUAAUGGCUUAAUUCACCAAAGCAUCCGAGAAACUCCAUGUAGAAACCAAAGCAUCGCUGAAAGAUUGUAACAUCCUAGUUCUUGGUACAUAACUUAUUAUGGUUUUAAUUUGUUGUAUUCGUUGAAAGUCUAAAAUGUGAGGAAUUUUUUGGUGGAUGCGACAUGCCUGUGUAACGGCCGUUACCCGUCCAGGCCCAUGGGCUGAACAUAUUUUAGGGUUUUGAGGAUAUUUAAAUACCAUUAACCACCUAGUAUUUGUACAUUCUUAGCCUUCAUCACCCUUUUGAAAGGUCUAGUAUGCUCGAGAAUCAUAUUAAAGUGAUAUUGCUACUUACCAUAUAAUACUAAUGAGUCACACUAUCAACAACUUGAUACAAAUGAUUAUUUAUUAGAAAAAGGUUUUAAUAAAUAUUCAAGAAACUCUUAUAAUUAAUUGGAAAUUAUUUAUUUCAUGGAAAUAAUAAUUUUCAUUAGCAAGUAACAUUAUAUAAUUCAUAUGGUAUUAAUUAAUAAGUCAUGCACAACAUUUUUGGAUUAGAUAAGUUUCUUUUCUUUUACCAAAAGGUUAGAGUUUAUAUUUUAUAAACUUGGUUUAUAAAAUAUAAAAGUUUUGUCUCCUUUUAAAUCUUAUUUUCAAAAAUUAAGAGAAUAAAAAUAUGUCAUGGGCUUUUGAUUAAUUUAAUUAAAAGCAUGGGGGACAUGUAGGUGUGGGUGCAUAGAUGGUUAAAAGGGUUAAGGACUUAUUAUGAAGGCUUGAACUCUUACCUCUUCUUGAUUCUUAAAAACCAUAACAUUUAUAGACACACAGAUUCUCUCCAUUUUGUUCAUUAUUUUUAAGAUUACUUGCAUCUACUAUUCUCUCUUUAAGUUCUUAUUUUAAUAAUAACAUAAAGCCUAAGAGAUUAGGAUUUUAUGGACUAGCAUCUACAUCAAGUUGAGUUAUUGUUGGUGUUUCUUAAGUUCAUCAUUUUUCAUCAACUUUUAAGCCUCCCAAGAGGACCUAAAGAACUACAAAGGUUGUUAUUUCGUCAUCCUUUCUUUGGUUGGUGUUUAAAUAUUUGUAUAACUUGCAAGAUCAUUCUUGGUGGGUAUAAAUUUCCUUAUGUUAUUUCGAAAACUCAAGUCUUCCGUUUGCCAAAUUUUAUGAAUUUUUGAAACUAUUUUUGAACUAAAACCCAACAAUUGGUAUCAGAGCCACCUUGCAAGUUUGGUUAGAUUUUUUGAUCUUUGAAAAUCAUAGUUUUUGUAGAAUAUGGAUAACUUGUUUUUGUAUAAAAAUAAGUUCAAACAUAUUUUCUUUGACAAGUUUUGAAUUGUUAUUUUUUGUGAUAAAAACUUACAUGAUUUAUUUUUGCACUUAAAGUUGUCUUAGAAAAACAAAUGUUGUUUUAUGUUUAUAUGUAUUUUUGAGUGUAUAAACAAUUCAGGGACCUUUGUGUUAUUUUUGUUGGUUGAUUUAUUAAAAUGGUUUGUCAUAUUCUUUUAUUCAUAAAGUAUGUAAUAAAGUAACUAACUUUUAUUCUUGUUAUUUUUAUGUAAUAGAUUAGUUUUACACUAGAUUUAUUUUAUAAAAUAUGUAACAAGAUGAAGAUGGAGACCAUUUUUGAAGACCUUGGAGGUGCCCACGAUUUUAUUAGAUUUUAAUUAAAAUUUAUAACUUUUAUAAAAUCUAUAUAAAAUUGCAACAAAGUAGAUUGUCAACACAAGUGGGAGCUGAAGUCAACAUGAAGAACACAUUGAAGAUUUUGGUCCAUUUGGUCCCUUAGGAAAGGACUUGAAACUUAUAUGUUGGCUCAUACAAGUGUCACUAGAACCUUGUUGGGAAAUAAUAACAAUAAUUUGAUGAUGCGGAAUGUCUGAACUAAAACACUCAUGAAGAAGUAUUUGUUAACAAGAUAUUUUAUUCAACUAUGAUGAGGAAGUUACACAAAAAGGAAAUAUUGCAAUCUAACUAAUCUAAGCUAAGAAAUCUCAUCUCAUUUAAGGACUACAUCUUGCCACACCCACUAAAUGAAUACAACAUGUCUAUUUAUAAGUGUGCAAACAAGUCUAGAUAAUUAACCCACAUUUUAUAAAAGGAGGCUCCUUGUCAUCAUCCGUGGAAGAAUUUAAACCUUACAUUCUCCCCCUCAAAGUAUGGAAGGGAUGAAAAGGCGUCAACUUCCAAAACAAGCCUCUAGCAAAUAUGAAAUGAUCUUGUGACGAGGAAUAUCAAAGUAAUCCACGAAUCUUGAUUCUUCAAUAGUCUUCAAACCGUGUUCUUGGAUAUAGAAAUACGAAACCGAGCAUCAAAGUAAAAAUAUCACCUUCAAGCUCUCAAUGGCUUAGAAGUAAUAUUUUUCAACUUAAUCUUCUAAUGUAAUCCCAAUGAUUUUUAAGAAAGCCAAACCCGCCAUGAAAACCCAUUUCGAAACUAAGAAACCAAAUCACUUCCUAUCUUGAAGAACCCCCCCACCAAGUUACAAUGUUAUUCAAAUAUGCUAAUGAUAUAAGUCAUGUAAAAAUAUCAUGUAACAUAUCAAAUUUAAUAUUCAUAACAUAUAAAAUAUGCUAAUGAAAACCCAUUUCAAAGCACCACCGUCGUUGGUAGAAACUUUGGGAUCCCUGUCCUAAAGUUCAUCAAUACCUAAAAAUGGUAUACCCACUUUCAUAUCUCUUACCAAAAGCUUCAUAAAAGAUCUCCAAUUUAAUAAAUCACAAACCAAUUUAGAAUGGCCAUAUCAAAUUCUCCCUCGUUUUAUAAUAAAAAAAUGAUUAUAAAAUGUCACAACUAGGAAUUUGAUUCCUUGUAAACAUUAAACAAUGAUAACAAAUGUGAGCCAACAAUGUGAAAGCAUGUAUGAUGCUUAUUCAAUAACAACAAAAAAACAUCAAAUACUUCAUUCAAGCACUACACAGACUCAACAAAGAAUUGGGAAACCCUUGAAAUCCCGGUUUAAGUCCAUUUUGGGCUAAGAUUUCCUUAUUGGACCUAAUGGACCAAUAAGUUUCUAAUGUAACUAUCUUGAACCUAGAACCCUCAAAUGGGCCCUAAUUGGACCCAUAUACAUGAAACUUCAUAUUUUGGGCCUUAUAAGCCUAAAAUGAACUAGGUAACCUUUAAUGGGCCUUAUUGGACCAUACCAAAUCUAAUUAGCCCUAAUGGAUCAUAAAAACCAUUCCUUGAUUUAUUUUAGGCCAAAGAUGAUCAAAUUAAGUCAUAAUAUAGGCUUAAGCAUUCAAGGCCCAAUUUUUCUUUCACCUUUCACCUCUCUCUCGGCCCAAACCACAAAACAAAGGAGGAGGGUUGACUUUAGGAGGUGCCGACUCCUUAUUGCACACCAUGCUCCCAUGCAUGGACUAACAUGUAUCUAGACAAGUCACCUCACUCUUUCACUCUCUCUUCCACUCUCUCUUCUUCACUUGGCCGGGAGACUCCCAAAACACACACACAUCAUAACAACUCUCUCAAAGUCUUUCUAAACUCAUCCAUUUCUUGAUCUAAAAAUUCUCAAGACUUUUGCUUAUGUUUCAAGAGAUUUUCUCAGGAUAAUCAUCAUUAUUUGGUAAGUUUUUACAUGUCUAAGUUUUACAACUCUUCUCUCUUGUAAGAUCAUUCCUUCUAAACAAGUUUAUGGUGAUCACACUCCUAGAAAACUCUUUAAGUUCGAGAUCUUCCAAGAAAGGUUGCUAAGCCGAAAAUCACAUCACUUACUUCCAUUCUUCUUCAAAAACUGAACCCACAACUCAAGGUGAGCUUCAUACCCUUCUCUUUUCGGUUUUCAUGUGUUUUAUGGGGGAGAAUACAAGAAAAUGUGUAGAUAUAUGUGUAUGUGUAUGCUAUGUGUGAUUUUAUGCAUGUAUGUGUAUUUUUAUGUGUUUUUGUGAUAAACAUGUAAGUAAAAAGGCGUGAAUCUCAAGAUCUAUGAUAUGAGAAGGGAAACAAACAUAAUCUAAGUUAUUUUACACUAAACAAGUCAAGAACAAUAACUUAUAAGAUUAUGAUAAAUAUAUUUCAACAUAAAAACCCAUUUUUGGGCUUAAAAUGUCUAGUAUACAAAACUAGGGUUAAAAAUGGUCAAGUCACGGUUUCUUAAGGGCCAAAAGAGUCAAAACAGUUCCCAUAAUUGUUUUUCUAAAUAAUAAAAUUUUCAAAGGACUUGAAAUGUAAAUUUUUAGCUUAAUGGGCUAAUUUUGGGCAUUUUGGCCCAGAAAGCCUAAAAAUGCGCAAAAUGACAACUUAAGGGGUUGAAAUGAAACUUUCUUCAAAAUAGGGGAUAAAUAGCAUAAUAAAACUAUUUCAAGGGUCAAAAACGCUUUUCACUACCAAAAAGGACCAAAAAUGUAAAGUUUUUGGAUUUUGGGCCAAAACUGUAAAAGUUGCGAAAAAUGGGGUUUUAACCGAGAAAUACCAUUCAGGAAGGGCUGAAUCUGUUAACAAAAUAAAUUUUGGGUUAAAACUAUCUUUUCAAAAAAUUUAUGAUAAAAAAGUGUCAAGAAAAUGUUUUAAGGACUAAAAAUGAAAUUCUUAUAUAUAAUGGACUAAAAUUGUUAUUUUUAUUAAAAGAAAAGUAGUGAAAAGGUCAAACUUCGACUUUUAGACAAAUUAAUUCAUUAAGUCAAAAUACAAAAUCCACGACUACCGACAAAACGAAAACGAAUACACGUUUAACUCCAAAUAUCGUUAUAAAUGAAUCGAUUCGGUCUCGAAUCAAUACAAAAAUAAUAACCGUUAAAUCAAACACUUCAAUAGAUACACGAUAACUACGAUGAGUAAACUUACAAACUUUGGGCUUGAGAGUUUCAAAUCAUGCUUGAUGGAUCUUGCAAGUCCAUCAAAACGAUCUUUGGGCCCAAAGGGAUAACACUUAUAUGUUAUUGGGCCUCCUAUGACCCAAUUCUGUGUAAAAGGACUUUCAAUAGCUUUUAUGUGCUAUGGGUCCCUAGUGGCCCAUUAGAAAGGUUAGUAAGGUCAAAUUAUUGGGCCCUAGUGGCCCGACAGCCUAAGGUACUUACGAUAGUAGCAGGACAUAGUGCUCCUCUUCUCUUCGUUCGCUAAGGCUUAUGAGAAAUCAAAGUACAAGGAAUUAGGACGAUAUUCAAUGUGGAGUAAUCAAUAUUCAUUCGAUAUGACAAUACAAAAAUCAUAAAUCACGGAUACCUUUCAACAUCGGGUUUUCCGAGGAAUUGAAUACUUCUCGCUCGAAAUUUUUAUAACUAUAAUACAAAAUACCUUUCAUGUAUAUGUUUUUGUAAUCAUUCAUGCAUCAACUUAUGGAUCUUCACACUUUGAUAAACAAAAGUCUUUUCAGAAAAUAUCGGAUUUUCUGGGUUUUACAAACUUCACAAAUCAUUUUAUCAAAACAUUGAUUAUGAACUCACCAACAUUUUAUAUGUUGACGUUUUUCCAAAACAACUUGUAUUCUCAAGUAACAGGUAAGCGGAAGAGUAAUAUGAAGUAAUGUUUGGAUGUUAUGUUGUUGAAAACACUCAAACAAUUUAUGUUAUGAAUGUGUAAUGUUAAAAUAAUGUACUUGAUGUGAACAAUUCCAGUUGUAAUAUAUUGAUGCACGGUGACGUUUAUGUUAUGAUUCAUGUAUAUUCAUUAUGAUGAUAUUCAAUUAAAGUCAAGCGAGCCCUCGGACGUUUCCGCCGUUUGGUUCGGGGGUGUGACAGGUUGGUAUCAGAGCUCUGUUUAUAGUGAACUAGCAUAUCUAACCACACAUUGAUAUGCAACUAUAAACCAAAGAGGGACUAACACAACUCUGAACAAAACAAAACAAAUAAAACAUCUUUGCUUGUGUGAAGUAGGAAGCAGAACAUAAUACCAAACCAAACAAGAUAAUGCCAGCAUCUCGGUUAAGCCAGGACUGCUCAUAGUUGUAUUAAGGAGAGGAUGUAGCCUGAUCAACUACAUUUCCUCCGAGGGACAACUAUCACGUGUCCCGAGAAAAUCGCAAUGGUAGGAAAACCUAAAAACAUACCCAUUUAUCACCAAAAGGAGAACAUCAACUCAAUCUAUACAAUAAUUAAAACAUCUUAGGAAUAAUACUAGCAUGUUUAUACACCCUAGUAGACAACAUGGCUGGUUUCCAUCACCCCGGAGAUCCUUAUUUCCCUAAUCAGGGGAAUAACGGAUGGUUGGAAGAAUCCGAAGAGGAACCUGAAGAGGACCUCGAGGAGGAGUAUGAAGAUGAACCCGAGGAAGACCCUAAUGAGGAAUCCGAAGGGGAACCUGAGGCGGAAGCCGAAGGCGAACCUGCCGAGCCAGUGGUGGACUAGGAAGAAGAGGAAGCCGAAGGAGGUCUCGAGGAGGAACCCAACGACGACGAAGAUGGUGAUUCGGACACAGAGUCCGAAGUCAUCAACCCCCUUUAUCCUGUUAGGGUGCCCGCUUAUCGGGUAGGCCCCACUGUUCCUACACCCCCCUAGGGUAUCGACCUUUGGAGGUGGAGCAGAGAACAGGGACAGUGACCCCCGUUUGGCAUGUCACACGAGUUCUAUGACCUGAGGGAAGGAGGACCGGUCGAUCGUGCUCUUCCGGUCAUGGUGAGACGAUUGCGGAACACUGGCGUCCUAGCUCAGAGCACCGCCGAUCAGAUGCACCAGAUGCGGACUAGGGUCGAGCAUGCAGAGCAGGAACCGCGAGAGGUUAUCCGAGAGUUCCACAUGAGGCAGGCGAGGUGGGAGGCUCGACUUCGAGAUGCGGAACGACAAGUGGCUCGUCUUCANCUCAACACCACCCCCUGGCACAUCCCACCAUGAGUAGGACUAGUCGUAUCCGUCUUUAAUAUUAUGUUACUAGGAUCUAUGCUAUAUACCAUCGACUCUAUGUUUAAGUGAUUACACUACUCAUAGAGCCGUUAUGCUGCCAAACUUACCCCACUUAUGUAUGCUCUUUCGAGCAAAGUUUUCAUGUAUGAAAAUGCGGAUAAUAUUAAUGGAAAAUUUUAUGUGUUUUAUUGUGAUGUUGUAAUCUGCUAUGUGUUAAAUAUCCAUGAUUGUACGCUAAUUUGUGAAAUUACUUACGUUCGUGCCACACACCUAUUUUAUAGGAUCACAAUCUCACAAAAACCAUAGGCACUCAACAUCUUUUCGUUCCAUGACAGAAAGAUGACUCAACGACCAACUCGUGGUAACCCUGGGCCAACCCUACCAGAAGUCGACUGAGCUGCAUUCCAAGCAGCUGUGUCUACUGCGGUCACCACAACAAUGGCACAUAUUCACCAAGGGAACAACGGAGGGGUCAACGGAUAAGGGGCUGGAAGAUCAAACAAAGGGAUCAAUCAAGGACCUACCAAAACAUGCUCCUACAAAGAUUUCACCAAUGCCAAGCCGCGAACCUUUAAUGGUACGGGUGGAGUGAUAACCCUGAAAAGAUGGAUUGAGAAGGUGGAAUCAGUGUUCGAAAUAUGUGAAUGCCCCGAGGAGGUGAAAGUGAAGUUUGCCGCGCGCACGUUCGUCGACCAGGAUCUCACCUGGUGGAAUGGACAUAUAGAGGCCAUGACUCUCCUUGUAGCCAACGCUAUGCCAUGCACGGAGUUGAAAGAAAUGUUGAUGGAUGAGUACUGCCCUCGUGGCAAAAUCCAGAAGAUGGAGCAUGAGCUGUGGGAUCUCACCGUCCGAAACUCUGAUAUAGAUGCAUACAUAUCAAGGUUUAGCGAGCUGUCAUUACUGUGCCCUGACAUGAUUACGUCUGAAGGGAAGAAAAUCGAACGAUUCAUCUGGGGAUUGACCUCCCCAAUUCAAGGAAAUGUAAUCGCUGCAAAACAUAAAACUUUCAACUGUGCCAAGAGAUUGGCAAAGAAACUGUACGACCACAACAACAAGAAGGGGUGGAAGCCAGCAGAAGCUGAAGGAGAGAAAGAGAGUGACAACAAGAAAGGAAAGAACAACAAGAGGAAGGGCCGCCAAGGCUCGGAAUCGUCCAACAAUCAACAAACAGUGACAGUCAAUGCUGCAACCACCCAAGUUCCACCCACACCACAUGCUCUAGCCUCAGCUAAUCCAAGUGCUCCUAGGUAGUAUUCGGGAACUCUUCCAAAGUGCAACAAAUGUGGUCUCCACCAUAAUGGAGAAUGCAGAGAAAUGCAUUGCACCAGUUGCAAUCGGAAGGGUCACACGUCAAGGUAUUGCAGGACCUACCCUCCCCAGAACCAACUACAAGGAAACAACAACAACAAUAACUACAACAACAACAACACCAACAACAACGGCAAUAACAUAGGAUCAAGCCCCACUUGCUAUGGAUGUGGAAGGACUGGGCAUAUCCGUCGAAACUUCCCCAACACCAACAACCCUGGGAACGGAGGAACAGGAAGGGUGCUAGCUAUGGGUCAAGGAGAAGCAGUUCAGGAUCCUGCUGUUGUUACUGAUACGUUUCUCCUGAACCACACUUAUGCAUGCAUCCUAUUUGAUACAGGAGAAGAACGAAGUUUUGUGAGCAAUAAAUUCAAACACUUGUUAAGACAACAACCCUAGAAGCCUAAUGAAACCUUCAUGGUGGAAGUGGCUAAUGGGAAGACAUAAUCCACUGGGGAAAUCUAUAUCGGAUGUACCCUGGCCUUAAAUCAUCACGUCUUUCAAAUAAAUUAAUGCCUGUUUCCAUUAGGAGUUUUAAUGUGAUUAUCGGCAUGGAUUUGUUAAGCUCCCACCAUGCUGGAAUUAUGUGUUACGAGAAGGCCGUUCGCCUUCACCUUCCAAAUCACGAAACCCUAAUUAUAAACGGGGAAAAACCCAGCACAAACCAUCGCCUUAUCUUGUGCAUUAAAGCGCAAAAGUACCUACGAAAGAGGGACUUGACGUUCCUGGCUCAUAUAGUAGACAAAUCCAAGAAAGAGGUUAACAUUCAAGACAUUCAAGUAGCUUGUGAGUUCCCAGAUGUCUUCCCUGAUGAUCUUCCGGGGAUACCCCCAGAAAGACAAGUCGAGUUUCGAAUUUACCUUGUACCAGGAGCUACUCCCACCGCCAAAUCGUUCUACAGAUUGGCUCCUUCGGAGAUGCAAGAGCUGUCAAGUCAACUCAUCGAGCUUCUGGAUAAAGGAAUCGUCCGACCCAGUUUCUCACCUUGGGGAGCUCCGGUUCUCUUUGUCAAGAAGAAAAACGGUACCUUUCAGGAUGUGUAUCGACUAUAGAGAACUUAACAAGUUCACUGUCAAGAACCGAUAUCCCCUUCCACGAAUCGACAAUCUAUUUGACCAGCUCCAAGGAGCUAGUCACUUCUCAAAGAUAGAUUUUUGAUCUGGAUACCAUCAACUCAAGGUCUGGGAAGAGGAUAUUCCAAAAACCGCUUUCCGAACUCGUUACAGCAUUAUGAAUUUUUUGUAAUGCCCUUCGGUCUAACGAAUGCUCCUGUCGCAUUCAUGGACUAAAUGAAUCGAAUCUGCCGACCAUUUCUUGAUAACUUUGUUAUCGUUUUCAUCGAUGAUAUCCUCGUCUAUUCCCGAAAUGAAGAAGAACACGACCAACAUCUCCAAAAAAUCCUAGAAACCCUGCGAACUGAAAAGUUAUAGGCAAAACUCUCUAAGUGCAAGUUUUGGCUCCGAAGUGUGAACUUUUUGGGACAUGUUGUUAGUCAGGAAGGAAUUCAUGUGGAUCCCUCUAAAAUCCAAGCCAUCGAGGGAUGGGCAAUUCCAACGAAGCCCACAGAAAUUCGCCAAUUUCAAGGCCUCGCAGGCUAUUACAGGAGAUUCAUCCAAAACUUCUCUAAGACAGCCAAACCGCUUACCAUGCUUACACAAAAGGGCAUACCCUUCGUAUGGACGGACAAGCAGGAAGUCGCAUUUCGACCUCUGAAGCAAGCACUCUACAGUGCGCCAAUGCUAUCGCUACCCGAAGGAAUUGAAGACUUUAUAGUCUACUGCGAUGCGUCAAAUCAGGGCUUAGGCUGUGUACUCAGGCAGCGUGGAAUGAUGAUAGCUUAUGCAUCCCGACAACUAAAGACGCAUGAAGUGAAUUACAUGACCCACGAUCUGGAGCGGGGAGCAGUGGUCUUCGCCCUGAAGAUUUGUAGGCACUACCUUUACGGCACUAAGUGCACCAUCUUCACUGACCACAAGAGUCUCCAACACAUCUUGAAUCAAAAAGAGCUAAACAUGAGGCAACGAAGAUGGGUCGAACUGCUAAAAGACUAUGAGUGCGAAAUCAAGUACCACCCAGGCAAUGCUAGCGUGGUAAGUGAUGCCUUGAGUCGAAAAGAAUACUCAAAUCGUCGUGUGAAAAAUCUCUCGAUAACCAUCCAAUCCUACCUGACCUCGCAAAUCAGAACAGCCCAGUCAGAUGCCAGGAAGGUGGAAAACAGAACAAGCGAAGCGUUAAGUGGAAUGGAAAAGAAUCUCUAAGUGAAAGAGGAUGGGGCAUAUUAUUUCAUGAACCGCUUUUGGGUCCCUAAACUUGGGGGAUUCAGAGAGGUAGUCAUGAAUGAAGCCAACAAGACGCGAUACUCCAUCCAUCCAGGUUCAGACAAAAUGUACUUGGAUGUUAAGCAACAUUAUUGGUGGCCUAAUAUGAAGGCAGAUAUUGCCACUUACGUUAGCAAAUGGCUUACUUGCGGUAAAGUAAAGGUGGAAUAUCAGAAGCCCUCAAGAUUACUACAACAAGUUGUAAUUCCAGAGUGGAAAUGGGAAAGGAUUACCAUGGAUUUUGUAACCAAGCCAUCCAAGUCGACGGAUGGUUUGGACACGAUUUGGGUAAUAAUUGAUAGACUAACGAAAUCCGCCCAUUUCCUACCAAUAAAAGAAUCAUACAAGAUGGAGCGCCUGAAAAGAAUCUAUAUCAAGGAAAUCGUGAGACUCCACGAAGUACCCAUAUCUAUCAUCUCAGAUAGAGAUAGUAGAUUUACAUCCCGCUUUUGGCAAUUGCUUCAGAAAGCUAUAGGAACACAACUUGACAUGAGCACUGCCUACCACCCACAAACGGAUGAUCAAAGCGAGCGAACCCUCCAAACACAAGAAGAUAUGCUUCGCGCGUGUGUAAUAGACUUUGGAAAAUCGUGGGAUACCCACUUGCCUUUGAUCGAGUUCUCAUACAACAACAGUUAUCACUCGAGUAUCAAAGUUACACCUUUCGAAGCAUUAUACGGGCGUAAAUGUAGAUCACCGUUGUGCUAGGCGGAGGUAGGAGACACCCAACUAGAAAGAGAACAAAUGCCAAACAAUGCCUUAACAGGACCGGAAAUCAUAUGCGAGACGACCGAGAAGAUAAUUCAGAUCAGGGCCCGAGUUCAAUCAUCAAGGGACACACAAAAGAACUACACCGAUAAACGACGAAAGCCCUUGGAGUUUCAAGUUGGAGAUAGGGUUCUACUAAAACUCUCUCCUUGGAAAGGAGUGAUUCGUUUUGGGAAGCGAGGCAAACUAAACCCUCGAUACAUUGGACCCUUCGAGAUUCUUGCCCGAAUGGGUCCAGUGGCUUAUAGACUGCAACUACCCGCUGAGCUCAGAAGUGUACACCCUGUGUUCCACGUUUCCAAUUUGAAAAAGUGCCUAUCCGACGAGACUCACGUCAUCCCAUUAGAAGAAAUUGAAAUCAAUGAGAAUCUUCUGUUCAUCGAGGAACCAGUUGAAAUGAUGGACAUAGAGGUGAAGCGUACCAAGCAGAGCCGUAUUCCGAUUAUGAAAGUUCGAUGGAACGUAAUAUGCAGACCAGAAUUCACAUGGGAACACGAAGAUCAAAUGAAACAGAAGUACCCUCACCUAUUCUCGCAUUCUCAAAUCCAGCAUUUAAAAGAAUUUCGGGACGAAAUUCCCUAUAACAGGGGGAUGAUGUCACAACCAGGAAUUUGAUGCCUUGUAAACAUUAAACAAUGAUAACAAAUGUGAGCCAACAAGGUGAAAGCAUGUAUGAUGCUUGUUCAAUAACAGUAUAAGUUCAUCAAAUACUUCAUUCAAGCACUAGAAAUAGUCAACAAAGAAUUGGAAAACCCUUGAAAUCCCGGUUUAAGUCCAUUUGGGCUAGGAUUUCCUUAUUGGACCUAAUGGACCAAUAAGUUUCUAAUUUAACUAUCUUGAACGUAGAACCCUCAAAUGGGCCCUAAUUGGACCCAUAUAGAUGAAACUUGUGUUGUUUAUUUUUAUGCAAAUAUUUUUUGUAACACUCUAAAAAUGCCAACCAAUUUAAACUUUUCAAAACAACCCAAUUUCAUAAUGUUAUUACAAGAAGGUUUUCAAUACAUUUAUCAUCAGAGUAUUUCCCAGAAACCACAUCGUAAACAAUAAAACUCGAGGAGCGGUACAAUCAUGCCUGUGCCUUGCCACUGUCUCCUGAAGUACCUGAAACAUUUAAACCAUAACUGUAAGCCUGGAAGCUUAGUGAGAUACCCCCAAAAUACUAACGCCAUACAAUCAUAACCAUAUCAUAUAACCGAUACAGAACAACCAUGCACUUCGGGUCUACUGUGUGACUGGUCCGCCGCACCGGCCUACAGUCCACUUGGUCCACCCACCGAGUCUUGCCAUAUACAUCGAGUCUACAGUGUGACUGGUCGGCCCGCACCGGGCCUUCAAUCCACCUGGUCCACUCUCUGAGUCUAUAGUAUGACUGGUCCGCCCGCACCGGGCCUUCAGUCGGCCUGGUCCACUUUCCGAGCCUUGGCACGUUUGGUCCACCCUCUUGGGCCUACAGCCUAUCCGGACCACUCGCUGGGCCUUCGAGAUAACCGUUCUGCCCUGGGUAUGUUGGCCUACAGCAUAAAGCAGGUCCCGCCUCAACCAAACCCCAGUGCAAGAACCAUUUGCACAUAAGCAUACACUCAUAUAACAAUACACAUCCAAUCAAAUCAAUAUAGCAGAUCACAUAUCAUAACAUCAUCCUAACCAGGAUACCGACCUAACCGGUCACUAGUAUAUCAUCAUCCUAUAUACUAGGAUCCCGACCUUAACCAGGUCUCUAACAUAUACCAUCCUAACUACCACGAUGCAACAUAUCAAAGCAAUAACAUAACAACAAUACUCAGAUUAAAAUCCGAUAAAGGGCCGACCUUGGUGCCUUAGACCCUGUUGAUAUAGUGAGGAUAACUCACCUCGCGACUACUGACUGAAAAGGAUAAGAUCACGCUGCUCCAACCUCCGACACGAACUCCACCACUGAUCAAUACCAAAAGACUGAACUCAAUUAAUACCCAUAAUUAACAAAAUACCCCUGGAAGACAACUGGUCAAUUCUUGGUCAAUGUCAAAGUCCUCAAUCAAAGUUAACCCUCCUGACUGACUCUACCCGCUGAGUCAACCCGCUGACUCGUCGAGUCCCCAUGCUCCGAAACUCCCAUAAGACGACUCAACUCGUCGAGUCGCCCCAAGACUCGCCGAGUCCCACAACUCUAAGUCUAACCGCACUCAACUCACUGAGUUAUCCCUUAACUCACCGAUUCACACCUUAACCAGAAAAGGUUAGGACUCUACGACCAAACUCGUCGAGUCCAAGAACAGACUCGCCGAGUCCAAGGCAACAUUCAACGUACUCGCCGAGUUGCUCUUCCAACUCGUCGAGUUCCUGCCCAUCUUCAUUCAACUCACCGAGUACCUCUAGUUCUUAAUCCAUACAGUGGCUUUCCAAGCCAUGCAGGGGCUCCAAACCAUAGAUCCACUCCCCUACAACCCAUCCAUCACGUAAAGUGCAAACUUUACGUGAAUCCAAAGAGAUCUAAGCAUUUAACACACUUGCGCUAAGUUUUGGGAUAAUGGAACUUCUCUAACAACUCUCAUACAGGAACUUUAUGACAUAAGGGACCAUCAUAAGCUUAGAUCUGAAGUAGCAUCCUCGGAUCCAAGCUUCUAUCUCGAAUUGGAUCUUAUAUCAAUCACCAUACAUGAAUCCAUGAAGGAAUAGCUUAAGGAAAUGGUUCCUUACCCCUGAAAUGAGCCCAACCAACUGUAGAUUUCUGAUCUACCCAAGUUUCCUGAUACAAGCCUCCAACCUUCAAGCUUCAAGCACCAAAGAUCUGAUGGGUUUAAUACAAACAAUCCUAUGUGUGCAUGCAACCCUAGUAUUGGAUCUAUGUUUUCACUAUUAGUUAUACAGCUUUAUGAACACAAAAAGAAACCUGGCAUGCUACUAUAAUUUUCGAAAUUCAUAUAUAAAGCUAGAAUACAUACCUUUUGUUGUUAUAUAGCAAUAACAACUAGUUCCUUGAAUUUCCUUAGCUCUUGAAAGCAAGUACCACAAGUGUAGUACCUCUAAUGGAGUCACAAACACCAUAUGCAACUUGGAUGAAGAGGAGAAGAAAGGGAGGCACCAAAAACGGCUGGAAACCCUAAUGGAAGACUUGUUCACGUUUUUGGGGCAUAGGGGCCCUUUAUAUACAUGUAGGCUAUUGGUGAUCCAUAGCCCAAUUAUAAUUAUCUUAUAAUUACAACUUCAGUCCCCUAAGUUUAAUUAAUCUCUUUUAGCCACAAAAUUAAUUAACAAUUAAUUCUUGACUAAUAUUAAUUAAACAAUAUGAUUUCUCCUUUAAUAUAUUAUUCUUAUAAUAUAUUAAUAAAUCAUAUUUAAACCUUUCUCUCCUUAAAUCAUCCUACAUAUUGCUAUGGUGAAGGCAACCCAAAAGGACCAUGCUCAUAAUCGGGUCAAGUACAUACCAAAAUAGUUAUGGACUUAGACACUAAUCCAACAGUCUCCCACUUGGAUAAGUCUAAUAACUAUUUUCCGUAUGACUUCAGAACCUGAUCAGCAAUCGUAGCUUUCAAAAGCCGCUGUCAACUCUGAUCUUAUCAGAUAGCGUGUCCUCUAGAUAAGGGAUUAUAUAUUCCUCCAUUCUCAAGAUAUCGUAUAGACAAAAGACAUGAAUUUCAAUCAUUCUCUCUAUACUGUUUCCCGACUUCCGAUUUAUGACGACUGAUAACAGACUACAAUUGAACACAUCAACUUAGUCCCGGCUUGGCCAAGCGCUUAGGUGUCAUCACUAAAUCAUCGAGAGGCCCACAGAUAUCGCUUUUAUCCCACUUUGGGUAAAAGGAAUGGAUAAACUUCGACUCAAAUGCUCGCUUGCAUUUACUGAUCGAAUCACACACAACAAUAAGUUUUAUAACACCAAGUUACUGGUGCGUUUACUUAUUAUCAAUGUGCAACCGACCAACAAAUAACAACUCACACGUCUCGGUUUCAAGAAUAUACAAUAUUAUCGUCUCACUAAUCACUCGUGAUAAAACCAUGAAGUGAUCCAAGUGAGCGUGGGUUUAAUCCAAUACUCUAAUCUUAUCAAAGCACUCAUGAACUCUGCAGCAAACUUGUGCUAUGUCUAAACACUUCAGACAAUCUACAGACAGAUUCAUGACAGUCUUUAUUCAUACCUACUCCCAACGUAUGACCGACUGUGGAUGUUUGAAUAACCUAGUUAUUCUGGAAGUCAAAACAUGCAAAUUGAAACAUAACAAUAAUACUUAAUCCUAUAUGGCCUCAAACUUGUGAGAGUAAAUAAAACACUUCUAUUUAACCACCAUAUUGAUUACUCAUUAUUAUCGUUUACUGUUUCAGAAAAUCAACUUAUUACUCAAAUUACAACAAUAGCUGUCCCAUGCAUAAAGCAUGCACACUAUGUUUCCUAUGGUCCUUACUUUGUGAAAUAGAUCAAUUGAAAAACCUUUUCAAUGAUGCUCAUUUCACAAUUCCCAAUCCUUAUCAUUAGUGUAAGAACACAAGGUUCUUUGCUACUAUUAGAAUAUGCUAGAUUCUAACAUCUUAUGCAACGAUCCUUUCAUAAAGUCAUAGCACAAAAGUCACCAAGACUUGGCUAAUGAAAUUAUAAAGUACUCUAUCGGACAUUGUUACAAGACAAUUCCAUAGACGUGAAGUCUCACAUUCAAAGUACAUUCAUUUGAACAUCCUUCCUGCAUAAAAGUUUCUAAUCUAGGCAUAGAAUCUCAAUAUCCAACUCCCAAUAUGGAAACAUUUCCACAUUUGCCAUAUGACAACUCAUUCUUAAUAGAAUCUUAUCUAUUCAUAAUAAUGUCGAUAUGGUCCAUCCAAUACCAUACUUCCAACUACUCACAAGCGACCAAUCCUCAGCGAACUUUGGAUCGUCCUUUGAUAGUUGUUUAAUUAUUUUAGUCAAAACCAAUUCUAGUCCUUUUUCCCUCUUAAUGCGCUAGACAUUUGGAAAAUUUUAGAAUGGUAAAAUAUUAUAGCAUUUGCAAUCGAUCCUAUACCCGAAGCGUAUGGGACACGAUGCAUAAUGUCUUACAUAAAGAUAUGAUACUUUACCAAUCUUUUGCCAUAAUAUUUUAUGUGUCAUGUUCUCACAAUUCGAACUAUGAAGAGGGAUGCCGUAAUCAUAAUCGAAUUUUAAGAACACACAAUGUAUCCUUUGACUGAAAAUAUUAAAAUUUCUCAAUCUAAGCUUUAGAUUUUGAAACGAAGUAUAAUAUUCUCUCCCUUAAUUAUAUUAAAACAACUUUUCAACCCAUGCAACUUUGCAAAUUGAAUCUUUGUUUUUCUAUAAUUAAUAUUGCUAACUUGCAAUACUCGCCAUAAUAAUCAUACAAGCAUAACACUUAUGCUCCCACUAUCAUGAUGAUUAUUAUCAUAUAAGCAUAACACUUAUGCUCCCACUAGCUUUGACAUGUAUUCAGAAAACAAAUGAACUUUCAGAAAACAAUGCCUAUUGAAUUUCUGAAAUUCAUAUUUCUAAUACCAGAUGCUUCGAUAAGCCUUUAUCUAGGCUUCUUAACCUUAUACACCUUUGUCUUAGAUAGCUCAUAUGUGUGUUUAAACAAUUCAGAACUUAUGUUACUAAGUUCCAAAUGUUGAAACUAAUUGCCAAAUCUCAUAAUUCGAACUAUGGAAAGGGAUGCCGUAACCAUAAUCGAAUUUGAGAAUACAAUUUUCACAAUUGCUAUCUUCUUAAAAUCUCUCUUAGUGAAAGCAUUUCCUCACAGUCAUUUUCAUGAAGGAGGGAAUCUUAUGACACUUAGAUUUUAUGGUGUAUGAGUUCCUAUCCAUGUGAAUUUGCCAAAACCAAGGUUUGCGACAAAUCCAAACUCAUAUGGACUGAACUUUCUUAAUCUUGAUUUCUUGCCUUAUGGUAACACGAGUGCCCACCAUGUCUUCCAAGUAGUUUAGUAACUUGUCCUUACAUAUCAAUGUACUUUCCAUCGACUAAGGCUCUAGUAUGCAUUCAAAUGAGAACUCAUAGAACUCACAUACGCAAUUAACUCAAUUGGAAUGGCACAAAAACAAAAUAAUGUCAGCACGAUAGGUUGCAAACCUCAAGUCGUGUGCUAGUGAUGAUCGAUAAGGUAUAUUCUUGAUUUGUUCUUGAAACCUUUCAAGACCAUUAAGACUCCCACUGACUCCUUGACAUAUAAGAUUCUCUUGUCAAGAAACAUUUCUUGACAAAGCAAAUAUUCAAGAGUUAGUGUAGUUCUUAUCAAGACAAAACACUUCACAAAUUGGUCCUAGUUGGUCUUUGUCUUAUCCAAGACAUCACAACUUACCAAUUUCUAAUGUGCAAGAAUAAGAAAACUUUUCCAAAUUCCACAUUUGAUGAGUGUUAUAAACCUACUUAAGACUUGUCACUCAAUGUCACAAUCUUGGAGUAUGACUCUAAGACUUGAUAUUGGAACGAAGUAUGAUUGACUCUUUGAUUUAACCAUUUCUACAAUUCUCGAUUCCUCUUCUUAGACAUGCAAAUGCACUAAGACUCACUUAGAGGAUCAAUUGAGAUAUGGUUCUUAAUCAUUAAGACUUCAUCAUAAAACACAAUAAAAGGUACUCUCCCUUCUUCUUAGAAUGGAGAAACUUUUAUCUUUCUGCCUUCUUGAUUCUUCUUAUUCGUUCUGCUAUUGAUUGAAACUAUUUCAGUUAACUCAGAAUUAUACUCAAUCUUAUAAGUAUAACCAUAUUUACUAAACUUUAGUAAAUCAUGACGAAUAUCUUUGUCACUCUUGUGGUAGACUUGAUCAACGUACGACCUAGUGUACUCGAUCUCCUAGUCCUUCAAUUGACACUUUGUCAAAGAAUUAGUCUAAGUUUCCCAAAUGUGAAAGUUUUUCAUUCAUCAUACAAUACACAUUGCAUGAUUCCAAGUUUCUGUCCAAUUGAAACUUGGGCGAUGAGAAACUCUCCCUAUUUGGUAAACUUUUGACAUUUCCACAAAUAACAUAAUUAAGAAUCAAAUCCAUUAUUGCUAAUAAUAGAAACAUUCAAACAUCAAUUUUUCAUACAUGCCAUUGCAAGGAUAAAUAAAUAAGAUAAAAUCAAAAUUCAUUUUAUUGCGGAAAAAAUUUGUCCUUACAAUGCAAUUCAAUUGAAAAACUAUGUUAUUACAUAUUUCUUAACAAUCUAUUCUAACUCCAAGUAGUAGCUCAAGAAUCCAUUCUUCAAGUAAUGCGAUCGAAAUCCAUUUCUUCAUGAUUAGAUUCAGCUCACUUCUUCCCUCAAGCUUCCUCUCUUUUCUUCGAUCCUACAAAACAUCAAAAUGUAAUCUUAUCACAUCAUGUAUUAAGAAUCUAGAAUAGGAACUCAAAAGAGUUAGAUAAUGGAUUUUACCUGAAGCAGAGCCAUACGUCUUGACUCUCCCAUCUCUUAGAUCUCUCAGGUAGUUAGGGCAGCUUCGUCUCCAAUGCCCCUUCUCUUGGCAAUAAAAGCAAAUGGACUCCUUUGGCACAGCACAUCGGACAAUCACAGACUUAGUUCUUUCUGCACUUCCAAUGUUGCCAGUGUCCAUUGAAGUUUGGGAGUUUGAUUCACCAGACAAAUUUGCUUGACCAGCACGCCAAAUCAUUGCUGAUUCAGCAGCUAUAAGCAAAUAGGUGAGAUCAAUUAGGGUCACGUCGUGGUCCAUCAUAUAGUACUCUCUAACGAACUCACUAUAUGAUUCAGGAAGUGACUGAAGAACCCAGUCAACAGCCAACUCACUUGAAAUCUCGACACCCAACAUGUUUAACCUAUCAAUGUGUGACUUCAUCUCUAAGACGUGUGCACACACAGGUUUCCCAUCUUCGUGUUUACUUGCCAAAAGGGCUUGAGUGAGCUUGAACUUUUCAAGCCUUUGAACUUGUGGGUCAGGGAGAACAAUUGGAGGAGGUGGAGGAAGUGAAGCAUGACUCUCAUUUCCUUGAUCGUAUCUCGGAACGUCAUCUUCAUUUGGAAAGCUUGUUCCAAAGGAUUUGGGAAGACCAUUGUAAGAUUCAGACAUCUACAAAACGGGAGAAAAUUCAAGUUAUGUUGAUUAGAAUUCUUGAUGUAACACCCAAAUGAAACAUCAAGCUAGGAUCCAACACAAUAUUCUACAACCUAGAAAAGGGAUGCCGUAAUCUAGUUGCAAAAUAUUUGAAGGUAGGUAAAUGACGAUUUACCAAUUUCCACCAUGAAAAACGAAAAGGAAGAUUAAGUUUUAAAUGAAUUGAAACUCCUAGAUCUUUUGAGAUUCAUUGAACUUUUCAAUGGCAUGUUUAAUCUCGAUUAUGCCCUACUAUUUGUGACUGGGAUGCCGAGGAUCACAAACAAGGUGUGAAUAACCAUACGAAUCACGUGGUGCACCCAAUGCUACAAUCACCUAAUCAAUGUGCCGGUUAGCCACACACGCUCCAUUGAUCUAUGACAAACAUCGAGUCACCCUUCGCUACCAAUGUCAUCCCCAAAUUAGUGUGCCGGUUAACCACACACGCUCCACUAACGUUUGACAAGGGUACGAAGUGUAAUUCCAUGGGUUAGCAUACAAUUUCACAUUUUGCCUAAAGUAACUAUGAUUUGGGAAUUUGAAAAAAAAUUUAGUUACUUUGUACUUCAUUAUACUUAUAAUGGAAGGUUUCUGUCCUAUCCUACCCGUUCGGCUAACGACCCUCCACUAGUCAAGAGUGCGGUGGGUAAGAGUGGAUACCCAUUCAAUCGCCAUUUUAUAGGCAAUUUCCUUAAACACCCCUUAUAGACCAGCUUCGUGAAUGAGGCCUACUAACGGUAAGACUGACUGUUUACUCAUACAUAUAUAAUAUUAGACUUUUAAUGUUAUAUAUAGUAUAGGGUGUAUUUUACACUUUUAAAAUACUAGGUGGUUUAAUUUAGUAAAUUAUACUUUUAAUUUAAUUAAAUGUAAACCAAAAACUUUAUGGGUUUAUUAAAUCACCUUUAAUUAUACACUUUAAUUAAUUAACAAAACCAUAAGGGUGUGAUUCGAACUUUUCAAAUUACUAGGGUUUUAGAAUUUAACAUUUCAAAAUUAAACUUAUAAUCAACUUUUAAAUUCCAAAACUUGAGGGCAAGUUUUGAAACAUUUCAAAACAUUAGGGAUCAAAUAACAAAUAAUUCAAAUUAAACAAUUAAUUUCAUAAUUAUCUACAUUUGACCUAAUCUUAUUUUAGUCAUUAGAUAAUUACCAAAUAACUUUAAAUAAUCCAUAUUUAUCACAUAAACAACCAAUAUUUAAAAGAUUUGAAAUUAUCUAUUGUUUUGGCAAGGAUAAACAUAUAAUUAAGAUAAAAUUCGGAUUUUAACUUCAAAAAACAAUUUAAGCAUCAAAUCCAAGUCAAAACAGCAGCUAAAUCCCGAAAUACCCUCUGCCUGACGCACUGACUCGUCGAGUCAGACCUGGACUCGCCGAGUUGAGUCGGGCAGAGGCAAAAAAAACUCGUUUUUCAGUAAAUAAUUCAACAUAGCAUCACAUACAACAGAAACCAAUCAAGGCUCUGAUACCACUGAUGGGUUUUAGGCAUAAGAACAAUCCUAUGUGCUCAUACAAACCCUAAUGCUUGGAUCUAGGUUUCUCUAUUGUACAUGCUUUGAAUCCAAGACUAAUAAACUUAGAUCUAACAUAUUAUAAACUGAAUUAGGGUUUAUAGAAUUACCUUUGAUUGUUAUAUAGCAAUAACAAUCAAUUCCUUGCUUGGAUUGGCCUUAGAAAGCUUAGUGCCUCAAGUGCUGCACCUCUAAUGGAGUCACAAACACCAUAUGCAACUUGGAUGAAGAGGAGAAGAAAGGAGGCUGCCAAAAAACGACUAGAAACCCUAGAGAAUCAGUUGUCCACGUUUUUGGGGCCUAAGGGGUCCUUUAUAUACUUGUGUGGGCUGCUAGGGUUUCAGUCAAAACCCUAAUGGACAGCUUAAACUCUAAGCAGCCCAUGGAACCUUCUGGAUAAGGCCAUGGACGAAAAUAUGAUGGGCUCCCAUCAUAAUUUCGUUCACCCCUUGUUCCUUUAGCAUUCCUUAGCCCAAUAACUCAAUUAUCCAAUAAUUGCAGUCCAGUCCCCUAAAUUUAAUUAAUCUCUUUUAGCCACAAAAUUAAUUAUCAAUUAAUUCUUGACUAAUAUUAAUUAAACAAUAUGAUUUCUCCUUUAAUAUAUUAUUCUCAUAAUAUAUUAAUAAAUCAUAUUUAAACCUUUCUCUCCUUAAAUCAUCCUACAUAUUGCUAUGGUGAAGGCAACCCAAAAGGACCAUGCUCAUAAUCGGGUCAAGUACAUACCAAAAUAGUUAUGGACUUAGACACUAAUCCAACAAGAUCCUCCUCCAAGCUCUAAUUCACUCAACAAUGGGGUCUCCUCACGAAUUAGGGUUUUCUGGAUCUCAAUGAGUAGCAAAGAGGCUGAGGGGGAAAAUAUAAGGUUCCUUAUAUAGGGUGCAAACCCUGAAAAUAUGGUUUCUCAUUCCAGCACCAACUCACCGAGUCCAGCCGCCGACUCGUUGAGUCGGUCACUAAACGUGUGACCAAAAUCGGGACUCGACUCGCAGAGUCUCUCCAUGGACUCGCCGAGUCUAUCAUUCUUAAUUACACCAAGCACCCUGAACUUGCACUUCUGAAUUCGGGGUGUUACAAUUCACCCUCACUUAAAUUAGGCUUCAUCCUCGAAGCCUGCUGCAACUCACAAUUCCUGAUAAUAUUAACAUAAUGCAUCUCCUAGUAUUGACUGACCCAGGUUCCUUCGAUCGCUGCUGUCGAACCUCUAAAAAGUCCAACCCUUCUCUCCCAGAGUUUCAACAACCGAUUCAAGCUGGCCACCGACUUCUUUCUCUGAUAACAACCCUCGUUAACCAAUGAUCGCCCGAUGGUACUUUCAUUGCCCCAACUCACAACAAUCACUUGUCCCUUACAAGGCUAGACAUCACCCUGGACUACCAGGUCCUGUCCCAGUACCAAGCUGCUAUCCCUUUCCUUGACUGGCGUAGCCUUGUCGAGUUCACUUAUGGGACUCAUCCUGAUUCCCUUCCGAAACCAUCUCUUUUCUUUCCGAGCUGACAGGAUGGCAUAUCCUUUAGCUCCUAAGCAAGUCCCAUGAUCUCUCCCUUGCAGACACAUACGCAUGCCGAACCUACUGUAACAUCCUUGGGCUAGAAACCCGACACACUAACGAUACCUUCACACAUCCCCAUGAUAAAUUACCGCUACAUACAUAUCUUCACGAUCACAACCAUACUGGAAAAUCCAAGGCUCCAUCCUUGCAUCCUCUCUGAACCCUUCUGGUUCUACACUACCGGAAAUCCUUCCGCAACCUCAACAGACAUCUAACCCGUAUUUGUUCCCAUACCACUAGUACCAUCCCAGUACUUACUACCAAUAGCUGAAGUACUGCCAAUAAUCCACUUACUCCACUUCCUCCUCUGUUGGAGUACCCAUGCUCCUUCCGGGGCUACAUGCCAUUCCUUUUCAGGAAAUCCACCCAACAACCCUUACCGCACCUACACGAGCCACUGAGCUCUCUUUGACUCAACAUUAUUCAUGUUGAGCAACUUUUAUCCUCGAACUUCCCUAACUCUGAAUAUGCUUGCAAGGACUCUCGAGUCCAUGCACUGCUUUCACUAACUUGAUCAACACUUGGGGCCAGACCAUAUCAAUCAUCAUUCCCUGGCGACGCAUUUCCUCAUUCUCCUCAUAUUGAUUCACUAACACGUACAGAGUCUUCAGCAUCGUUGGAUCGCCCCUCCAGGCCUUCAGCCUAUCUGGACCACUCUCGGAACCUUCAGCAUGUCUGGACUGCCUCGGGCCAUCAGCCUGUCUGGACCAUUCCGUCGAGCCUUCGAGCUGACUGGUACGCCUUCCGGCCUUCAGUCUUCCCGGUCUGCUCAACUAUCAUACAUCAUUCCAAUUACCCUUCUAGGGAGUCCUUCCCGUUCAUACUAUUCUAGCCCCUAAGGGGUUCUGAACUCUCGUCCCGAUCCCGGAAUCCUUUCCAUGGCCUAAACCCAGGCCUAAAAUCAAACACUAUCUUUCCUGAAUCCAUGAUCUGCUCCCUGCCCCCACUAGUCUGCCACUUCCUCAUACUAGCCCACACUCUUGGCUGACUGAAACACCGCUGACUCCCAAACAGCUAAUUAGCCUCAAAUACUUGUCGGUCCUCCUGAGAAUUUUCCAAUACUCCCCACUUAGAGAACUUACUACCAACCACCGGUGACCCAACCUGCAUCGCGCAUCUCGAACUCUAAGGCAGUUCAACUCCCCGUUGAACACUUCUCAAAACACAAUUGCUAUACCCGACAACAAAACCAAUCAAUCAAAACCUGACCAUCAAUCCCUUGGGUGCUAACUGAUUCCAACCCAUAACUACCGACCCCUCAAUAAAACUACAAACUCGAAAGAUAGAACGAAUACAAUACCAUGAAUUAUGCGAACAAGACUAGCAUAUAUAAUACUCCAUAGAAACCCUAAGAUAACAAGAUAUCAAGAAGGAAACAUACACGCAGCUGCAUCCGACUCUGCCCUGAUCACCUCUGCUAUAAGCUGAAAAGCACGCCCCUGAGCCCUCGGGGGCUCUGCUCCACCCUGACCUCCACCCGUAAUUCUCAAAGUUGCCGGUGCUGGAGCCUGCACCGGUCCUGCAGCAAGUUGUGGAUACUUGGCCCUCAUGUGACCAACCUGCUGGCACUGAUAACAAAUCCUCAUAUCAUGAAAUGGGGCUGAUUGACGGCAAUCCCUCGCAUAAUUCCCCUCUCUCCCGCACUUGCGGCACACACCACCGGACCUACAAAAUCUAGUGUGACCCUACCCGCACUUCCCAGAAGUGUGGCUACUCUGAUCUCCCAACCAAGAAUAAACGGUCUUGGACCAUUUCAGCGCCGGCUGCGACUGUGUCGGGGCCUGCCUCUGCUCUCUCAACUGUAACUCAAUCUCCAACUCAUGCUGCCGAGCGACAUCCUGCAACUCCAGCAAGGUCUCACACUUCUGCGUAGACACAAACUGCCUGAUAUCCCUCUUGAUCAUACUUAGAUAUCAGGACAUCUGAGCCUGCUCCAAAGCAAACUCUGGACAAAACAUUUCCCUUUCAGUGAACGUCCUGGUGAUCUCCGUCACUGAUUCUGAGUCCUGCUUCAGCUCCAGGAACUCCUGAGCCAACCUCUUCGUCUAAACCCGUGGAACAUAACGGUUACUGAACAUCUCCCGGAACUGAUCCUAUGAAACCGCAGCCGUCUUCGCAUCCGAAUAUGACCCCGUGGUUAAUCUCCACCAAUCCUUUGCCCCGAGCCUCAACAAGUUCAGAGUGCAUCUCACUCUCUGAUCAGCAGGGCAUGAACAUGUGAAGAAACACCCCACCACGUCUGACAACCAUCUCAUAGCAACGAUCGGGUCCUGAACUCCAUCGAAGGUUGGGGGCUUUGUAUUAUCGGAGUCCCGAUACUGAAAACCUCUACCGGCUCCUCCCCCCGCCGCUGCUACAGCCGCUGUGGCCGCCGCNGUUGUAGCCGCCGCGACAACCGUCUAUGUAAGAGUUGCAUAGCGCUCAUCAAAAUACUCAACCAUGGCGGUCUUGAUCGACCCAAACAGUUCCGGCAACUCGUCCCAGAACAACGCAGCAACCUCAUAAUGCAUGAUCUCACGAAUCCUAGCAUCCAAGUCGUCUAUGCUCAUCUGACUAAUAACCUCAGGUGGUGCUGACCCACCCUGACCACCUCCUCCUGCUCCCGAUCCUGACCCGGAUCCAUUCCCAGCAUGCCUCGUAACCACCAUACUAAAAAUACAACAAAACAUCAGACGCUCUCCCAGAACCCCGGGAACCAACUCCCAACCCAAACCUAGAGGUUGUGGCUUCCUUGAUACGCGUAUGGGUUCGGUGCUUUCAGUAGUACGGGCCCAUACUACCUUCCACACCUACCCUUAUUUAUAUCAGGUAUCUCCAGAACAUCCUACUGUAGAACAUACAUAACAAGCACUCAACCCUCACUCCUAGAGGAACACUAGAUAUUUCAUACAGAAAGAAACCAUAGGCUAGCAGGCAUCAUAAAUCAGGCAACUCUAUCUUGAAAUUCCUGAAGAUCCCUAGCCUAGUAUUAGCAUGCUGUUCUAUCAUAUCUCAUAAACAAAUAAUUCGUAUGGUAUUUUAGGGUUACUUACUGGAUCCGGCUGAUCGUACCUCCGCAUCCUCCUUUACUCAUUUUUAAAACCAUUUUCAAUUCUCUUUUGAAAACUCUCCUUGAUUUGAGACUGGAUUCACACGAAUGUUCCUCCAAUUCACUCAAACCAAGGCUCUGAUACCAACUUGUAACACUCUAAAAAUUCCAACCGAUUUAAACUUUUCAAAACAACCCAAUUUCAUAAAGUUAUUACAAAAAGGUUUUCAAUACAUUUAUCAUCAGAGUAUUUCCCAGAAACGACCUUGUAUACACAUAAAACUCGAGGAGCGGUACGAUCAUGCCUUUGCCUUGCCACGGUCUCCUAAAGUACCUGAAACAUUUAAACCACAACUGUAAGCCCGAAAGCUUAGUGAGAUACCCCCAAAAUACCAACGCCAUAGAAUCAUAACCAUAUCAUAUAACCGAUACAGAACAUCCAUGCACUUCGGGUCUACUGUGUGACUGGUCCGCCGCACCAUCCUAAAGUCCACUUGGUCCACCCACCGAGUCUAGCCAUAUAAAUCGAGUCUACAGUGUGAUUGGUCUGCACGCACCGGGCCUUCAAUCCACCUGGUCCACUCUCUGAUUCUACAAUAUCACUGGUCCGCCCGCACCGGGCCUUCAGUCGGCCUGGUCCACUCUCCGAGCCUCAGCACGUCUGGUCCGCCCUCUUGGGGCCUACAGCCUAUCCGGACCACUCGCUGGGCCUUCGGGAUAACCAGUCCGCCCUGGGUAUGUUGGCCUACAGCACAAAGCAGAUCCUGCCUCAACCCAACCCCAAUCCAACAACCAUGUGCACAUAAACAUACAAUCAUCUAAAAAUACACAUCCAAUCAAACCGAUCUAAUAGAUCACAUAUCAUAACAUCAUCCUAACCAGGAUACCGACCUAACCGGUCACUAGCAUAGCAUCAUCCUAUAUACCAGGAUACCGACCUUAACCAGGUCUCUAACAUAUACCAUCCUAACUUCCAGAAUGCAACAUAGCAAAGCAAUAACAUAACAACAAUACUCGGAUUACAAUCCGAUAAAGGGCCGGCCUUGGUGCCUUAGACCCUGUUGAUAUAGUGAGGAUGAUUCACCUUGCGACUGCUGACGGAAAAGGAUAAGAUCAGGCUGCUCCAACCUCCGACAAGAACUCCUCCAAUGAUCAAUACCAAAAGACUGAACUCAAUAAACACCCAUAAUUACCAAAAUACCCUUGGAAGACAAUUGGUCAACUCUUGGUCAAAGUCAAAGCCCUCAGUCAAAGUCAACCCUCCUGACUGACUCUACUCACCGAGUCAAUCCGCUGACUCGUCGAGUCCCUAUGCUCCGAAACUCCCAUAAUACGACUCAACUUGCCGAGUCGCCCCAAGACUCGCCGAGUCCCACAACUCUGAGUCUAACCACACUCAACUCACUGAGUCAUCCCUUGACUCACAGAUUCAUAGCUUAAUCAGAAAAGGUUAGGACUCUACGACCAAACUCGUCGAGUCCAAGAACAGACUUGCCGAGUCCAAGGAAACAUUCAACGUACUCGUCGAGUUGUUCUUCCAACUCAUCGAGUUCCUGCCCAUCUUCAUCCAACUCGCCGAGUUCACUCCUGUGACUCGCCGAGUACCUCCAGUUCUUAAUCCAUAUAGUGGCAUUCCAAGCAAAGCAGGCUCCAAACCAUAGAUCCACUCCCCUACAACCCAUCCAUCACGUAAAGUCGAAAACUUUACGUGAAUCCAAAGAGAUCUAAGCAUUAAACACACUUGGGCUAAGGUUUGGGACAAAGGAACUUCUCCAACAACUCUCAUACAGGAACUUUAUGACAUAAGGGACCAUAACAAGCUUGGAUAUGAAGUAUCAUCCUCAGAUCCAAGCUUCUAUCUUGAAUUGGAUCUCAUAUCAAUCACCAUACAUGAAUCCAUGAAAGAAUAGCUUAUGGAAAUGGUUCCUUACCCCUAAAAUGAGCCUAACCAACUGUAGAUUUCUGAUCUCCCCAAGCUUACUGAUACAAGCCUCCAACCUUCAAGCUUCAAGCACCAGAGAUCCUCCUCCAAGCUCUAAUUCCCUCAACAAUGGGGUCUCCUCACGAAUUAGGGUUUUCUGGAUCUCAAUGAGCAGUAAAGAGGCUGAGGGGGAAAACAUAAGGUUCCUUAUAUAAGGUGCAAACCUUGAAAAUAGGGUUUCUCAUUCCAGCAGCAACUCGUCGAGUCCAGCCGCCAACUCGCCGAGUUGGUCACUAAACGUGUGACCAAAAUCGCGACUCGACUCACUGAGUCUCUCCAUGGACUCGCCGAGUCUAUCCUUCUUAAUUACACCAAGCACCCUGAACUUGCACUUCCGAACUCGGGGUGUUACAUUUUUCGUGGUUAAUAAAUUAGAUUUUCACAAACUCAAGCUAUUUUAUGGACAAAGUAACCAUCACGUGGAGAUUGAUUUUCAAUUUUCAAAAUGAGAAUAUUAGAAGAUACAAUUUUCACAUAAGCACAUGAAAUCCAAUAAGGCCCACAUUGACGGUGUAACGUCCGGGUUUCGGGGCUAAGCAUUUUAGACGAUGUAAUAGUCUAGGCCAACUAUUGUAAGUCUUUUUGAAGUAAUAAUGAUGAAAUAUUUGAGCAUUAUGUGAAUUAUGUGUAUUUGUGUGCUUAUUACUUAUUUAUAAAUGUAUAAUUAAUAAAAGAUAAAAAUAAGCGUCAAAAUUAAAAUGUGAUAUAAGCCCGAUAUCUUUACAUAAAGUUGUAGUGGUCGAAACAAGGAUUCCGGAGGUAUAAAGAAUGCCAAAAUCCGAGUUCUACCGAAGAAGUUAUGACCCGUCAAAGUUUCACAACGGAACCGACACGAUACCGGGAAACGUAAAUAGUGAAUUUACGAUGGAGUGAGUUUUAGCCUUAGCGAUCUAAACAAAAGUCAUAGAAAACGUUAAACCGAGAGCUUCCAUAAAAAGAACGCCUAAAUCUGACUUUGUAUGAAGAAGUUAUGAUUUUUCGAAGUUUCGGAUUAGCAGUGUACAAUCCGAAAUUUGAAUAUUAGAUCGAGCGGUUUUUAGCCGACACAACCUAAACAAGAAUCGAAGAUCUUGUUAAUAUUAGCAUAACGAUAAAAAGACAAACAAAAACAAACGUCAGAUGAAGAAGUUAUGAAUUUUUAACGGACCAAUCGUGUCCCGGUCUGUUAAUAAUAUAACUUUUAAAAUAAUGUCAAAAUUAGCCUACUGAGUUUAAACGAAAGUUGUAGAGUACGUUGCCACCGUCACAUGGAUAUAAAGAAUGUCAAAAACGGAGAUCGAACGCGUAAGUUAUGAAUUUUUAAAGUUGAAGCAUGAAAUUGCGAGACUUGAUGAAGAAUCGAUGACGCGGCAGUGAUCUAGACUGUCCAUCGCAGAUCAGAGGUCGCCUCGGAUUCGGACACGUCGCUCCUUGCCUACGCCCUGCGUCCGAAGUCGGUACGCCCAACGUACCUUCGCUCCUUGUCAUCCGAUGCACGUGCGAGACUGCUGGACCGAGGCUGGUAGUCUUAUCCGGAGUUACGCCCAACGUAAGCGAAGGCUACGCCUAACGUAGUCCGAAGCCAGCAGCCUAUAAAUAGCUACGAAUUCUCUCGGAUUUUCACACCAAAUGUCCUUCUCUCUCUAGAUUUGUUUCUCUCUCUAGGGUUCCAAAACCUCCCUAAAGUCUAGGUGAACCCCUAGCACCCGAAGGAAGCUCCGAGCUCCCAAAGUCACGAGAAAAAAGGUCUUUCGGUUUCGGAAACGCUGCUCCGAGCAAAGACCGGUUUUCUUUAAAAUUCGCUGUAAGUGAACUACGCUUACGCAAUUUUUAAUAUAGCUUUCAAAUAAUUAUAGUAAUGUUAUUAGGUCCUUAAAAUAAUUAUUUAGACUACUAUUCUGAGUUAUAUUGAGUGUUAUUUAACGCUUAUUUAAUAGUAAUAAUAGUCAGACUAUUAAUUUGUCGUGAUUAUCGUUAGACUAAACCCUAGUGGUACUGAUAGUAGGUUUCAUCGAAGGAAAAAUGUUUUGAGAGUAUCAAAGCCAUGUCCGAGUGCUGAGUCACCACCUUUCAGGUGAGUGCAUAGUUACUUUCAGCUUACACAUAGAUAUGAAGUAUUUUAUAUAAAUUAUGUGCUAUGUGUGCAUAUUAUCUGAAUACUUGCUAUCAAUGCUGGAUGAACGUUUUUAUACAUGUUUUCAAUGAUUUAAACUGUAUAUGUAUUUUAUAUCUACGAAAAUGUUGGGGUAAAACAUGGGUAGAUGUAUUAGGUGAUGUGUGAUAAAAUGAGGAGAGGCCUCGAUGUUGAUGUUGUUGAUUCUGUCAUCUAGCAGAGUAUGGAUAACGACCACGGACUCUUCUAGACAGUCUAGUGGAAUGCUAGCAGGCUCGUAACCUAUAGGUGUUUGUGAACGAUGUGCUCACUGGUGUACUCCAUCGCCCACAUGGUUGCCUUUAGGACAUUUAUUGCUGAGGACCCCCCUUAGCAGUAGUGUCCAUCCCGAUGAUGAUCCUUAGGCUAGGUCCCUUAUGAUAGGUGUUUAGGGACAUAAAGUGAGGAUAACGGGAACGAGUAAUCGGGUUAUUAUUGAUUGAUGAAAUUAAUAAACUUAUUUAUUGUGGGUUGAAAACCCUAUGUGCUCACCAGGCUCCCAAGCCUGACCCACUCAGUUUCAUGUAUUACAGGUAGUGGCGCUCAAGCAUAGAUGUGAUGUUUUGGAUGAGGGAUUACGGAUAUAGGCCUGUAGAUAUGAAAUAAUGUAGUAAGGCUUAUAUUGUACUGUUUAUGCUUUUGAUCUGUAUCGAACAUGACAUCCCAAGUAUUUUAAUAAAAUACAUUUCUUUGGAAAUGCUUUUGAUAAAUCUUUAUCAUAUUUUGUUGUGGGAAAAAUUCCGCAACACUUUUAUUUAAAAUGUUACUCUGAUUUUGAAACAAGCAUAAAUAAAAUCGGUAUUUUCUGGAUGUGAAAAUGGGGAUGUCACAGUUGGUAUCAAAGCAUUUGUUUAAGCGAACUAGGAAUUUGUAGGAUUUCUAGACUUUAACAUAGAAUGAUAAGCGAUGAUUAUGAGGUGUGAGCACUAGCUUAUUUUAGGAAUGGUUCCUAAAAUGCUUUUAUGUGCAAAAUGCUUUGUGCCUGAUAUGCUAUUAUUUGUUCGGAUCUAUGGUAUGUUGCCGACCAGAUCUGAAAACCUUAUGUGCAUAGGAUUCUAAACGUACAACUACGAUAUUAGAACUAGCAUGUAAACGUUUCGGAGUGAUGAGGAUGAUUUAAAUGUCUAUCCUAAAUAAAGAUCUAAAUUCACCUUAUUCGGUGUAUAGAUCAAAAUGAUAAGAACCCGCAGUGGAGCUGUGUGACAACCCGAAAUUUUCGUUUAUUUUAACGCCAUAAUUAAGCACCUCAAAAAUUAGCCAAAUUUAUCCCAAAAUAUUUUUGACCGGAUUUAAGCUCGUUGGAAUAUUUUAAAUAAUAUUCGUCAAGCAAACCAAAAAUAAGGAAGUAAAAGUUAGAGUUGGCGUGUUUAGCGUAAGUCACGGAACUCCAAAAAUUUGGAAUUUGCUGACAAAAACUCGGAGUUUUGACCGCGAACCCCCGAGGGUAUACAUAUGACACUUAGUCAUUUUCUGUCAUUUUUCCAACUUCCACCUCAAGAACACUCAAGAAAUCCUCUCAACUAUCAUAAGUUCAUCCCGUCAAAUCCGCCAAAAACGAUCAUCCAAGCUCCUAGAACGUAAGUGCACUUACCCUAGCUUCAUGUGUGCUUAAUAGAAACUUGUUUACACUUGAAAUCAUCCAAGAACACCAAGAACAAGGUGUUUACGGUCCAAGAACAUUCUUGGACCGUAAACCCUUAAGUGGGUGCCAAAGUGUGCCUUGAUUAGUUCUAAGCCUUGACAACUAGCAUAGAUCCCUUCCUAUAUGAGUUUAGCAACCGAAAAUCAUCAUUUUCCCCAUGUUCAUAUGAGUUUACGGUUUGGAGAGUUCAUCCCAAAACCGUAAACACCUCCAAGAGGUGUUUAGAUGCCCUAAUGCCUUCAAAUGGUUGUGUAAUGGAGUAGAACCUUACUUGCCUGAACUAGGGACCCCAAGAACAUGUAAUGAAGGGAAAACAUGAGUUUACGGUUUUAGAACACCUCCCAAAAUUGUAAACACCUUUGCAAGGUGUUUAAUUGCCCUUAACACCUUCCUAUGCUCCUAUAAAUUACUAGAACCUUGCAUGCAUAACCUAGAACCAGAAAAGCACAAAAGAAAUGGACUAACAUGAGUUUACGACCAUAAACUCAUGUGUUUGUAGCCGUAAACUCCCAAGGGAGUGGUCCAAGGACCGUAAACUCCAUAAAGUGUCCAUUUUGAGCCCCAAUCAGUUCCAUAGCCGUUGAAUCAACCCUAGAACCUUUCCUUGUGAAGCAUGAAGCCUUAAAGCACACAAAUAUACCAUUCCCUUGAGUUUAUGGCCGUAAACUCAUGGGGGACAUUGUUCCAAAACCGUAAACCCCCCUAGGUAUUACCAUUUGAGUAGUAAACUCCAAUGUGAGUCCAUACUCUCCUUAUAUGCAACCCUUAUUACUCCUAGCACUUGUAGCAAAGUUGUUGGGUCGCAUUUUGUGUUGCGUCUAUUGGGCUCGUUGGUUAGUCUAAUAUGUAUCUUCGGUAUGGGCCUGUCCAUCUGUGAGUUUUGUUUAGGUUUUAUUAUAUAUAGAUUCUUGCAUGCAUUCUUAACGUAAGAUUGAUAGAGGUUUGAUAGCAUACAAGUUCUUAUCUUUUGUAACCUUAGAAUCCUUUACAACGGAAGUUCUUAGUCGAGCUCUGCUGAGGAUUGAGUAAUCUAAUCAUUCAACACAUCUUGAUUUAUACUUGGGUUAUUUACUGUUUAUAUAUUCAUCGCUUACCUGUUACAUAGAUCUAAUCGAUCAUCAGAGCAGGAGGCUGUGUAAUUCAUACACAUCUUUUCUGUGAAAAAGUUUGCGAUUAGGGUUAUUCCACAUUAACUAAUAUUUAUUGAGCCAUCAUUCCAUAAUUGACGUAACUCAACAUUUAUUUGUUUUGCCCUAAUAUUAUUUAUUACAAGUCUAAUCUUUAAAACAGGUUAAACGAUCAAGCAUGGACGAGUCACAAUCAAAUCCCAUCAAUAUCUCAAAUAGCAUCAGAACAACGACGGAGAUUCCUAUUCUUUACACCCAGGAUUAUGAAGUUUGGGCACAUCACUUCGAAGAUUAUGUCAUUGGAUCGGAAGACAAUGGAUACCUUAUUUGGGAAGCAAUAGUUUCUAGACCAUUUACUCAUUCUGCAACGUCAAAAAUCAUUAAAACUCAAAAAGAGUACAAUGAUCUAUUAAAAGACGUAAAGGAUGUUGCUCAAGACGAAAAGGAAAAGUUUCAGUGCAACAUUAAAGCAUUGAGAGUGAUUCGAUUCUCUCUUCAAUCCGAUAUGUUCAGGCUAGUGAGUUCCUGCAGCACUGCUAAAGAGAUCUGGGAUAGGCUACAAGACCUAUAUUCCACAGAUGAAGAUCUGGAGCAUUCCACUCAGACUUUACUCUUAUCAGAGUUUGGCGAAUUUAAGCAGAAUCCCGAUGAAAAAGUUACUCAGACAUUCGAUCGCUUCAAUCAUUUUGUUAGUAAGAUGAUCAAAGACGAUAUAGAAAGGAAGCUGAUUGAACAAAAGGUUACCUUUUUGAAUGGUCUUAGAUCUGAAUGGAGAGCAGUUGUGUCCACUGUUAAAGCUCAUGAGCAAUUCAAAUCUUAUUCUUUGGCAAAGCUAGUAGGGAUUCUGGAAUCCCAAGAAAAGAUAGUAUUACAAGAGAAAAGUGUGGUUUCAAGCUUGGGAUCCUUGGCUCUUCUUUCCAAAAGCAAAAGUGUAGUAGAGGAUGAAUAUCUCAACUUAGAAGAUUAUGAUCUUACAUCUGAAGAUUAUGCAAUGAUGCAGUCAAAUCCAAAUAGGUUCAUUAAGAAAAGAUUCCCUACAAAUAAGAAUCGGAAUUGGCAGGGAAGCCAUAGUUCCGAAAAAGUGAGGGAGGAACCGAAGGCAGAAGAACCAUAGAAAGAGCCGAAAGCUAAAGGAGAUUCUGGUGUGAACUGCUACUACUGUGGAGGAAAGAACCACUAUGCCAAAGACUGUGUCUUGAAGAAAAUGGCAGAGAAGGACAAGGAAAAUGAUGAAGAGGCUGUGCUGAUGAAAAAGCUGGAAGAUAUCAAGAGAAAGAAAGCUACUGCUAACCCUUCAAUGAAUGCUUUAAUUGUGCAGGGUUCGGCAGCCGAUGAUGAGUUCGGUGGUGUGCAGGUCUGGUCAACCGACUCGGAGGAUGAUGAGGUCAGGAAGCCAUCUCAUGGAAAGGCGUAUGUCGCUAGAGGUGAAGAAAGCAGUGGGAAGUGCUUGAUGGUGACGAAUGUAUCUCAAAUGAGGGGAUAGAAUACAGAUGUUGGGAAUGAAGAAACGUAGGAGCAAGAGGACUUAUGCUUCACAGCAAAACCUCUCAGCGUGCAAUUCAAUGAGCUUGAUGAAUUAAUCAAGAAGGUACAAUCCAUUUUUAUUUCAUAUAAAGUCCCACAAAACUCAUAUGAAAAAGAAUUGAAAAGCUUAAACUCAAGAAUCUCAAAUCUAGAUAGCAGUUUAACUCAAACACGGGUCACCAAUUCUAACCUAACUGACCAAAUAAGCAGGGUAUCAUCAAAGAGUGAGGAACGGAGGAUGUGGAUAGAGCUGAAGGAGUCGGAGCUGAUUAAAUCCAAAGACGAAAACAUUUAUUUACAAAGAGACAAUUUGAAACUUUUGAAACAAAGAAAUGUGUUUUGUUUAAUUGCUAAGCGUCUUUAUUCUAACAUCACUCAACUUCAUUUGAACUGUGAAAUAGGACAGAAAAUUCAUCGCAUGAUUUUGCCCUUCCUUGAAUUCAAGGAGGAUGAAAUCGACGCUGAAGCAUAUAAUUGCGAAAGUGUAGUUUCGUCUGAUGAUGUGAAUCCAACCUACAUGUAUGGUCUAGACAAAAUUGAAUCUUUCAUAAAAUCCAAGGACCAUAAGGACAUGCUGAAAGACCUUUUGGAUGAAAAUGAUAAACUAAAACUAAGAACCGAAACCAUACAAAAAUUUGACUCAUUGAAUGUCAACUUGAGCUCCGAAAAUAAAAUAGAUGUUGAAAACGCGUCUGAGCUUAAUGAGGAUGAAGAUAUGAGUGAAAUUUCUAUAGUGGAUAAAGUUGACUGUUCUGAGUUUAUCAAGAGCGAACCCGAAAACCACAAAAAUCUUAUUUCUGAAAAUUCUAUGGAGUUUGCUCGUUGGUACCAAAAUAAGUCCCCUUCUCUAGAAGAAAAGGCUAUUGUAUACCAAAAGGUGAGAACAACACCAAAUCAGGUAUAUAAGGUCACAGGAGUAACCGAACAUCAGACAGCCGAACUCACAGCCAUUGUAAACGAAGAUAAUGCAGAUGGUUGUGAUGAAUUCUUCUGGUCUGCUCCUAUAGAUAAUGCAGACGAAACUGUUGGUCUGUCAGAGCGGACUUCCUGGAAAACCAAAGGCAGAUAUGUGCCGGAGCCGCUAACAAGCCUGAUAACUUCGACGUGGCAAGUACUAGUGGUACAAAAGAAGUUCCUGUAGAAGAAGUCACUCCCUUAAGAGAAACAUCAUCCGUUCAAAGUGAACCGGCUAACAAAAAGCAAAAGCAAAAAGCCAACAUCCACCGACACUCGAAGCAAGUAAAGGAUCAGAAGCAGCAAAGGAAUCUGAGAUACAAGAAGAAUAUCUCAGAACGAAAACAGUUUUGGCGAUCUCAAAACGCCCAUUUCUCUUAUCAUGACAAAAAUUCCAAGUCAGAGAAAAGUACUAUGAGGACGCAAGAAAGUAGUUACAACCGAAAGGACAGGUUCGGUUCUGAAAGGAAUAACAACCGAAGGGAAAGGUUCGGUUCAGAGAACACCAGCUACCGAAAGCAUAGGUUCGGUUCCGAGAGCAAAAGAAAUCAAGGUUCAAGGUUCUGUCCCACUAAUGACCAAAAACAAAAGGGGCAUCUAGAACCUCAAGUCAAGAAAACUUCUCAGUCUAACUUCUCUCGUUCUAAAUCUUCUCAACCCCAUUCUAAAUCCAAUUCUGUUCAAACUCAAAAUCCAAAACAUUCAGCAGAUUUGAAAGGAAAAUCGAAGGUUUCCUCAGUCAAGAAUGUUCAAAAGCAUUCCAAGGCCCAAACAUCAAAUCCUGAACCCAAACCGUCUGUAACAAAUCCCAACAAAAUUAAAGUUUUCACCAUUAAAAAGAAAGAUGAAACAACUUUAAUAAAAAGAACAUAUCUUGUUGACAUCUCUCUUGCUAUUCAUGUUCCUGUGAAAGGCUCACGUGGACCCAUGAAACUUUGGGUUCCUAAAUCUGCUUGAUUUUUGCAGGUUAUCAGUGACGAGCAGUUCGACGAAGAAUGGUAUAUUGACAGUGGCUGCUCACGUCACAUGACAGGGAGGAAGGAAGAACUGAGGGAAUUUCGAUCUCUUCCAAACGACGGAAAUGUCGAAUUCAGGAACAACUCAUACGGCACAAUAAAAGGUUAUGGGAUUAUUACAAAUGGAGACUUCACGAUUAGAAAACUUGCAUAUGUUCAAGGACUACAGCAUAACCUCAUCAGUGUAUCUCAGCUUGUUGGAGGUACCGGUCAUAAAGUUUCGUUUGAUGAUGAGGGUUCGGAAAUAAUAGAGAAGAAAACAAAAAGAGUGAUCCUCAAAUCGGAGCGCAAAGGCGAAAUGUUUCCUCUUAAUCUCAAACCUAUCAAAGGAAAUCCAGCUAUCUGUCUGUUAUCCAAAGCACACUCUGACGAAAGCUGGUUGUGGCACCGAAGGCUCUCCCAUCUCAACUUUAAGGAUAUCAACAAACUUGUCACCGGAGGUCAUGUUCGGGGUCUUCCAUUGCUCAAGUUUGAUCGAGAACAUUUGUGUGCUGCGUGUGAAAUGGGGAAGCAGAGUCGUCAAAGUCACCCAUCCAUCAUAAACACUAAAGUCGUUGAACCACUUGAGUUGAUUCACAUUGACUUGUGUGGUCCAUCGUCUAUCGAAAGCAUUGGUGGUAGCAAGUAUAUUCUUGUUAUUGUUGAUGACUUUUCACGUUUUACAUGGGUGUUCUUUCUGAAGCACAAAUCUGAAGCAACUCUCAAGCUAAAGAUGUUCAUCAAGCAGGUUGAAGUGCAGCUGAGGAAAGUCGUUCGCAACAUCAGAAGCGACAAUGGGCUGGAGUUCAAGAAUAAAGAAUUUGAAGACUUUUUAGCUGAAAAAGGGACCAGCCACAACUUCUCAGCUCCUUACACCCCUCAACAAAACGGGAUUGUCGAAAGACGAAACCGAUCUUUGUGUGAGGCAGCACGAACUAUGCUAAGUUUCGCUUUUCUACCUCUAUAUCUAUGGCCUGAUGCUAUUGCUGCAGCAUGUUUUACGCAGAACAUGUCCUAUCUCAAUAAGCGUUUCACUCUUACUCCUUAUGAGAUCAUCAACAACAGAAAGCCAAACGUCAAAUUCUUCCACGUAUUCGGCUCACGAUGCUUUAUCUUCAAUUCUAAAGAACAUCGUAACAAGUUCGACGUAAAAGCCGAUGAAGGGAUUUUUCUGGGAUAUUCUCUCACUUCGAAAGCAUACAGGGUUUUAAACAAGCGUUCGAGGAAGAUUGAAGAAACGUAUUAUGUGACUUUCGAUGAAAGCUAUGUCAAGAAGCUGAAGGCCACGAAAGAAAUAGUUGGAGAAAUCUUCUCUCAAACAGGCCAAGUCACAGCCUCGAUUGCAAAUUUGUUUGAGCAGUUUAUGGAGUUGUUCGAUGAAUCGGAGAAGGCUACUCUCUCAGAAGCUAAUGUAGAGGACAACAAAGUUGAUCAUCUGAAGCAAAUCGUCGAUGACGCUGCCAAACGACUGGGUGAAGGAGGAUCAGUUCCAACAUAACCUUCUUAGCACGGUGCUUCAGUUGAGGGGGAGAACUCUUCUCCAGCUGCACCCGAAAGCUCUACUGCACCCGAAGGUACUGUAGCUCCCGAAAGCUCUACUACAACCGAAGGUACUGCAACACCCGAAAGCUUGACACCACCCGAAACUCCUGUUGCUUCGGAAAGUCACGAUUUACCUGAAAGCUCAUCAGUCGAGGGGGAGAAUGCCGACAUGUUUUAUGACGAUGACAGUCAAUCCGAACUAGAAGAAAUGGUAAAUGCUGAAUUAGAUCGAUCAUAUGAUCCAAAUUACCCUCCUCUUGUCAAAUGGACUAGAGAUCAUCCUGUUUCACAGGUUGUGGGUAAUGUCUCUGAAAAGGUCCUGACCCGAUCUCAACUGAAGGCAAAGCAAACUUCUCUAUUCUCACAAGUAUAGUUUUGCAUGUUUAAUUCUUUCGUCUCAAAAGUUGAACCAAAUACAGUUAACACUGCUCUUGAUCACUCCGAUUGGGUUCAAGCUAUGCAAGACGAACUUAAUGAGUUCGAAAGAAAUAAAGUUUGGCGCCUCAUUCCAACUCCUCAAGAUGCAUCGGUUUUUGGUCUCAAAUGGGUCUUUAGGAACAAAAUGGACAAGGAAGGCAAUGUGAUAAGGAACAAAGCUCGACUAGUGGUGAAAGCAUACUGCCAGGAGGAAGGAAUCGACUAUGAGGAAACUUUUGCUCCUGUAGCUAGGCUGGAAUCUGCUCGAAUAUUUCUUGCCUACGUUGCACACAAGAACUUUAAGGUCUACCAAAUGAACGUAAAGUGCAUAUUUCUAAAUGGAGAACUCGAAGAAACGGUGUAUGUGGAGCAACCUCCGGGAUUUGUCAAUGAAAAAUAUCCUAAUCACUGCUAUAUUCUCGACAAAGCAGUUUAUGGACUGAAACAAGCACCUAAGGCCUGGUAUGAAACACUAACCAAGUUUUUAAAGAUAUCUAAAUUCAAACAAGGUUCGGUUGACCCAACCUUCUUUCGUAAGAAGGAAGGUAACCACCUUAUGAUUGUUCAAAUCUAUGUCGAUGAUAUCAUCUUUGGCUCAACGAAUCCUAGCUUAACAGCUGAAUUCAGAAAGCUGAUGGAGACUAAAUUCGAAAUGAGCUCAAUGGGUCCGAUUAACUUUUUCCUUGGUUUAAAUAUUAGACAGGGACCCGAAGGCAUCUUUAUUAACCAGGAAGCUUACACCAAGACUCUCCUUGCUAAAUUCGGCAUGAUGGGAGACUCAAAGGUUAAAGUUCCAAUGGCGUUCGGCACCAAGCUCACUCCAUCCUUGGAUAAGCCAGCAGUCGAUAUUACGCUAUAUCGCCAGAUGAUCGAUUCUCUAAUGUACCUUACUGCUAGCAGGCCUGAUAUAAUGUUUUCUGUUUGUUACUGUGCUAGAUUUCAGGCGAAUCCUCGUGAACCUCAUAUGCUUGCAGUGAAGAACAUACUCCGGUAUCUCAAACGAACUACCUCUCUCGGUUUAUGGUAUCCAUCAAACUCAGGUUUUUUCGUUCAAGCCUACUCAGAUGCAGACCUUGGAGGUUGUGGACUAGACAGGAAAAGCACCACUGGAGGCUGCCAAUUCCUUGACGGGAAGUUGGUUAGCUGGCAAUCAAAGAAACAGACCUGUGUAUCUUUGUCUACCGCUGAAGCAGAAUACAUUGCAGCUGCCUCCUGUACAUCUCAAGUGAUUUGGAUUCAAAGCCAACUCCGGGACUAUGGACUCAAUAUGAAAAAGAUCCCACUAUAUUGCGACUCUGAAAGUGAAAUUAGAAUUUGUCAUAACCCAGUGCAACAUUCCAAGACUAAGCACAUCACACUGAGGUAUCACUUCAUUAAGGAUCAUGUGGAAGUUGGGAAUGUCGAAAUUCAUUUUGUUCGAACCACUGAUCAACUGGCUGACAUCUUCACCAAAGCUCUUCCUGAAGCAUCUUUUAACAAAAUUCUACAAGGGCUUGGAAUGAUGGAAUCGGAGUCAGUACCAAAAAUUACCUCUCAAGAUCAAAAGUAAGAAGCGAAAUAGACCGAACGUUCGGGUUCGGGUCUCUUGUAUGCCGAAAUGGACCGAACGCUCGNGUGUGCCGAAAUAGACCGAACGCUCGGUUUCGGUUGUAUCAUUUGAUUUUCGCCUAUCACUCAAAGGUAGUUUCUAUGGUUGCAAAUCUUGUGUAUCAUUUUUCUUAAUUCAUUUAUCUUAUUGUCAAAAUUCUUCUCCUUUUCAAUCUAAUUUUUUUUGGCAACCGAAAUAGACCGAACGCUCGGGUUCGGUUCAAAAGUUUUCUCAACCGAAAUAAACCGAACGCUCGGGUUCGGUUCCAACAUUUUUUUUUGUAUAAUUUUUUUUAUGUCUUAUUUUAUUAUUUAUCAAAAAUUCCAAAAACAAUUUUUUUUAAUUCAAGUUUUUUUAUAUAAAUUCAAAAACUCCAAAAUAAUUUUUUAUUGGCUCUUAUUUUUAUGUCUCGUUUUGGGUAAAUUAUUUCACUAGCUAAGUGUCCCUAAAAGCAUGCUGUUGUAUGUGUCCAAAGCCUCAUUUGAUUCUGAAUAAUAGCCUUACUGACUUGGUACAAACAAACCUUGUCUUCCCAAUUAGGCUCUCAUAAUUAUUCUAAUCAUGAGCUACCUAACUCUCUUCUCACAUGAGAUAAGAGUUGUCUGCUUGGUCCCUAUUUUUAUAGCAGAGGUACUUUGGUUUCUUUAUACCAUCUACAUCAUUUUUCUCCAUCUCACUCGUUUCACAAACGUAACCCUUGAGACUCUCAGACAUUACCACUGAGGUUUAUGGUUGCACAAUUUCUGUGUUCAUGAUCUUAGCUUCGUGUCACUACGUGCUAAGUGAAACCCAAAAUUCAAUACCCAUUAUGCAUUGACGGUGAACAAUUAAUUUGCUCAAGCUUUCACUAAUGAAUUGACGAAGGUACCACAUGAAAUCUCUAAUUUUCUUUUGAGUGAUUCCUAUGAAAUUGUUAACACCCAUAACAUUUCUUCCCUUGGGAUCCAGUUUUAAUUUUUGUUGAGAUUUUAUACNCACACAUAUAUUAGUUUACCUUGCCAAUUAAAUUAUCACCAACCUACUAGUUCAACAGACUACAUUGGUCUCACAAGUACUUCGUUCCAUCUCUAUCUUAUAUCAAGCUUAGGAAUUCUGAAUCGAAGCGAAAGCCACCCUCAUAAGCCUAAUUAAAAGAAGCCUUUCAACACUUCUUCAUAAGUGUCUGAUCGUUAUUCAACGGGAAACCACACAAACACUUUAAAGUCUCUCUUGACUUUGAAGGAAGAGAUUCGUGCCCGGGAUCCAUUGUUUCGUGUCUUUAUUGACAUCACAUAAUCCCUCAAAAGUGUUGCUUUAUUUCUUUUUCUUUUACACACUCAGCACGAAAAUCUUUUUGAUUUUCCAAAAUUCUGGUUUCAUUAAUUCUAAGGAAUUUUAAUUGGGUUGGCUGUUAUCAAAAGUUAUGGUUAAUAUUCAUCCAUGUGGCGAUUUAAUUUAAAAAAAAAUGUCGUUUCAUUCUAAAGGGAUAAGAUGACGAAAUGAUUUCAAAUGGCAGGAGUCCAAUCGAUUUGAUUUCAAACGGCGCAACAGGGAACCACGUGCGAAUAGGAACCGUUUCAUAUCCAAACGGCGUCUGAUGGGAAGGCGUGUAAUUAGGGCCUCACAUUCUCUCUCAUGUGUGAUCAUCGGCUACGCCAACUGUCAUGCGUUAGUCACCUCCUAAAAACCCUUCGUUUUUCAAUUGAAGAUUUGGGAAGAUUUUUCUCUCUCCUUUACCCACAGUAUAAAAGGCAACGUGAUCCCCUAUUUACCUCUUUACUGCGCCUAUAUUUCCAGAGAGCAAGAAAUCCUUCAACCUUCACUGUUCAUCAUCUCUCACACUUUCUUCACAGCAAUGGCAGAUUCUUCCUCAGUUCACACAACGUCUCACAUCCUGCCCAUUCGCCCACAACAGAGUUUGAUCAUCGAUCUCACUCCUCAGGUGUACGAUGCAUUCUUGUUUCCUAUCAUCGAAUGCUUGAAGUACUCCUCCAUCGCUCCUGCUCUUACCAGGGCUGAAGCUGUUCCAAUGGAGUUCCUGUCUCAAAUCUUUGCCAUAGCACACUACGACAAGGUCGUUGACAGGAUUUUCUUCGAUGUCUUUGAGCACAAGGCGUCGAUUUCAAAGCAGAGGUUUUGCUCGUUGUUAGGGUUUGACGUUGAUUCUUCGAGGGUUAAUCCGGAAACCAUUCCCAUGGGUCAUCUGUUCAACAUGUUCUACAACAUGGGGUACACUGAGGUGCUUACUACGGUGACGAAAUUCAAGAAGUCGUGCCAACCUCCACAGUGGAAUGGAAUGUUCACUGUUCUUUUCAAGGGAUUAUCUGAACGAAGUGGUGGAUCCGAUGGGGCAAGUCGUUUAUUUCUCUCCAUCAUGUACGGGAUCUACAAUGGCAUCAACCUAGACUAUGGGUCAGUCCUGUGGCAACAACUUAUCCAGAGUCUCUCUUCGACCUCCCGACACUCAGAGAUCUCAUAUGCCCGGUUCUGGACUAUUGUCACUAAAUGGGUGAUGGACAAGUACCACGUCCCCAUUGUCGCUGGUGCUCCAUUGUCUUCGAUUGGUACUUUCCAUACCACGAAGAUCAUUGUGUCGGAUGCUUCUAAGUUUCCAUUGAAUGGGUCUAUCCCGGAAACGAUGUAUGGUGAUGUUCCAGCUGACAGUAGGAUCAUUCAAACGUAUAAGGAGUUCAGACGUUCUGGUCCGAGGGAUCUUACUCCAGAGAUGCUGAAAUCAAUCCAUGAUGCUGACAAGCCUGCUGCUAGAGGCAAGAAGGCUGACAAGGGAAAACAGGUGGCAAANACAGGCGGCAAAGGGGGGGAAAGGCCCAUCUCCCAAGAAGAGGAAAACUACCAGAGUUGCUCAAUCUCCACCGCGGAAGAGGAGAAAAACCCAACCGCGACGAAAGUUGAUCAUCGCUUCAUCCUCAAGCGAAUCUGAGGACGAGGGUUCUGAUUCGGAUGGAUCUCAACGUGGCAACACUCCACCACGAUCUCAAACCCCUGCGGUUCAUGUUUUUCCUUCUCCUGUCUCCUCUCCACAGGUCACAAUACCUUUUUCUAUUCCCCCCAUAACUUCCACCACUCAAAUACCACCUACUUCCAUCCCAAUACCACCACCAAUCUUUACCGAAGCAACAACCACCACCACUGCAGAUGUUAGAACCAACGUAUCCGAUACGAGGGUUCAUACUAACGCACCAAUAUCCACCUCAGCACCCGAACCCACACCAACAACCGAACAGACCACCCAACCCGAAACUACUACUAUCGAACCACCAGAUUCACCACCACCAUCUUCUCCUACUCACGCAUAAGAGGAUGAAGAACCACUCCUUGGCGGGGAAAAUAUGACUUUUGACUCGGUCUAUUAUAGUCUGUUUCAAGUAUAGAGUGAUGACGAUGACGACGCUCCUGUCACCAAAAGGCAUCUCAAAGAGCUACAUGACAAAAUCGACUCGCUCAUCGCCUCCUCUUCUACUUCUCAGUCAUCCAUAUCUGAAGCUGCAAUUCAGAAAAUUGUUGAGGCUUUUUCCAAAGCUCAUCAAGUUUCCCUUGAUUCCGCCACUGCCGCCAUCAAUGCCUCAACCAAAUCCUGUCAGGAUGCGACUGAAAAAGUCGAUAAACUAUUUAUUGAUGCCUCUUCCCUGUUGAAAUCUUUACAGGAAAGUGCUGAAGCCACCAAGACUAUGCUGGAACCCAUCAUCAGCCAGUUGGCUACAUCAGUCGCUUCUGAGCUUAAGUCGUUCGCUUCUCUUAGAUAGUCUAUUUCGGACGAUAACUCAGCUUUUAGAACCACCAUUGAGGAGCAUCUCUCUAAGCUUCAAGAAGACUUAGCUGCCGAAAACUCUCUCAUGGAUUCUCUCGCAAGGAAGACUACCGCUCUGAAGGUCAAGAGUACUCAACUCUCCAACUGUCAACAGGAGAUUGACUAUCUUCGAUCUGAAAGAGAGUUGGUUAAAUCGUGUGUUUUGGAUGUCCACUUUGCUAUUUCCAACAUCCUUGAAGCACAUGACCCAAUAAUCAAUUAUUCAGUACGCCGUACCCUUGCAGAGAAGCUUGCUCCCGCCCUCGCUUUACUCAGCAAAAUGGAAGGGCUCCUUGAUUUCGUGUCCAUUCCAAAACAAGGGGGGAGAAAAAGAACAAGGGUCUCAACCACCUCCUACUUCAGCAACUCACACAACCGAACCUCCUCCAGUAGGCCAAGCCUUCGGUUCUGGUGUGAAAGACAAAGGCAAAAAUAUUGCUGAGGAGAGUGAUGAUGAUAAAGAGACAAUUGCCGACCUUCUGAAGCAUCAAGGUCAAGAUAAAGAGGCUGACAUCAGUGCUCGUGUGGCUAGAGAUGCUGAAGAAGCCAAAAGAAAACAGAAAGAAGCCCAUGACCUUCUUGAGAGCAGGAAAACUCUUUUUCCUUCCUGGACUCUUGAGAGGUUGAUUAAGGAAGCCAUUGACACACCAAGUAUCUUGUGGCUGGAACCUGUGAUCUCUUUAGAUCAUUCCAAUACUGACGACUCACAAUUCGACAUGCCACUGACCCGAAAGGCGUUUUUUUUUCAUGCCUUUGACAACAUUGCAGAGUUCCCUGAUCCUCAUCCACAGGUUGAUUGGGACUUAAUCGAUUUUUAUCUGAAGGUUGCUCAGCCCCAAUAUCAGACUUGGAGCGCUCAGAAAAUCGUCAAUGUUCGGGUCCUGAAGCCGUACAGGGAAGGUAACUUCACCAAUGUUCGCUUCAAGGUAGUUAGGGGAUCUGCCAAAGCCGAACAUGCCAUCUCACUUGCAGAUCUUCCCAAUCUUAAUCCCCAUGAUUGGAUUAUCUUGCACAACAUCCUUCUGACAAACGAAGCUGAAUAUGGUCCGAUCAUCGACCAUUUUAAGAGGAUGCUUGUAUGCUAUAUCAUGGAAGUUGCUUUGAUGGAUCAGGAGAUUGCGAGCGUAUUUAAGAAGAAGCCUACCAUAUCUCCUGUUGGCUCUGCCAGUGAUCUCAACAUGAUGCAGAUGGGGAAGAUUGACCCAAAGAGAAACUCUGUCAUGUUUACCAGGAACGAAGGACAGAAAUGUCUUUUUGCCUUGGCAGACAAACAUCUCUAUACCACUGCAUGUUUGGAACACGUUUUAGGGAUCAUCCAUCAAUGCAAGAAGAACACAACGGAUGAUAUCAAGUACUUUGAUGAUAUGAUUAAAUGGUACAUUCGGUUCAGACAGACUAUCCUUGCUCUUAUCACAUGUGUGUUUGAUACUAUAAAGAAGGCUCCCGCUGCUGGCCCAAGCAAGAAGAAGAAGUAGUCUCGCUGCAAUUUGACGCAAAGGGGGAGAUUGUUUGGUCGCAUUUUGUGUUGCGUCUAUUGGGCUCGUUAGUUAGUCUAAUAUGUAUCUCCGGUAUGGGCCUGUCCAUCCGUGAGUUUUGUUUAGGGUUUAUUAUAUAUAGAUGCUUGCAUGCAUUCUUAACGUAAGAUUGAUAGAGAUUUGAUAGCGUACAAGUUCUUAUCUUUUGUAACCCUAGAAUCCUCUACAACGGAAGUUCUUAGUCGAGCUCUGCUGAGGAUUAAGUAAUCUAAUCAUUCGACACAUUUUGAUUCAUACUUGGGUUAUUUACUGUUUAUAUAUUCAUCGCUUACCUGUUACGUAGAUCUAAUCAAUCAUCAAGUUAAUUAAUAACUUAUCAAAAGUGUUUUCAUGUAGUUGGACGUCGUAACUUGCAUAAUUAAUGGUUAAAUGACUAAUUGGAUACUUAAAUGUAUCAUUACAUGUUAAAUAGGAUUCGCGUGUGUGGUUAAGUCCUCACUUGACACUUAGCAUCCUAUACCGUCCAUUCAUCUGAAUCACCCACGACAGGUGAGUUCAUACCCUCGAAUUAACCUUUUAAAUGAUUUUAACUGCUUUUAUAGGGGGGGGGGGGAAUACAAGUUAAACUGUACAAUUAUUAGAUAAAUCACAUGUGAUUAAUAACUGUAUAGCAAAGUAGAUUUUUUUAUGUUAAACUGUUUAUCAAGAUUAAAGGUUUCCAAAUCAUGUUUUCGAAUCUUGUUAAAGUACGAAUAUCCCUUUUUAGAUCAUUAAAGGUUAUCUAAGGUUUUUCAAAGUUUGUUUACUUAAGAGACAUCCAGUCGUGAUUUCUUAUAAAAGGUUUUUUUUUUCAUUUAAACCGUUUUAUACAAAUCAUUUUUCAAAGUUGUUUAUGAAAGGUUUUUCAAAGGAUUUCCAAAGGUUUUCAAAGCUUGUUUUACAAAAUGACAUCAAGUCGUAAAUUCUUAUUUUUAAAGGUUUUCCAAAGGUUUUACCAAAGUUUUCUUCUAUGCUUCUAUUUCGUUAAGUGCAUGCCUAUAUUUGUAUAGUUAUAUAAACAAUGUUUAAAGGACUUAGGAAGGCUAGUUCGCCCUAUUUCCUUUUCCUCGUUGGGAUGUGGUCUGGUGGGUAUCGGUUAUCCGUCCGAAGGUCGUUUAAACAUUAGUUAUAUAUCAUGUAUACAUGUAUGGACAUAAANUCUCUCUCUCAGCCAAUUUAUCGCCUUGAGUAGGACAGGCGUCCUUCUAUUAUUCAUGUUUCUAGAACCCUAAUAACUAUUAUAGGAAUAGUUAGGAGACUCUAUCUCUAUCUCUAUCUCUAUCUCUAUCUCUAUCUCUAUCUCUAUCUCUAUCUCUAUCUCUAUCUCAAUCUCUAUCUCUAUCUCUAUCUCUAUCUCUAUCUCUCUCUCUCUCUCUCUCUCUCUCUUUUACUUUAGAAUGUGACACACUAUUUCCCUCAACGACGCUUCAUUGUGCCAACGCCGUGUAACCAGAGACUCCGGGAAGGAGAGCGAACAUCAUGUGUAUAGAUCUAUACGGUACUGACACUCCCACACCCAUACUACUAGCUACAGUCCGCGCCGGUAAGGCCCAUGGGUGACAUAAUGCCACUACCUCUAAUGCCACUACCUCUACGCGUGACCUGGAGGGUCAUCGGAUGCUCUAUCGUCGAUCAGCAUGGUUACAUAUGGGCUCACAUUCACCCUUUUUGUUUUAGACUUUGCUAGCUGUAUCGUUCACUCGAUAAUCUCUGCAGUCUGUAUUUACUUGUUGUAGGCUUUACUAACUGUAUCGUUCAUUCGAUAUUGUAUGGAGUCUGUAUUUUCUUGUUUUAGACCUUGCUAGCUGUAUCGUGAUGGGUUUUGAGCAUUCUAACACUUCCUAGGUGUACAUGCAACCCUAAUAACCUUGGAUCUAUGUUUGUCUAAUUAUCAUGCAAAGUUGAAUUCCAAGGUUAUAUUCCUAUCUAGCAUACAUGGGGAACAAUUUUAACUUGAAUGAAAGAUAGAAUAACUUACCUUGUUGUUGCUUAUGUUCCUUGAAACCUUGUGAGCCUAGCACCCCAAGUGUGAUGCCUCAAAUGCUUCACACAACACCAAAUGCUCUUGGAAAGACUUUUGAGAGAACACACACUUCUUGAAAUUGGCCUAGCCCUCUUGUUUCUUAUGUGUAGCCGAUUUUGGUGGAGAUUGGGAUCCUUAUAUAGUGUUGACACAUCUAGGGUUACACCAUGUAAAUCCUAAUGUGUCAUGACUCUUCGUUUCCAUGACCCAUGGGUUUGUAACUCCCAUGGAGCAUCCUAUGGCUAGAACCCAACUUGAUAAUCCAUGGAGCCUCUUAGCCCACUAUACAAGAUAUGGAUGAUUUACAUAAUCAACCCAUAUAUUUAAUUAGUUAUCCUUUGAUCACUUAAUUAAUUCCAAAUUAAUUCUUUGAUCAACUAAUCAAAUAAUAUUAUUAAUAUAUUAGAACUUAUAAUAUAUUAAUAAUCUCCAAGUGUUAUUUCUCUCAUUUAGUCUAUCCAAUUGCAUGGUGCCAUGCAACCCAAAUGGACCAUGCCGGGUCGGGUCAAGUACAAGCCCGAAAUAGUUAUGGACUUAGACACCUUAUCCAACAGUCUCCCACUUGGAUAAGUCUAAUAACUAUAUCUCUAGUACUUCAGGAACCGACCGGCAAUCGUAGCUCUUUCAAGGUCUCUCGGAACUGAGAAGAUGAUGGUACGCCAUUUAAGAUAAGUGAUCAUAUAAUCCUCCGUUCUAGAUAUCAGCCGGACAAAUACAUGGAACAUUGUCUUGCUUAUUGUCCAGCAUUUGUUUCCCGAUUUCCGAUUUGUUUGACAUAGAACUUAAUUGAACACAUCAACUUAGUUCUGACCGGGCCCGGUACAUGGGUCAAAACAAAAUCAUCGAGGGGCCCAGAUAUCAGCUUCUAAUCCAAGAAGGAACAGAUAAACUUCGACUCAUAUGUUUGUUCUACCACUCAUUGAAUUACACACAAAAGUACGUUUUAUAACAUCGAGUUACCAAUGCGGUUUCGUACAGUCAAUGCAUAACCAACUUGUAAGUAACAAAUCAUAUCUCUAGGUUUGAAGACUUAUAUGAUAUUACCGUCUCACGAUCACUCGAGAUAGAAUUCCAUGAAGUGAUUCCAGUGAGCGUGGGUUGAGUCCAAUGCUCAGAACUUAUGAGCACUCAUGAUUGUUGUAGCCUUGUCCAACACCUUAGACCUCUACAACCCAUCAUGACAGUCUUGAUUCAUACCUACUUCCGACAUAUGACCGACUGUGGAGGUUUGAAUAAUAUGUUACACCAAACAAAAUUAUUCUGGAAGUCAAAACAUGCAAAAGAAAUAUAGUAAACGAUUGACAAGAGAUAGCAACACUUUACUCAUAAAUAAAACACCUUUUAUUCAUCAUCAAAUGUCAAUUACACUUUACAAAUUUCUGGGUUAUCUAACUACUAAAACUUAUAUCAUCCUUCAGCCCUAUGCUCCGAGCAUGCUGGAGAUGCUUAACCCUACUCAGUCCCUUCGUGAGGGGAUCUGCUGGGUUCUCAUCCGAUGAUACCCUCUUUGCCACGAGGAGUCCUUCUUCGAUCCGAUGUCUAAUGAAAUGGUAUUUUCUGUCGAUGUGUCUGGAUCUCCCAUGAUCCCUUGGUUCCUUGGCUAAGGCAACAGCACUUUCACUAUCACAGAAAAUUUCCAUUGGCUCUUUAAUAGCUGGUACAACUCCAAGGUCUCCAAUGAAGUUCUUCAGCCAUAUCGCCUCCUUUGCUGCUUCGCUAGCUGCAAUAUACUCUGAUUCACAAGUAGAAUCUGCCACUGUCUCUUGCUUGGAACUCUUCCAAGAAAUUGCUCCUCCGUUUAGGGUAAAGACCCAGCCCGACUGAGAGCGGAAAUUAUCCCUAUCAGUCUGGAAGCUAGCAUCACUAUACCCUACAACUCUCAAGUCAUCACUCCCACCGAGGGUAAGGACCCAGUCCUUAGUCCUCCGUAGGUACUUGAGGAUAUUCUUUACCGCAGUCCAGUGUGCCUUGCCAGGGUUCGCCUGAUACCUGCUAACCAUGCUCAAGGCAAAAGCUACAUCGGGUCGAGUACACGUCAUAGCAUACAUGAUCGAUCCUACAGCCGAAGCGUAAGGUGUUCGACUCAUUUCUGCUAUCUCAGCCUCAGUGCUAGGGCUUUGUGUCUUACUCAAUCUGGUGUUACUCUGGAUGGGUAACUCUCCUUUCUUGGAAUCCUGCAUGCUGAAUCUCUUCAGCACCUUAUCCAAGUAGGUACUCUGACUAAGUCCAAUUAGUCUUUUACUCCGAUCUCUCAAGAUUCUUAUCCCUAGAAUAUAGGCAGCUUCACCAAGGUCCUUCAUAGCGAAACACUUCCCAAGCCAGGACUUUACUUCCUGCAGGGUUGGAAUGUCGUUUCCUAUGAGUAGUAUGUCAUCCACAUACAAUACCAAAAAGCUAACUAUACUCCCACUAGCCUUGACAUACACACAAGAUUCAUCUUCACUCCUAGAAAAGCCAAAUUCCUUGACCUUUUCAUCAAAGCAAAGAUUCCAUCUGCGAGGUGCUUGCUUCAAUCCAUAAAUGGAUUUCUCAAGCUUACACACUCUAUUAGGGUACUCGUUGCUGACAAAACCCUCUGGCUGACUCAUGUAAACAUCUUCAGCCAACUUUCCAUUAAGGAAAGCGGUUUUGACAUCCAUCUGCCAUAUUUCAUAGUCAUGAAAUGCAGCUAUGGCUAACAGAACCCGAAUAGACUUAAUCUUGGCUACCGGAGAAAAGGUCUCAUCAUAAUCCACUCCAGGAAUUUGAGAGAAGCCCUUUGCAACCAGUCUAGCCUUAUAAGUGUGUACUUUACCAUCCAUGUCGGUCUUCUUCUUGAAGACCCAUUUGCACCCUACUGUCUUACGACCUGGUACAUUUUCAACCAAGUUCCAAACUUGAUUGUCAUACAUGGAUUGUAUCUCGCUAUCCAUAGCCUCUUUCCAUUUAGCAGACUCGGGGCCUGCCAUGGCUUCCUCGUAGCUGUUAGGGUCAUCUUGACUUACUAGUGUCUCAUCACUAAUAAGUGUCUCACCUUCUGCAGUAAUAUGGAAUCCAUAGUAAUGCUCAGGUGCACUCCUAACUCUCGUGGAACGUCUCAGAGGUACAGAUUUGUCAAUUGGCUCAACAGGAGUUUCCUCCUCAAGUUGAGGGCUAGAGUUUGAAGUUCCUUCACCGCUUGAUUCUUGAAUUUCUUCAAGAUCAAUUUGCCUCCCACUGUCUCCUUGGCUUAUAAACUCUCUUUCUCGAAAGACUCCUCUUCUUGCUACAAAGACCACAUUGUCACUAGGUCUGUAGAAGAGGUAACCAAAGGAUCGCUGUGGGUAACCGAUGAAAAUACACCUCUCGCUUCGAGGUUCGAGCUUAUCAUGAGUCUCGCGUCUCACGAAAGCCUCGCAACCCCAAAUCUUGAUGUGGUCUAGUUUAGGUACUUUACCAGUCCACAUCUCGUGAGGAGUUUUGGCAACUUUCUUUGUAGGGACUAGAUUAAGAAUAUGGGCGGCAGUCUCUAAGGCAUACCCCCAGAAUGAGAUUGGUAGCGUAGCUCGACUCAUCAUGGAACGAACCAUAUCUAACAAGGUUCGAUUACGCCUCUCAGCCACACCAUUCAACUGUGGUGUCCUGGGAGGUGUCAAUUGUGAGACUAUCCCACAUUCCCUUAGAUAGUCGAGGAACUCUGAACUAAGAUACUCACCACCACGAUCGGAUCGAAGCAUCUUAAUGUUCCUGCCCAAUUGAUUCUCGACUUCCUGUUUAAAUUCCUUAAACCUCUCGAAAGUCUCUGACUUAUGCUUGAUCAAGUAGACAUAUCCAUAUCUACUAUAAUCAUCAGUAAAAGUCAAAUAAUAACGAUUAGCAUCCCUUGUGGCAUGUUUGAAUGGUCCACACACAUCCGUGUGUAUAAGGUCCAACAAACCUUCACCCCUCUCACACGAACCUGUGAAGGGUGACUUUGUCAUUUUUCCAAGUAAGCAUGAUUCGCAACUAUCAUCUGACUUUAGGUCAAACGACUCCAAGACUCCAUCCUUUUGGAGUUGGCCUAUGCGUUUCUUGCUUAUAUGUCCAAGACGACAAUGCCAUAAAGAUGCUUUAUCCAAGUUAUUAUUAGUAGAAUCAAUACACAAAACAUUAUUUCCCAAGUUAUCUACAACAGAUACAGCUUCAUACACACCAUCACAAGGUAAUGCUUUAAAAUAAAAGACAUUAUUAUAGAAAACAUCUAUAGAACCAACUUCAUUAUUAAAUGAAAAGGUAAACCCUUGUUUGUACAAAGCAUGAAAGGAAAUAAUAUUUCUUGCCAUUCCUGGCGAAUAACAACACUUAUUCAAAUCUAAACUAAACCCACUACUUAGCGAUAAAGUAUAAACUCCAAUCUUGGUAACAGGUAUAGCUUUCCUAUUCCCCAUGAUCAAGUUUAUCCUUCCUUGCUCCACAUCCUCACUUCUUCUUAGUCCCUGCAAGUCACAACAAAUGUGAAUACCACACCCGGUAUCAAGGACCCAAGAAUUAGAAUGGGGUGAGUUAUUAGAAAUGAUAGUGUAAAUACCUGCAUGGUUGGGUUUAACUUUCCCAUCCUUCACAUCUUGCUGGUAUUUUGGGCAGUUCCGCUUCCAAUGAGCUUUUUCAUGGCAAUAGAAGCAUUCAGCCUCUUUUGGGUCAGAAGAAGGAGUAAUGAAACCUUUCUUGGUUCCACUUGAAGAAGAGCCAUCAAGGGUCCGAACCUUGGUACCCUUAGAAGAGCUCUUUCUCUUCCUCCCUCGACUUUUCCCGAUUGCCAAAACCGGAGUAGAGUUUUGAGUAGGAGUGAUAGCAACCGACUUCCCCUUAAGACCUGAUUCUGCGGUCUUGAGAAGUCCCUGAAGUUUGCUGAGGGUGACUUCUUCCUUGUUCAUGUGAUAUGUCAUGCGGAAUUGAUCAUAGCACGAUGGUAAGGAAUGCAAAAUAAUAUCUAUUGCAAGAUCCUCCGGGAAGUUCACAUUAAGCUUCAGCAAACGAUCCACAUACCUUUGCAUUUUCUGCAUGUGGCUCGUGACGGAUUCCCCGUCCUUCAUCAUGGUUGUUAUCAUGGAGCAGAUGAUUUCAUACCUCUCUUGUCUUGCACUUUGAUGGUAUCUUUCCAUCAAAUCUUGGUGCAUUUCAUAAGGGUAGAAAUCCUCAUAAGACUUUUGGAGUUCCGCUGUCAUCGUGGCCAUCAUGAUGCAAGCCACUUUCGUAGCAUCCCUUUCAUGUGCCCGAAAUUCAGCGAUCUCCUGAGGAGUUGCAGUGGACUCAUCAAUCUCCUUAAGCUCCUUGUCAAGGACAUAUUCUUUGUCCUCGUAGCGGGUAAUCAUCCUGAUGUUUCUGAUCCACUCAUUGAAGUUGGAUCCAUCAAAGGUGACUUUCCCACACAAGUUCAUAAGGGUAAAGGAGCCAUUAGGAUUAGAGCCAGAAGCAUUGUUGAAAGACAUCUGAAGGAAAGAGGACAAGAUUAGUUUAGAUAUAAGAGAGUCCUUAAUAAAACACCCAAAUGUAAUAUUAAGGCUAGGAUCCAAUCACAAUAUAAUAUAACUUAGAAGAGGUAUGCCGUAAUCUAAGCUAUAUCAUAUUUGAAAGGUAGGUGAAUGACGAUUCACCAAUUUCCACCACGAAAACCGCAAUAUUUUAGUAUUAGGUUUUUGAAUGGUUCUUAGAAAUUCCUAGAUUCUUUGAGAUUCAAUGAACUUUUCAAAGGCAUGUUUCAAUCUCGAGUGUGCCCUCCAAGUUUUGUGACUGGGAUACCGAGGAUCACAAAACGAGGUGUGAAGUAACCAUGCAAAUCACUUGGUACCCUUAAAGUUUAUCACUCAAUCGAUGUGCCGGUUAACCACACACGCUCCAUCGAUACUAUAAUAAACCCUAAGUCACCCUUUACCUACCUUGUUAAGUCCAAGUUAGUGUGCCGGUUAACCACACACGCUCCACCAACGACUUAAUCAAAGUGUAAAGUGUAAUUUCAUGGAAUAGCACCUUAUUCACAUUUUUCCUAAAGUAACUAAGAUUGGGAAUUUAAUAAAACAUUUAGUUACUUUAUAAUAUUCAUCAUACUUUGAAUGAGAAUUAAUAAGUCCUUGUCUUACCCGUUCGGCUAACGACCCUCCACCGAUCAAGCAAGCGGUGGGUGAGAGUGGACACCCAUUAAGUCACCAUUUUAUAGGCAACAACCUUAUACCCACCUUAUAGACCGGCUUCGUGAAUGAGGCGUACUAGCGGUAAGACGACUUUGUUCUUAUACAUAUAUAUAUAAUUAUUAAAUCAUAAUAAUAUAAGUAUAAGGGUUGAAUUUUAACUUUUAAAAUUCUAGGGGUUGGAACUAAAGUUUUAACUUAACUUUACUUGUUCCAAAACUUGAGGGCAAGUUUUGUAAACUUUCAAAACUUUUCAUUUCUUGUAACUUAUGAGUUUAAUAGAGUAAUAAAAUGAGGACUUUUCAUUUUUCCUAACUCUUGUGUUCUUUUAAUGGUUUUUAAUCCAAGAGACUUUUGGUUUUCCAUAACUUGAGGACAAGUUAUGGACUCCAUUAAAACACAUUAUGAUCAUGAAUUAAUCUACCACAUAGGUUACAAAUAAUUCCUAUGAUCAUCUAAACAUCAUAAGAACAAGAAUAUGAAUAUGAACACUUUCAAGAAUCAAAAUCACAUUUAAUCUUUGUAAUUUUGAUAACUAGUUGUUGUAAAUGAGUUAGAAAAGACAUUACACCUUCUAAAAUAAGUUUUCAAGUACCAAAACAUUUUAGGGUAAUGAUUCUAAUCCAUUUCCAGCAACUCAAGUCGAAAUUCUGCACUCUGUCGACCCUACUCGCCGAGUGCAUAAACCUACUCGCCGAGUAGGUUGAAGAUACACAUGAACUCGACGAGUCCUCCCCAUGGACUCGCCGAGUCCAUCAGUCAGACAGCAAGAUUUUCGACUUUCUUCAACUUUUAAGCACAAAUAACAAACAAACAAGCCUAGGCUCUGAUACCACUGAUGGGUUUUGAGCAUUCUAACACUUCCUAAGUGUACAUGCAACCCUAAUAACCUUGGAUCUAUGUUUGUCUAAUUAUCAUGCAAAGUUGAAUUCCAAGGUUAUAUUCCUAUCUAGCAUACAUGGGGAACAAUUUCUAACUUGAAUGAAAGAUAGAAUAACUUACCUUGUUGUUGCUUAUGUUCCUUGAAACCUUGUGAGCCUAGCACCCCAAGUGUGAUGCCUCAAAUGCUUCACACAACACCAAAUGCUCUUGGAAAGACUUUUGAGAGAACACACACUUCUUGAAAUCGGCCUAGCCCUCUUGUUUCUUAUGUGUAGCCGAUUUUGGUGGAGAAUGGGAUCCUUAUAUAGUGUUGACACAUCUAGGGUUACACCUUGUAAACCCUAAUGUGUCAUGACUCUUUAUUUCCAUGACCCAUGUGUUUGUAACUCCCAUGGAGCAUCCAUGGAGCAUCCUAUGGGUAGAACCCAACUUGAUAAUCCAUGGAGCCUCUUAGCCCACUAUACAAGAUAUGAAUGAUUUACAUAAUCAACCCAUAUAUUUAAUUAGUUAUCUUUUGAUCACUUAAUUAAUUCCAAAUUAAUUCUUUGAUCAAACUAAUCAAAUAAUAUUAUUAAUAUAUUAGAACUUAUAAUAUAUUAAUAAUCUCCAAGUGUUAUUUCUCUCAUUUAGUCUAUCCAAUUGCAUGGGGCCAUGCAACCCAAAUGGACCAUGCAGGGUCGGGUCAAGUACUAACCAUAAAUAGUUAUGGACUUAGACACCUUAUCCAAUAUAUCGUUCAUUCGAUAUUGUCUGGAGUCUGUACUUCCUUUUGUUAGACUGAGCGAGACGUAUCAUUCAUUCGAUACUCUCCUGGAGUCUAUGUUUUCUUUUGUUUUAGUCAGCAGUCUUACUGCUGAGGUAUAUAUAUUAUUUUCCCCUAGUAUUUUCACUUAUGAUUUUCUCUUUACUCUUUUAAAUUCAAUUCUAUGUUUGGUAAUGAUAGUAAUUUGGGUAAAACUACUCCUUAAAACAUAAAUCGGUCGGGUCUUGGUAGAAGACUGCUAUUAUUUAGAAAAUAUGGAAAGGAGGCUAAUACACCGUAGAUUCUCAACUACUAUCUUUCAUAAAGUUAAUUUGAAUAAAAAUGCAUAUUUAUACAAAUGACACUAAACACUUAUGGACUUACCAACAUUAUAAAAUGCUGAUACUUGCUUUCAAAAUAACUUGUAUUCUCAGGUCAGCGAUAGACAGGUAUAUCCCGGGAGCUUUGCGAAGUCAGUCUAGAACCGAGCUACAUCUAUAUUAUUCCUUGUAUUAAUUUGAUAUCACUAUGACAUGUAACCUAUGUAAAAUUAUUACUAUUAAUGCAAUGGUUGUUGUACUUUGAUUUCUAUACUACAUAUGUUGUGAUACUUGACAUGACGUCAUCCACCCUAGAACGUUUCCGCCGUUCUAGUUUUAGGAUGUGACAGAUUGGUAUCUGAGCAUUGUUUAUAGUGAGCUCAGUAUAUAAAUUCAUAAAAGAUAUACAUCCUAAAAAUACAUAGGGAUAAAACACUUUGACCAAGAAUUAUACUUUAAAAUAUAACCAUAUUUUACCAAAGUAUAAGAACAUCCAGAAUCUAAACACUCGAACACAAGUAUCACAAGAAGAACAAGAAUAAAAGUCUUCNNNNNNNNNNNNNNNNNNNNNNNNNNNNNNNNNNNNNNNNNNNNNNNNNNNNNNNNNNNNNNNNNNNNNNNNNNNNNNNNNNNNNNNNNNNNNNNNNNNNNNNNNNNNNNNNNNNNNNNNNNNNNNNNNNNNNNNNNNNNNNNNNNNNNNNNNNNNNNNNNNNNNNNNNNNNNNNNNNNNNNNNNNNNNNNNNNNNNNNNNNNNNNNNNNNNNNNNNNNNNNNNNNNNNNNNNNNNNNNNNNNNNNNNNNNNNNNNNNNNNNNNNNNNNNNNNNNNNNNNNNNNNNNNNNNNNNNNNNNNNNNNNNNNNNNNNNNNNNNNNNNNNNNNNNNNNNNNNNNNNNNNNNNNNNNNNNNNNNNNNNNNNNNNNNNNNNNNNNNNNNNNNNNNNNNNNNNNNNNNNNNNNNNNNNNNNNNNNNNNNNNNNNNNNNNNNNNNNNNNNNNNNNNNNNNNNNNNNNNNNNNNNNNNNNNNNNNNNNNNNNNNNNNNNNNNNNNNUAAGGGUUCUAUAUAUAGUGAGGCUAUUAGGGUUAUCUAACAAGGAAACCCUAAUUUGGAUGCUUAAGCCCUAAGCAACCCAUGGAGCCCUUUCCAUAAGGCCUUGGAGAUUUCAUAUGGGCUUCCCCCAUAGAAUUCGUCCAUUCCUUAAUAUAAGGCAAUUCAUGGCCCAAAUUGCAAUUAUCUUAUAAUUACAAUUCCAGUCCCUUAAGUUUACUUAAUUUCUUUUAGUCACAAAACUAAUUACCAAUUAAUUAUUGACUAAUAUUAAUUAAACAAUAUGAUUUCUCCUUUAAUAUAUUAUUCUCAUAAUAUAUUAAUAAAUCAUAUUUAAUCCUUUCUCUCCAUAAUUCAUCCUAUCAAGUUGCUUUGGUGAAGGCAACCCAAAAGGACCAUGCACCAUCGGGUCAAGUACAUACCAAAAAGUUAUGGACUUAGACACUAUAUCCAACAGUCUACCACUUGGAUAAGUCUAAUAACUAUUAUGUGUUUGACUUCAGAUCCUGAUCUGCAAUCUUAGCUUUCCAAAGCCACUGUCAACUCUGAUCAUAUCAGAUACGCGUGUCCUUAGAUAAGGGAUCAUAUAUUCCUCCAUUCUAGAUAUCGUAAGACAUGAUUUUUAAUCAUUCUUCUUUUUACUAUUUCUCGAUUCCCGAUUUAUGACGACUAACUAAUUGAACAAAUCAAAUUAGCACUAGCCCGGCCGAGCAUUUACGUUUGUCAUCACUAAAUCAUCGAGGGGCCCAAAGAUAUCGCUUUUAUCCUACUUUGGAUAAAAGGAACGGAUACAAUUUGAUACAAUGCUUGCUUGCACUCACCCACUGAAUUACACACAAUAAUAUGUUUUAUAACACCAAGUUACUAGUGCGUUUACAUAUUAUCAAUGUGCAACCGAUUUGCAGGAUACAACCCACACAUCUCGGUUUCAAGAAUAUAAGAUGUUAUCGUCUCACCAAUCACUCGUGAUACAAUUCAUGGAGUGAUCCAAGUGAGCGUGGGUUUAAUCCAAUGCUCAAAUCAUAUUCAUAAGCACUCAUGAACGUUGCAGCAAACAUUUGCUUAUGUCUAAUACUCUUUUAGACAAUCCACACACCAAUUCACGACAGUCUUCAUUCAUAUCUACUUCCAACAUAUGAACGACUGUGGCCCGUUCGAAUAAUUCGAUUAUUCUUAAUAAAUUCAAUUAUUCUGGAAGUCAAAACAUGCAAAUGUGAAACACAAGAAUAAUACUAAUCCCAUAUGGCCUCAAACCUCUAAGUAUAAAUAAAACUCCUUUUAUUUCUCACCAUAUCGAUUACUCAUUAUUUGUCGUUUCUGGUAAUCAACUUCUUACUUGAAUUAUUACACUUGUCCCAUGCUCUUAGCAUGAACACAAUGUUUACCUAUGGUUCUUACUUUUGUCAAAUAGACCAAAUUGAGCAUAUUCCCAAUCAUUAUCAUUUCACAACUCCAAAUACUUUUUCCAUAAGUGAAAGAAUAUCAAAUUCUUGGUACUUAUAGAAUAUGCUAGAUUCUAACAUUUUAUGCAAUGAUCCUUUCGUAAUGUCACUGCACUAAAAUCACAAAGACUAUUGCCAGUGAAAUUACAAAGUCCUCUAACGGAGAUUGUUACAAGACAAUUCCUUAGAUAUGAUGUCUCUCACUCAAAGCACAUUCCUUUGAACAUCCUUUUGCAUAAAAGUUUCUAAUCUAGUCAUAGAUUUUCAAUAUCCAAUUCUUAAUAUGGACACGUUUCCAUAUUUUCCAUAUGACAACUCAUUCUUAAUAGAAUCUUAUCUAUUCGUAAUGAUGUACAUAUGGUCCAUCCAAUAUGGAAACAUUUCCAUAUUUUCCAUAUGACAACUCAUUCUUAAUAAGGUCGAUAUGGUCCAUUCAUUACCAUGCUUCCAACUACUCACAAGCAACCAAUCAUCGUCGAACUUUGGAUUGUCCUUUGAUAGUUGUUUAAUUAUUUUAGUCAAAACUAAUUCUAGUCCCUUCUCCCUCUAAAUACGCUCGACAUUUGAUAGUUGUUUAAUUAUUUUAGUCAUAAUCGAAAUUUUAAGAACACACUAUGUACCUUUGACUAAUUUUUAUUAACAUUCCACAACCUAAGCCUUUAGAUUUGAAAUGAAGCAUAAUAUUCUCUCCCUUAAUUAUAGCAAAACAACUUUACAACCCUUACGACUUUGCAAGGUAUAACUCUUGUUUUCUAUAAUUAAUAUUGCCAACUUGCAAUACGUUCCAUAAUAAUCAUUAAAUCAUAACUUUUAUGCUCCCACUGUCAUGAUGAUUACUAUAAAACAUAAUACUUAUGCUCCCACUAGCUUUGACAUGUAUUCGUAAACAGCUUAACUUUCAGAAAAAAAUGCUUAUUGAAUUUCUUAAGUUCAUGUUUCUAAUACUUAGUGCUUUGAUAAUCUUUUAUCAAGGCUUCUUGAACUUAUACACCUUUGCCUUAGAGAGUUCUUAAAAUCUUUCUUAGUGAAAGAAUUUCCUCACAAUAAUUUUCAUGCAUNCACAAUCAUUUUCAUGAAGGAGGAAAUCUUAUGACACUUAUAUUUAACGGUGUAUUUGUUCCUAUCCAUGUGAAUUUGUCAAAACAAAAGUUUACAACAAAUUCAAACUCAUAUGGAUCGAACUUUCUUGAUCUUGAUUUCUUGCCUUUAUGGUAGCACAGCUGCCCACCAUGUCUUCCAAGUAGUUAAGCAGCUCACCUUUUCUUAUCAAUGUACUUUCCAUUGAUCAAGGUCCUUGCCUUUUAUGCAUUCAAAUGAGAACUCAUAGAACUCAUAUGCAUAAUUAACUCAAUUGGAACGUCAUAGAAACAAAAUGAUGUCAACACGAUAGGUUGUAAACCUCAACUCGUGUGCUAGUGAUGAUUGAUAAGUUCUAUUUGAUUCGUUCUUGAAGCUUUUCAAGACCAUUAAGACUCCCACUGACUCCUUGACAUAUAAGAUUCUUUUAUCAAUAAACAUUUCUUGACAAACAAAUAUUCAAGAGUUAGUGUAGCUUUUAUCACGACUCUUCAUAAAUUGGUUGUAGUUAGUCUUUGACUUAUCCAAGACAUCACAACUUUCCACAUUUGUUGACUGUUAUAAACCUUUAAUACUUUUCACUCAUUGUCACAAUCUUAACUUUGAGAUUUGUCAUUGGAACGAAGUAUGAUAGACUUCUUGAUUUAACCAUUUCUUCAAUUCUUGAAUCCUCUUCUUAGACAUGCAAUUGUACUAAGACUCAAUUAGAGGAUCAAUUGAGAUAUGGUUCUUAAUCAUUAAGACCAAUCAUAAAGCAUAAAAGGUACUCUCCCUUCUUCUUAGAAUGAAGAAAAGUUUUUCUUUCUGCCUACUUGAUUCUUCUUAUUCGUUCUACUAUUGAGUUAAACUUUUUCAAUCAAUUCAGAAUUACACUUAAUCUUGUAAGUAUAAUCAUAUUUACCAAACCUUUAGUAAAUCAUGAUGAAUAUCUUUAUUAUUCUUGUGGUGGACUUGAUCAGCACACAACUUUGUGUACUCGAUCUCCUAGUCCUUCACUUGAAACUUUGUCAAUGAAUUAGUCUAAUUUCCAAAUAUGAAAUUUCUCAUUCAUCGUGCAACCAAGUUGCAUGAUUCCAAGUUUCUGUCCAAUUGAAACUUGGGCGAUGAGAAACUCUCCCUAUUUGGUAAAUUCUCGACUUUCCAUAAAUAACAUAAUAAGAACCAAAUCCAUUAUUGCUAAUAAUAGAAACAUUUUAACAUCAAUUUUUCAUACACGCCAUUGCAAGGAUAAUAUAAAAAUCAAAAUUUAUUUUAUGCAGAAAAAUUUGUCCUUACAAUGCAACUCAUUGAAAAACUUAUGCUAAUACAUCUUUCUUAGCAAUCUAAUUCUAACUCUAAGUAGUAGCUUAAGAAUCUAAUCUUCGAGAAAUGCGAUCGAAAUCCAUUCCUUCACGGUUAGAUUCUGCUCACUUCUUCCCUUAAGCUUCCUUUCUUUUCUUCGAUCCUACAAAACAUCAAUUGUAAUCUUAUCACAUUAUGUAUUAAGAAUCUAGAAUAGAAGCUUAAAAGAGUUAGUUAAUGGAUUUUACCUAUAUUAGAGCCAUACGUUUCGACUCUCCCAUCUCUUAGAUCUCUUAGGUAAAUGGGGCAGCUUCGUCUCCAAUGCCCUUUCUCUUGGCAAUAAAAGCAAAUUGACUCUUUUGGAACAUGACAUGGAACUACUUCAGACAUUGCCUUUCUCUUAUGAUCAAACUUUUCGAUCAUAGCAUGUCUUUCGUUGCCAUUGUCUAUAUCCAUAGAGGUCUUGAAGGCAGAUUCACCAAUCAACUUUGCUUUUCUAUUGCGCCAAACCAUUGCUGAUUCAGCAGCAAUAAGCAUAUAGGUGAGAUCUAUAAGGGUCACGUCGCGGUUCAUCAUAUAGUACUCUCUUACGAACUCACUAUAUGAGUUAGGAAGUGACUGAAGAACCCAAUCAACAGCCAUUUCCUCACAGACAACGGAUCCCAACAUUCUUAACCUAUCAAUGUGUGACUUCAUCCCUAGGACGUGUGCACACACCGACUUUCCUUCUUUAUGUUUACUUGCCAAAAGGGCUUGAGUGAUCUUGAACUUUUCAAGCCUUUGAACUUGUGGGUUAGGGAGAAUAAUUGGAGGAGGAGGAGGAAGUGAAGCAUGAUUUCUUGUUCCUCGAUCGAAUCGUGGAAUAUCAUCUUCAUGUGGAAUGCUUGUUCCACGGGAUUUGGGAAGACCAUAGUUGUCGAACUUUGACAUCUACAAAACGGGAGAAAACGAAUUCAAGUUAGUUGAUUGAUUGAGUCCUUAGUAAAUCACCCAAAUGAGAUACUAAGGCUAGGACCCAACACAAUAUUCUACAACUCGGGAGAGGGAUGCCGUAACCCUAAUUGCAGAAUAUUUGAAGGUAAGUGAAUGACGAUUCACUAAUUUCCACCACGAAAAACGAAAAAGAAAUUUAAGUUUUAAAUCUAUGAAAACUCCUAGAUCCUUUGAGAUUCAUUGAACUUUCAAUGGCAUGUUUAAAUCUCGAUAUGCCCCUCUUGUUUGUGACUGGGAUGCCGAGGAUCACAAAGCGGGUGUGAAUAACCAUGCAAACUUACAUGGUGCCCUCACAUGUUACAGUCACCUAUUCGAUGUGCCGGUAAACCACACACGCUCCACCGAACUAUGACAAACAUUGAGUCACCCUUUGCUACCUUUGCUUAGAACCAUUUAGUGUGCCGGUAAACCACACACGCUCCACUAACGUCUUCGCAAGGGCACAAAGUGUAAUUUCAUGGAAUUGCAUCAAUUCACUUUUGCCUAAGUAACUAAGAUUGGGAAUUUUAUGAAAACAUUUAGUUACUUUAAUAAUUCAUUAUACUUAUAAUGGAAGGUUUCGUCCUAUCCUACCCGUUCGGCUAACGACCCUCCACUAGUCAAGAGUGCGGUGGGUAAGAGUGGAUACCCAUUCAAUCGCCAUUUUAUAGGCAAUUUCCUUAAACACCCCUUAUAGACCAGCUUCGUGAAUGAGGCCUACUAACGGUAAGACUGACUUUUACUCAUACAUAUAUAUAAUGUUAGACUUUUAAUGUUAUAUAUAGUAUAGGGUGUAUUUUAUACUUUUAAAAUACUAGGUGGUCUAAUUUAACAAUUAUACUUUUAAUUCAAUUAAAUUGUAAACCUAAACUUUUAUGGAUUUAUUAAACCUCUUUUAAUUAUACACCUUAAUUAAUUAAUAAAACCAUAAGGGUGUGAUUUGAACUUUUUCAAAACUAUACUAGAGUUUUAGAAUUUAACAUUCCUAAUUAAACUUUUAAUCAACUUUUAAAUUCCAAAACUUGAGGGCAAGUUUUGAAACAUUUCAACACAUUAGGGUUUAGAAUUUAAAUAUACAUCAAAAUUAAACCAUUUAAUCAAAAUUUAAAUUCCAAAACUUGAGGGCAAGUUUUGAAACCUUUUUCAAAACAUUAGGGUUUCAACUAUUUAAAUUUCAAAACAACAAAACUUUUGGGUUCAAAUUUAAACUAUAAAACCUAAAGGGCAAAAUAUGAAACUUUUCAUAACAACAAGGAUCAAAUAACAAAUAAUUCAAAUUAACAUUUAAUCACAUAAUUAUCCAUAUUUGAUUUAUUUAAUGAUUUCUUGCAAAACAAUUUAUCAAUUUAGUCAAAAUAAUUAAUCAAUUAUCUUAUAAGGAAACAAUUAUCUUAUUAAUUGAUAAAUAUCUUCAAUUAGAUCAAAAAUAUAGUCAAAUAUAUCAUAUAAUCGGAUUAAUAUUGAUCUAACAUGAUAAGGUAACUAUCCAUAAGCAAAAACAGCAAGAAAUCGCGAAAUACCCUCCAUCUGACGAGUUGACUCGUCGAGUCAGGCUUGGACUCGUCGAGUCUGCAUGGACUUGGCGAGUUCAGCCAUGGACUCGGCGAGUCCAGCCUCCAGAAACCAAAAAAUCGAAAUUUUCAAACAUAUCAAGCAUCAAUACAAUAGAAACCAAUCUAGGCUCUGAUACCACUGAUGGGUUUUGGUCAUAAGACAUCCUAUGUGCUCAUACAAACCCUAAUGCUUGGAUCUAGGUUUCUCUAUUGUACAUGCUUUGAAUCCAAGACUAUAAACCCUAAUUCUAGCAUAUGGAAAUCAAUAUUAACAUAUAAUUAGGUUUAUGAUAUUACCUUGAUUGUUAUGUAGCAAUAACAAUCCCAAUUCCUCCUUGAAUUGACUUUGGAAGGCUUAGAGUCACAAGUGUCACUCCUCUAAUGGUUCACAAACACCAUAAGCAAGAGGAUGAAGAGGAGAGAGGAUGGAGGCUGCCCAAAACCGUCUACAAACCCUAGAGAAGUCUUAGCCACGUUUUUGGUCAUAAGGGAUCUCUUUAUAUAGGAGGCAAUUAGGAUUAUCUAACAAGGAAACCCUAAUUUUGAUGCUUAAGCCCUAAGCAACCCAUGGAGCCCUUUCCUUAAGGCCUUGGACGAUUUUAUAUGGGCUUCCCCCAUAGAAUUCGUCAAUUCCUUAAUAUAAGGCAAUCCAUGGCCCAAAUUGCAAUUAUCUUAUAAUUACAAUUCCAGUCCCUUAAGUUUAAUUAAUCUCUUUCAGUCACAAAACUAAUUACCAAUUAAUUAUUGACUAAUAUUAAUUAAACAAUAUGAUUUCUCCUUUAAUAUAUUUUUCCCAUAAUAUAUUAAUAAAUCAUAUUUAAUCCUUUCUCUCCAUAAUUCAUCCUAUCAAGUUGCUUUGGUGAAGGCAACCCAAAAGGACCACGCACCAUCGGGUCAAGUACAUACCAAAAUAGUUAUGGACUUAGACACUAAUCCAACAGACCAUUACCGUCAAACCUGGGCAGUUAUGUAAUUUUAAGAUUGAAUAAAUGUAACCUGAUCAACUACGUUUAUUCGAGAUGCGACCAACGUAUGCUUGGGAGUGAUGGUGGUGUUCCAACGAAUCUGAAACUUACCAACUAGGAAUGCUACGGCCAAACAUAAAGUUUAAAAUACUAUGGGAGUAUUUUGGAAUACUAAAAGACUCACAUUAAUCCCAAAAUCAUAUUCAGAAGUUAAGAAUCAAACAAGAAAUUAAAAUACCAUACGGUUAUUUUAGGAUCCAUAGAUAACCUUGUGUGAAAAACUAAAAAGAUCCUUAUUGAUAUACCUAUGAUUAUAGAGGGUAUACUGCCAAGGUUAUAUAUAAUAAGGAUCCCAUAGACUAAGAAUGUGUGGUUUCGCUCUACUUCCUUUUCCUCGUUGGGAUGUGGAUAUAUAUAACUUGUGUACCCUAUGUAAUUGUAGUUGGACUCGAUAUGGAUCACCCAGCGAAAUGUUAAUAAUCUCUUAGGAUUCUCUAGACAUUUCCAUUCUCGCACGAACCCUGUGGAAAACCUUAUCCAAUUCGGUGUCUGACAGAAGAGAGGAUUCAGACCUAGAAGAGGUUCAUUGAGAAGAUUUCCAAAUCGGAAAUAAAUGAACUAGGACGAAACUAUUGAAAUCACCAAGUGCCUACACCUUUUAGGGACACCGAUGAGAAAUCCGCCUGAAUUUCCGAGAUUUCCAGUCAUCCAUCAUGAAGCGAUGACACUCAGGGGCAGGAUCGGAUAUAAGACGGAGUAGAAAUUCAAUAUGUCUUCCCGAGAAGAGAACCCUAGGUAACUACCCGAAGAAAACCAAUGCCGGUCCCAGCUAAGGAUAAGAAGUAGACAGAGGGAACCAAUACAUGGAACCCGUUUCGUGUCUUUCCUCGUAUUCACCACGCUAAUACACCCAUAAAAUAAUAAAAUUUAGUGAGUUAGUGAUUACGCUACUCACACUAUGUGUUAGGUAAAUCGCCUUUUCCCGUCGCAAGUAAUACGAUUAGAUCGGAUUUCAAAACCUCGAUUGAGGGUGUUUAGCCAUAAGUUUCAUGAGCCCUUUCUUCCGUGAUCCUCGUUCCGAACCUCCCUCGAAUCUUUCCAAGCAGGAGAGUGAACCUUUCCAGCAUAAAGAUAACUUAGUAGGAACGACUCCCAUCUUAUGGCUUUCCAAUACUCUUACUCCUACCUUGAUACCCAGACUACAUCAUAGGGAUGUAGGUCGACACUCAGAUAACCAAUAUCCAAGGCGCGAGAAAAUUUAUGCCUAUUAUAGUAAGGAUAGAUACGUAUAGAAUUAAUCAUUGUCUCCCAUCAUCUUGUGCUCCUUUUCGUAUAGGAAAAACCAUGCCUCCGAAGAAACGUAACCAAUCCAUUGGCAAGAAACCGACUCUCCUAUUCGAUGAAACUAUGUUCCAAGCUGCAGUCUCGGCAACCGUAGCAGCUGUCAUGGCUCAUCUGAAUGCUAACAAUGCCAAUGUUAGCAGGAGCCUUAUCAAGAUUCUCGAUCCUAGCAAUGGACAUCAGAAACCAACACCUGUGUACCCAGCCACCCAAGAACCUUAACCAACUCCACUGAAGAGAAAGUUCAAGAACGAGGAGGGAAGUACCUCAGCUCAAGGACCUUCCGAAGAGCAACGAGCUGAGACAGUCAAUAACCCUGCCAACCCUUCCGUCCUGACACCUAGAAGACCAUACUUAGGAUGCCUCCCCCGUUGCAGCAAAUGUAGCUACCACCAUCAUGGUACCUAUCGAGAACUCCUUUGUGUUAGCUGCAACAUGAAGGGGGCAUACCGCUCGCGUCUGCAGAACCCUGGUUGGGUUCAUUACAUCAACCACCAAUGUGGCGACCAGUUCAGUAUGCCAUCUAUGUGGUGAGUUAGCCACUUCAAGCGGGACUGCCCAACUAAAAGAAACGGCAAAGGCGCAGGAGGAGUCUAACUCUAAUACAUAGGGAGAAGCAUCAAGUAAGCCGGUAGAAACUUUGGUACUUCUCUCAAUCUUAGAUAACUAACCGAAAACAUAAAAAGGCUAAUUCUAAAUAUAAUUUCUCUCCCGUUAAGGCGAAAGUCGUAGCAUUGUUGUAAAAAUUCAAAAUUUCAUCAGGUAAAGCUAUAAUGGCUCGGUAUAUACAUUACAACCAUGAAUAAUUAAGAUUUAUAGACCUCAAGUGAGUGAUGCUGCCUCAUUUCCUGUUCCUCGUUUGGUUGUGGAUUUAGGGCGGAGUCGCUUAGUCAACAGUCCUUUCCACCUUAAUUAUACAUGACUAGUGUAUACUAGGUGAUUAUAGAGAGGCCUCGUGAGAAUCCAUUCAUGAGAAGUACAUUAUUCCGAAACCUCAAGACCCUCUAUAGUUCCGCGUCGACUCUAUCAGUCCAAGUAUCCGUGACAGUGAUACACGAGACGAAACCCGAGACGCCAAGAACUUGUGUGCCCGUUCAGCACAUGGCCCUAUUGACCCUCAUUCUAUGUCAUGUCGAUGUAUACCAACUUCGACGCCUCUAUCAAUCAUGGUUCGACUUAGUGCAACCAUCUGUAAAUUCCUAGUGCUGUGUAAAAAGAACUUUCACCAUAGCCAUUUCGGUGAAUAAAGGUUCUUUCGAACCUAAUAGUAAAACCUAAUGUGAUCCGCCAGUCGUCUCUCUUAUCUAAAACUUUCCGAAAUACCCCUAAGUAGGGCAUCGUGCGCUGUUAACCAAACCUUCCUUAGACAAAUAGAAACCGAAGCGAAAGACACUGCAGGCAUUCCAGAAGAUGAUAACCACCCGAAACCUACUCCGUAGAUCCACCAGAAAGACCCUUAGCACCUCACAAUCAGGUUCGUGAAUCAAGUGGAAGGAACUCAUGGGAUUGACUACUAUUAACUGGGUAUAUGCAUAAGAGUGGUAUAUAAUUUCGAUCAAAAAGAUUUAAGAUGUGUGCUUCCUCCCUACUCCCUGUUCCUUGUUGGGUUGUGGGUCUGGGGUGGAGUCACACAAUUGAACAUCCCGUCGAUCUCAAAUAUAUACGGCUUGCAUACACCAAGUAUUAGUAAUUAAUCCAAGUAUGAGCUCUACUACGAACCUCAUAGUAAAACCCUCCAUCCUGUACCAUAGAAUAGGAGCUAGAGUCAAGAGAACCACCGCGGGUUGAGCUACUAAAAUGACCACAAAUCUGAAAUUUGUUGUCACCCCGGUUAAGCCAAUAUAGUAGCUAACACCCUCAGUUGGUAAAGAAAUCAUAGUCGUAAGAGGCAAGGACAUUGACUACGACCAUCCAUUCACACUUAAUACCACGAAUUAAGCAUCUCAGUAGAUAUCUCGGAAACCUGAAAGAUGCGAUAAGAUAAGCUCUGAGAAGAGUGGAUGAAGAAAUUAGAAGUUCUGAGUGACGAAACCCUAUACUUCUAGACUUAAACUAAAUCAAGGAAACUCAUAAACACCGGAAGAGGAGUUGUUGAAGAUGCUUGCACUACUCAGGCACUUUGUCCACCCUAUUAUUGAUGAGUAGUGCUUAGGACACCCCGCCUCCUCACGUGGAAGAAGUCACCGUCGCCCUGUAGACGAUAGACUGCAUUCUCCGAAGUGAAUACUACAAUGCCAAGAACCACAGGAUAACCCCCGCAGCUAAGAAUACUUGUAUAAAGUACGAAAGUAGGUGGUGUUAAGCCUUAUAAACCUGAUCCCAAAGAUAUUAUAGACUUGACACCAGUCUAGGUGUUAGUCGAUGGGUUAUACAAGAGCAAGCGCUUUAUGCAACUGAAAUAAACUGACGCCUUAGAGAAUAGGGCAUGUCUUUGAGAUUCAUUGGACUACUAGGUGUUCCAAGAAUACUAUCUCACACAGAAAUAGUAGAACCACCUCCUGAGAUAGUCCAACACUUCAGAAAAUCUCUAAGGACUGAGUUAGCCCUGCGCAGAGAUUACUAUUUGUGAAACAGCAAAGCAAGUAAGAGCAUGAUUCUUUCCUGUUAGGAAUCAUAUUUUGAAAGCGUCAACUAGACGAUGAUGAGGAGUUUGAAAACCUUCUAAACAUCGUUUGGUAAAACCCUAUCUCACUAACUUUGAGAGUUUCCGUUAGAAACACCUCAAGAAUCAGAAGUGCAGGUCCAUUUUGCACUAGGUCAAGAUAGAUGCCACGAAACCAAUUACAUGCCAGUGUGUAGCCAAUACAUCCGAUGAUCCAGAAAACCUCUGAAAGGCAAUCGGAAGGAAACACGAAUCCGAGGAUAACCUGAGCCUUCUAAGAACCAACACGGAGAACUACAAACUCGGUAUGAGAGAACGUUUGGAACUUCAAAAUGGCGAUCACGCCAGUGAUGAUCUAACCAUGUAAGUACGUUACGUUCUAAGUACUGAAAAGCUUUAUCAUUCUGAGAGCUUAGGAGCAUCCGAGAUUCUUUAUAAUAAUUGGUCCAACCCUUGUCAGACCACGACUACUCUCGGAAUUCCAUAAGUUUCACCCCAAAUCGAUCCACGUCUUAGACUUGAAAAAGUACUUUCCUGACGUAACUCUCGUAAUUCCGCUUCUUUUGAUAGAGAUCUUUGGGAACUCUAACUUCGUAGAGGAACCUGUAGGAAUCACGAACCGAACGAACCAAACCCGCAUUCCGUUAGUGAAGGGUUGCUAGAUCACCAAGCAAAGACCUGAGUUAACUUGGGAGUGCGAGAACCAGCCGAAUAAGAAGUACCCUCAUCACUUACUCGAUUGUUCAUGCCUACUUUCUUGACUAAGCUCUAAUUUUGGGAUGAAAUUUCCUCUAACGGGGGGAUGAUGUGACAACCCGAAAUUUCCGUUUGUUUUAACGUCGUAAUUACGCACGUCAAAAAUUAGCCAAAUUUAUCCUAAAAUAUUUUUUACCGAAUUUAAGCCUGUUGGAAUAUUUUAAAUAAUAUUCGUCAAGCAAACCAAAAAUAAGGAAGUAAAAUUUAGACUUGCCGUGUUUAGCGUAAGUCGCAGAACUCCAAAAAUUUUGAAUUUACGGACAAAAACUCAGAGUUUUGAUCGCGAACCCCCGAGGGUAUAAAUAUGACACUUAGUCAUUUUCUGUCAUUUUUCCAACAUCCACCUCAAGAACACUCAAGAAAUCCUCUCAACUAUCAUAAGUUCAUCCCGUCAAAUCUGCCAAAAACGAUAAUCCAAGCUCCUAGAACCUAGCUUCUUGUGUGCUUAAUAGAAACUUGUUUACACUUGAAAUCAUUCAAGAACACCAAGAACAAGGUGUUUAUGGUCCAAGAACAUUCUUGGACCGUAAACCCUUAAGGGGGUGAAGUGUGCCUUGCUUUAUUCUAAGGCUUGACAACUAGCACAGAUCCCUUCCUAGAUGACUUUAGCAUUCGAAAAUCAUCAUUUUCCCCAUGUUCAUAUGAGUUUACGGUUUGGGGAGUUCAUUCCAAAACCGUAAACACCUCCAAGAGGUGUUUAGAUGCCCCUAAUGCCUUCAAAUGGUUGUGUAAUGGAGUAGAACAUUACUUGCAUGAACUAGGGACCCUAAGAACAUGUAACUAAGGGAAAAACACGAGUUUACAGUUUUAGAACACCUCCCAAAACCGUAAACACCUUUCCAAGGUGUUUAAGUGCCCUUAACACCUUCCUAUGCUCAUAUAAAUGACUAGAACCUUGCAUGCAUGACCUAGAACCACAAAAGCACAAAAGAAAUGGACUAACAUGAGUUUACGACCGUAAACUCAUGUGUUUACGUCCGUAAACUCCUAAGGGAGUGGUCCAAGGACCGUAAACUCCAUAAAGUGUCCAUUUUGAGCCCCAAUCACUUCCAUAGCCCUUGAAUCAACUCUAGAACCUUUCCUUGUGAAGCAUGAAGCCUUAAAGCACACAAAUACACCAUUCCCAUGAGUUUAUGGCCGUAAACUCAUGGGGGACAUGGUUCCAAAAUCGUAAACACCCCUAGGUAUUACCAUUUGAGGAGUAAACUCCAAUGUGAGUCCAUACUCUCCUUAUAUGCAAACCUUAGUACUCCUAGCAAUUGUAGGUAAGUGUUUUCAUGUAGUUGGACAUCCUAACUUGCAUAAUUAAUGGUUAAAUUACUAAUUGGAUACUUAAAUGUAUCAUUACAUGUUAAAUAGGAUUCGCGUGUGUGGUUAAGUCCUCACUUGACACUUAGGAUCCUAUACCGUCCAUUCAUCCGAUUCGCCCACGACAGCUGAGUUCAUAUCCCUAAAUUAAACUUUUAAAUGAUUUUAACUACUUUUAUAGGGGGGGGGGAAUACAAGUUGAACUGUAUAGUUAUUUGAUAAAUCACAUGUGAUUAAUAACUUUAUAGCAAAAUAGAUUUUUCAAGUUAAACUAUUUAUCCAGAUUAAAGGUUUCCAAAUCAUGUUUUUGAGUCUUUUUAAAGUAUGAAUAUCCCUUUUUAGAUCAUUAAAGGUUAUCCAAGGUUUUUCAAAGUUUUUUUUUUACUUAAGAGACAUCCAAUAGUGAUUUCUUAUCAAAGGUUUUUUUCACUUAAACCAUUUUAUACAAAUCAUUUUUCAAAGUUGUUUAUGAAAGGUUUUUCAAAGGAUUUCCAAAGGUUUUCAAAUGCUUGUUUUAGAAAAUGACAUCAAGUCAUAAAUUCUUAUUUUUAAAGGUUUUCCAAAGGUUUUACCAAAGUUUUCUUCUAUGCUUCUAUUUCGUUAAAUGCAUGCCUAUAUUUGUAUAGUUAUAUAAAUAAUGUUUAAAGGACUUAGGAUGGCUAGUUCGCCCUAUUUCCUUUUCCUCGUUGGGAUGUGGUCUGGUGGGUAUCGGUUAUCCGUCCGAAGUUCGUUUAAACAUUAAUUAUAUAUCAUGUAUACAUGUAUGGACAUAAAACCUCUCUCUCUCUCUCAGCCAAUUUAUCGCCCUGAGUAGUAAAGGCAUCCUUCUAUUAUUCAUGUUUCUGGAACCCUAAUAACUAUUAUAGGAAUAGUUAGGAGACUCUAUCUCUAUCUCUAUCUUUAUCUCUAUCUCUAUAUCUAUCUCUAUCUAUCUCUCUCUCUCUCUCUCUCUCUCUCUCUCUUUUACCUUAAAAUGUGACACACUAUUUCCCUCAACGACUCUUCAUUAUGCCAACGCCGUGUAACCAGAGACUCCGGGAAGGAGAGCGAAC